CCAUCUAAAUGUACAUGUAUUAGAAAUAUCCGCAUGCUGCUAUACUUCGGCUCAGUAGUGUUUUACGUAGUUUUUAAAGCUGAGCAGUGAGCAAUAUAAAAUCUAGAAAUGACUGUUUUAGUUACUAUAAUUUCUAGAAUUAUCUCUAGAAGUAAGAUUUACAACUCCAGGCUCAAGUUCAAUUGAUAAGAAUAGCUAAUACAUAAAUUUUCUUGGACUUGUUACAGAACUUCCAUCUGGCUGGUAACCCAGAAAAUGAGUUCCAGAAAUUUCAGCAGGCGGGUGAGCGUGGCCGGAGAGAAUAUUCCCACCAAGGUGGCAAGGGUCAACAAGGCUCUUGCAGAAAUCUCUUCUGUGGAAUUGACACAAGACUCAUCUCCGAAUCAUUCAAUAUUGACGAACAGUUGGCUACGAAGCUUCAAGGCCAAAAUGACUUCAGAGGCAGCAUUGUGAAGGUUGAAGGUGGACUUCGGGUAGUCAGGCCACCAAGGACCGAACAAGAGAGAUUGGAGGAAGAAGAGCAAGGCCAAGGAGGAAGUUACAAUGGUCUAGAGGAAACUUUCUGUACUAUGAGGAUUAAAGAAAACAUUGCUGAUCCCUCACGCGCCGAUGUUUACGUCCCUGAAGUUGGUCGUGUCAGCACCGUCAACAGCAAUAAUCUACGUAUUCUUAGGUUGCUCCAACUCAGCGCUUCCCAUGUCUCUCUCAGCAAUGUAAGUCAAAACACUCGCAACAGUAAUGGCCAGUCAUACAUGAACGAUGUUUAUACUCUGUAACUUCUGAUACAUAAAACAAUUCCUUGGUCAUGGCAGGGUGCUAUUAGAUUACCUCACUGGCACGUAAACGCACACAGCAUAAUCUAUGCAUUGAGGGGUCAAGCUAAGAUUCAGGUGGUGGAUGAAAAUGGCAACAGGGUCUUCGAUGGCAAUGUGAAGGAAGGACAAGUCCUGACAGUGCCACAGAACUUCGUGGUAGUGAAACGAGCAGAGAGUGAUAGAUUUGAAUGUGUUGCCUUCAACACCAACGAUAACGCUGUGGCAUCUGAUCUAGCAGGCCGUACCUCAGCCAUCAGGGCAAUGCCGCUGGAGGUGCUGGCCAACGCAUUCCAGGUUUCGGUAGAGGAUGCUAGAAGGAUCAAGUCUGGAAAGCAAGAGACAAUCCUGACUAGGUCCCAGUCUGGAAGGAGGUCUGCUACUUAAGAUGUUAAUGUUAUGUAUAAAUGUAAUGAGGCAAGCUAGCCUUCUCCCUUUUCUUUUCUUCUUCCUCUUUUAGAAGGGGACUGCAUUAUGUAAGUGUUGGCAAAUAAAAUGUGGUAAUGGCAAUAAAUGCAGUGUAGCCUUCUAUGAAGAAGCAAUGGAAGUAAUGCAGAUCAACUCUUUUCUCCAUGUUAUUGCCUAUAUAGGGAUCUAUUAAGAUUCUUCUUAAAAAUUGAAAAAAUAAAAACCCAUUUCCUAGGCAAGAGUUCUCUUUCUGAAUAAUUCACUUCUUUAGAUGAAUUUAAUUAAUGGGCAUUUUCACACUGAAUUCUCUUCCUUUUCCCCUUGCUCGAGCAAUGGGAGUUGUAACGUAAAUGAAUUGACAGUUCAGUAAUGGCAAUACUAUUACAUAUUAAUCAUCAUAAAAUUAUUUUAUAUAAAUAAUUAUAAUGAUCACAUCAGUCAUCAUGAAUAGUUAACUAAAGAUUAAUUAAUCAUUACAUAAUUAUGAUUAUUACAUGAAUUAUACUUUACAUCAAUUAUUUUUCUGAAAUAUUAUAAGCAAUAUUACAUCAUUUAUUAAAAAAAAAAAAAGAGGACUCUGGGGACAUUCGCUCAGGGUAUUAUACUCAGAAAUUAGUCUUAUACAGAAUUACUCUUGAAAAUGCUCAGGAUAUUUUAGUCUCCUUGGGGCAUUCAGGAAUUACAUAAUUUAACAUGAUUCUGAACUCUCAGGUGAUAUAUAUGUAAGCUAAUAAGGAGCUUUUAAGUAAAAGCAAGAAGCUAAUAAGGAACUAAAAUAAUGAGAAAUGCUUUAAAGAUAUAUGUAUAAUUAAGGGGUAGCAUAUAAACAUUUAAAAUCUAAGAAAGAAGCUAUUUUUUAUUGAUCAUGUAAGCUGGUACAUAGGGUUUGGCUUUAGAUCUGUAGUAAAUCUUUCUCUUUUUUAGGGUUGUGUUUUCAAUGGUUAUCACUAUUUUACCUGGUUCACUUAUGUAAAAAGAAUUCCUAACACUCUCCCCAAUUCUCUUUUCCUUGUAUUUUCUCAGCAGAAUCCUGUAUGAGCCUUCAUCAUCUGGAAUGAACUCUUCUUUACAAGUCACCUCCCAUCCAACCACAGUAAAAUCCCAAACCAUUGUCACCCCAGCCUAAUAAUUAAAUUAUGUAAACAUCAUUAAUAAAUAAUUAAAUAAGAACCCAUUAAGGAAAUGAAAUAAUUCAGUGGCAUGCUUCAAUUAGCUUUUAGUUAAAGUAAUCAAGUGAAGCAUUUAAUUGACAUAUGAAUGAAAGCAACUAAUUAAAUACAGAUAUUAACUAGUACCUCAGAGACAGGAAUUCUGAUGCACCCAGCUGAAUUUGUUCUCACAAUCAGCUCUGAAGCAUUGUCCACAGGAGAAAAUUCAACAUCAUUCUCUCUUUUCAAACCUCCAUAUUCAACUGGAAGGUUUUCUGGAGAAAUGUACCUUCAUGUUUGUUCAAGCACAAUUGUAGAGUGAAUCAUAAAUUAAUAUACUGCAUAAUGAUAAAUUAAUAUACUGCUAGGGCAAUUGGGUUAGCUAGCCACACUAGUACAGGUAUCUUUUCUCCCUAAAUGGCAAGGGGACAGGUGUUCAUAUCUUGAUACUGUUUUAACUUGUAUAAACACUUUUUUAAGGUUCAAAAAAAGAAGCAAAGGAGCUAUAUAUAUAUAUCAUCAGGGCACUUACUUUAAAAGGGUCUGAGUGACUUUCGAUGGCCUAGCAAUAAUGAACUUCCCUUUCGUUCUAUGGUUCAGGAUCUUGGAUGAAACUAAAUGUGAUGUGUAAUGCCAGAAUGGGACAUUUACUAAUAUCUGCAAAAUAGUAACAUAAUGCAGCACUUGAGCCAAGAUCCAUGUAUUUGAUGCAAGAAAAAGAAAAAAAAUUCAGAAUAAAAAUGAGUUGAUUAAUUUUCACUUACAUUUUUGUAAAUAAUCUCAGGAUAAUUGGCUUGGAACAACAGGAAGGCUUUCUUGCUAACAGCACGUAACUCUUUCAUUUCUGAUCCGCUGUUCUUGAAAUCUGUAAUCUGAAGCAUAGAGUCUGCCUCUCCCGCUUUGAAGGAAAGUUUCCCGAUACUUCUUUCCAUGAACUGAAUUCUCCAUCUCAAGAAUUUCUCACGUUUUUCCUCUGUUCCUAAUACUCUCCUAUAUAAUUCUUUGUCCUUGAAAGCCCCAUAUACUGUAUAAUACAAAGGGUGGCCUUCUUUGUCUACACUAUUUAUGUACAAAAACCUAUCAAGAUCAAGAUCCAGAUGCAAAUUCUCUUCAAGGAUUGCAUCAGUCUUGUAUUCCUUUCGCCAAUUAAGAGUCUUUCGCAGCAUAUGAAAGGCAUCUUGAGCCUUAAACUCCUUAGCCUUCAGGAAUUUCAAUAGCACAUUGUCUGUGCUUUCGUGGCCUUUACUUGGCAAUAAAGGCACACCCCAAAGGGUAAUAUCUCUAAGUUGUUCUUUCAUCUUCUGACAUUCUUUCCUGGAAAUUAUUUUUUUAGGUUUCUCAAAAAGACAAUUGCCAAGAAUUGCAUCUUCUACCAUGCACCUGAAUUCCAAUAAGGCCUUUUUCUUUUUCAAUUUCAUUUCAGUACAGGCAGCUGUAUUCUUUUCAUCUUCCUGAAUUCUUGAUUCAAUAUCUAUACUAUCAGUGCUUUUAUUUUCAUGAGCCUCAAGCCAUCUAAAGAUCAUCUCUUCUUCAUAUUCUUCAACCUCAUUCUCAAUUUCUUGAUGAUGGAUACUCUCAAUUUUCUCCUCCAUUCUUGUUUUUAAAUUUGGAGAGCCAAGAAAAGCAUAAAUCCAAUGUUAGAGGCAGAGAAAGGAAUGGCUGAAAUGGGGAANNNGGGUUCUGGACUCAAAAAGCUAAAAUGAGUUUUCAAAUUCCAACCAAUAAUAUAUAUCUUUCCCCAAAUUUAGGAUAGGGGUUUUGAUUUUGUGGAACUUUUGUUUUUAAAAAAGAAAUUGUUUUAGUGUUUAUUUUUACGACUAGGAGACUUGGACGGUUUUGGAAUUGAUGGUUGUUGAAGAGAGUUAAAUUUAGAUUUUUAUAAGGUGGAGAAAAGAGAGAGAAGUGUUAUGUCAAUAAGUAUCAGAAAGUUUUAUUCCAUUCUUGCACACUGAAUACUACUUUUUAAGUUGGAUAAUCACAAUUAGAAGUCCCAUACUUGGAUUCUUUUUCUUGUUUUAACUAAAUGUUUUUCUUCCUUUGAAAUUUUGAACUUAUCAUCUUUCUUUUUUAUCAGUUAUAAAAUGCAUAUUUGAACACAAGUUUAAAACUAGAAAUUGACUACACCUGCCUACCAAUAGUUAUUCUGUUGGUCUUUUUAACAGUUGAAAGAAAGUUGAGCAAUAUCAACAUAUAAAAUGUAAAAUAACUCCGUUACACAGAGAGAGAGGGGUUUGAACUGUCCAAAUUUCUAAUUCAAGGAUUGAAUCAAAUAUUCUGUUGAAACUCCAGAUGUUCUAGCCUACAAAUUAACUAAUUGAAUUUACAUACAGAUCGGGUUUUUCCAACCUGAAGACAUUUUUCUUUUGAAACUAGAAGUUUGUGACAUUCCUUCUGGAAAGAGAAACAUUUUUCCAGGGUAUCAGGACCUUUGUCAACAGAUGCAUCCACCAUAUUCUGACGCAGUAGUUUACAUUACUUUUCAGGAUGCGAUAUCCAACGAGGGAGAAACGCUGGCAAUCCAAUACAUUUUGUUACUUCCAACGUGAGGAACCGGUACUAACACCUAUCACACUGCCUAUUAAGAUCGUACGAAACAAACUUAAUACAUUAAUCUUUUCAUAUUUACAAGCAGUAAUUGCAAGGAUGUUAGCAACUGAGGUAUUCACAAAACAAGUUAUCUGCUGUGAUCUGCAAUCAUCUGCAACUGGAUUCUCAAGACUGUCGAUAUCCAGUCAAGUCAAAAGUCAGAGUUCUUGAACAGCUGCAGAAAAAGAAAAGGCAAAAAAGAAAAAUUCACACAAAUCAAACUUAUGACAGCAAACCACAACACAGUAAAACUGCAGCAGUAAACCAAUUAAGGUAUUACCCGAAGAAAAUGCAAAAUGAAAAAGCUCACCUUCUCUCCGAAUCCCUGUAAACCCCAACCAAAGCUUCAGCCUUGUCAUAGAAGCUAUCCUUCAAGGAUAUAACAAUACUCUGAAAACCACUGCCACCAUCAGCAUUCUGAUUACUCCGGACUCCUUCACAUGAUUUUGAGCGAAUGAAUCCGGCAACCUUUGCAACAUUUAGAUUAUCUAAUGCAGCAUCGACUUCAUCCAAUAUGAAAAAUGGCGACGGCCUAUAGCUGAAAUCACUCAAAAGAUGAGGCAAUUAAUGCAAAUCAUAAAUGCUAUCCCACUUUAUCAUAAAACAUGCAAUACAUAAGGAAGUAAUUUAUCAACUGAAACAUACAUUUUAGAUGAGGAAAAACCAUUAAGUUUAGAGUAGAAGACAACCAGUAUGGCGAGUGAAAGCAAGGCAAGCAUCAAGGAUCUCGCAUCACCGACAACUUAUCAAAUUAAGUUGGCACAUAUAUAGGCCUCAACUUAUCCAUAUGAUGGAGGGGUCCAGUAAUGUUAAGCAUAGGAGCUUGAUAUUAAUAAUUCACAUCGUAUUAUUUGGGCCAAUAAAGGCUUUCGUUCAGAGAGGAUUGUUGCUUGAUUUGAAUUGCAGGAGAGUUUAUUGUGUUGUGCAAACAUAUGCAAGUUAAACCCCCAUCAGUCCUAGAUAUCGAGUAUCUAAGGCUGUGUACAUCUUGCACAUUAAACUCCUAGGGCAUUAAUGCGGUCCCCACAAAGUCUUCACUUGAACCUUGUCACACAAAAUUACAUAAUAGACCAAGCAACAAUUCUCCCAACCAACCGCAUAACCACAUACAAAGAGGGAUGUAAAAGUACACAGAGUUUUGACAAGCAGUUGAUCUACCUAUCAGGACAUACCUGUGAAUAGAAAAGAGCAAAGCCAGUGCUGCAACAGUCUUCUCCCCGCCAGACAGCUGUUCCAUAUCACGGAAACGCUUAGUUGGUGGCAUAGCAGUGUAUUUGAUGCCAUGUAAGAAAGGGUCAUCCUCGUUAUCUAGAUUCAGAUAUGCCGUCCCACCAAGUGGGUGUGUGUUACUCUUUGUUAGUUGUUUAUAAAUUUUGUCAAUAUUGUUUGAUAUGUGGUUAAAAGCUUCCAUAAACAACUCGUAUCUGUAUAAACAAAAUUGAAGACAGGUAUUAAUGCAAAAACAACAUAAUCAAUUGCUUUUAUUAUAUUUCAGCUCGCAAGAAAAUGAUCUAAGACAGAUGUGCACAAACAGUCAGAUGCAGUGGCAAACAGAAGAAUAUCAAUAUCGACAAUAGAAAAUGAUCAACCCAUGUAAAUAAAGAGCCAUUUCACAAAGAGCAGCACCAUCAGCCCAAAUGGCUGUUCAGCAAGGAUGAUUCCUGGAAGCUAUUUUAAUUAACUACCUACUUCAAUCAUAUAAAAUAAAAUGGAAGUGCACCUGGCAAAAGGAAAUUGGUGCUACAGUCCUCAUUGUAUUCCAUUCCUUUUAGAGAAUAUUCUCAUUAGAAAAUUCUAUACUGCCCUAACAUCUUUAUCUGAGGAGCCGGUUAAUUAUUAUGAAUAAACAGCUACUAUACAACAAAAUUUAAUUAUCACCUUCUCUGUUUAACUGAAUUGUAAGCAUCAGCUACUCGCUUCUCCUCUUUUCUGGCUGCUUCAAACUCUUCAGUUACUACUCUUUCCUUCUCUUGCAAAGCUUCAUACUGGUCCAGAGCCUUCAAGUUUGGAGCAGUUUUUUCAAUUUCUGACAUAAUGGCAUCCAUUUUUUGCUUAAAAUCCACCUCAAGUUUUUCCCUAUCAGAAGGUCUCCUAUCCUGAAGAAGGGAUCUAUUCAGCUCGCUAAAAUCAAAAAAUGGGCCUGGGAUCAUGGAGUCAACUUCCAUAGGAUCUGAAAUAGUGGGAAGGUUAAUAUGCUCUAAUUCACACUUCUCUACUAUAUCCUGCUUCCGAGACAAUAGCUGCUCAAUCUGUCCCUCCUGUGAAAACAGGGAAAAAAGACAUCAGUAGCAGUACAAUAGGGUACAUUCCUUGCCACUCUAUAGAAUCUUGGAGGAAGAAAGCAACCCUUGUAGCACCUUAGAGUUUAUCUGACGGUUGAGCUUGGAUAUGCUUGUUGUAGCUGCAGAACCCUGCUUCCUCCAUUCAAGCAUCUCUUUCUCACACUCUUCUGCCUUGGAUUUCCAAUCUGUAGGACGAAAACAGAAAAAUUAAAAACACAAUACAUGAAAUUAUCUACUGAAAGAAGGAAAAUAGAAAGACGAAGAAUUUUGGGGCAUCUUCAGAAGCCAGUUUGAAAUCCCAUUCUCUCACGAAACUAGAAAUUAAUUUCAGGUAAUUUUCAUUUAACAAUUCCUCAAUUUUGGACCACACUGGAAACACGAAUUACUCGAUAACAUGACUAAUAAAUUUAGGCCUCAAGAAAACAUCAAAGAGCAAGGACUACAGAGUUCUUGAGAGAAUAAUAUGAUAGGCAUUUACCAUUUACUAUUCCUUGUGUUAGUCUAAAAGUAAACUGAAGUAAAUCUAGCACAAUUCCAAAAGAGUUAGAACUGCCUACGUCAUUUCUUCAUUCUCUUCUCAAUUUGUUGUCCACCUACCUAAAAGUAAACUCAAGACCUGGCUUCUUGCUUCUAUAUGAAAUAUGAAGAGUCAAACCAUACCUCUCACUUCUUCCUUCCACUUAUCCAUAUCACCAGUAGCUUUCUCUGUUGCUAACUUGACUUCAGCUUCUUUUUUCUGAAUUUGUUUUAGUUCGUUUUCUAAAGAACUGAUAGACGUUUCCAAUUUCUUAAUUCUUGAUUCCAUGUCUCGCUUUUGCUCAUACUCCAACCUGAAAAGAAAAGGAAAGAGGUGAUAAAGGACCAUUACAUACAAAACAAAUGGCAAAGCAGUGUGAUAUUUAGCAUGAAGAGGCUCUCUUCAAGUUCCAGAAAUACAACAAGGCUAAUGUCAAACAAAUCGAGAUGGAAUAAUGGAUCAAGUAGUCAGCAUCAUAGCACCAAUACCACAGAAAAAUAAAAGGUCUGGAGGACUGCCUUGUCCUUAUCUUAGCCUCUACAUUCAGUCAAACACAAAAUCUAGAGAAUAUUCAUGUAAUUUAUUGGUAAAAUAUGGCAUGAGAAUAAGAGUAACAGUGUAACUUCUCCACUUCAUAAGCAUCAGAAAAUUAAGACUUGAACAAGAGAAAAAUUUAACUUUUCCUCUCCGGUUUUACUUAUUCCUUCCAUUGAUACAAAACAUAUGGCUGUCUCAACCAUAUUUUUCAUACACGGACAGAGACAUGUAAAUGAAAAAUAUGGUCUCUAAGCAACAGAAAAUUAAGACUUCCUUAAGAGAAAAAUUUAAGUUUUCCACUCCAGUGCUCCCCCAUCCCUUUGACAUGUUGCUACUGGCUUAGAUAUUGUGAAAUUACCUGUCCCAGUCCAAUUAAUAUUUUAUAUAUGAUUGGAUGCUGUUUAUAAUUCUAAAAUGGCUCUCCUGGUCCAAGCAUUUUCAGUUUGCUCCAGUUAAUAAAAGAAUUCAAAGGACAAGCCCGUAAAGACAUAACUUUAUCUGAAUACUUCCGUAGCACAUAGAUAGUACUCGGAUGCAAAUCCUGGUGGUAGCUUAAAGCUUAAAUCAUAUAGCAAGGAAAGUGCAAAAUUAUAAGCUCAUUGAUAAUCUUAAGUUUUUUUCCUGAUGACCAAAAAAUCAGCGAUUUUUGUUUAGCAAGAAACAGACCAUUGACUCUUUGCACAAAAGUAUCAUUAGAAUAACCACACAUACNNNNNNNNNNNNNNNNNNNNNNNNNNNNNNNNNNNNNNNNNNNNNNNNNNNNNNNNNNNNNNNNNNNNNNNNNNNNNNNNCUGGGAACCUGCAGCCUCUUCAAAACACAAAUACAGACAAAAUAAGGCUACAAGAAAGAGAAACGUACUGGUACUUCAACUUUGCCAGCUGAUUACUUAUGUUAAGUCUUUCUUCCGCAACAUGUUGGGCAGCCUUAAGAUGGUUUUCUUCAUACUCACGGAUAUUUGUUACCCCAACAACCUUACCAAAAUCUUUGUAAAUUCGAUCAAUAAUCUCAUUGAUUCUCUUCUCCAACUUUCUGAUUUCAGUGGCCCUUUUAUCAAUACCAUCCUUUAGCUGCAGAUGGUAAAAAGUAUGAAAUGUAGUUGUUUCAGCAGAUAUUUGCAUAACAUGGUAGUUGACAGGCAGUCAUAACUCAUGACCUUUCAUUACCUUAAGCAGUUCAGGUUUUAUACGAUCAGUUUCCUCUUUAAUAAUCUGCUUUUCCCUUUUCAAGGUUUCAAGUUUGUCCUUGAUACUUCUCUGCGACAAAAUCAUCAGAAGCAGAGUUAAUUAAUGGAAAAAGAGUAAUAAGCCAAAAAUAAACAUGUUCAACAUCAUCUGCAUAAGCAAAUUAUCAUAUCCCCAUCCAGGCCAUUUGGGACACAACAGAUUUCCCUUAUGGUUUUUGGUUUAAGCAAAAGAGGGGGGAGGAUGUAAAAGGGGGGGAUGGAUGCUCAAUUCUCCUUGUUUGAUUAGAAGGGACAAUAAUAAAAGAUCUAUAAAAAGAAAAACAAAGCAAUUCCAAUUCACCUGCCUGGUCCCAAACUGGACAACUCGGGACAAGCAAAAUAAGCAAAAGAAAAAUUGUCAGGACAAAAAUUUUACAUAAUUUUCUUACCAUUAGCAAAUUCACACCACAUUUUUAAAAUUCAAAUUUCAAAGAAGUAGGGUACAAUAGCAAGUUUGAUAAUGAUGAUAUAUUGUUCCUUUAUUAUCUCAUUCCAGCCAAACCACGAUGGAUAUUAAAAAAAAAAGGGAAGAAAAUUAUUUAUCUCUCUUCAAACCAGACAAAUCAAGAAUAGUAAAAAUCAAUUCUUUUGAUCUACCUUCCUCCCCAUCUACUUGCUUCCAUACUUCCUUUUCUCCAUCCUCCCGACCAAACACAUCAUUGAUUCUUAUCUUUCCUGUCUAUCUCUUGUAUCAAUAACUUUCUUUAUACCAAGUACUAACCCAACACCUUCAACAAGAACCAUGUCCACCGCUUUCUGACAUAUAUAGCAACAUAACUGUGGCAGACAGCGGGAGAGAAGAUUCUGUCUAUCCACCACUAGUAUCUUAAAUUUUCUCCGAAGCAUUGUUUUUCAGACUUGCUCAGAAUUCAAAUUAGAGCACACAAAAGGCAAAUAAUACAAUCAAACCAACUAGUCCAUAUUUUCAAAACCAAUUUAAACACCCCAGCAGAAUGAGGCUGUUAGAUAUGUAGAAAGGAAGGUAAUCCCAAUAGAAGAGUACCUACCUUUUCAAUCUCUGCAUACUGAAUCUUCUUUUCAAGUCCACUAAUUUUCCCAGAUGCUUCAGAUUCUUUUAACUUCAUCUCUCUAUCUGAUCCAAGCUCUUCCAACUCUUUCUCGAGCUGCUCUUUCUUCUUCUUUAGCUCUACAGAGCACUAAAUGUUAGUGUUUUCAGCAGUGUGACUAAGAGAAAGAAAUCAAGAAGGGGUGUGUUGCUGAGUUUACUUGCAAUAGAUUCUUUAAUUUUAUCAUUAUCCCACUGUUUUGACCUUGCUUCCAUUCCACCACUGGUACCACCAGUCAUUGUUCCGGACUUUGUGAGUAGGAUCCCAUCAACAGUUACAACUAAUGCAAAUGUUUUUAAGAGAAUAAGUACUUAAAAAAUUACAAGAUAAUUUGAAAGAUCCAACCAACAUUAACUGAAAAGGGAAUUAAUUACCUUUAAACCUUUCUCCACUCCAGCUAAGAACCUUGGCUUCAUCUAGGUCAUCACAUACUAAAGUAUUUCCAACAGCAAAGAGAAUUGCCUUCUCAAGAACAGGAUCAAAUGUGCAAUAGUUAAGUCUACAAAUUUAUAAUAUUGAUGCCCUUUGCUUCCUCUCUCAGUUUACUUGAUACUAAAAUCAAGACAAUUACUUUUGAGAUUUCUGUUUAAUAGUAAAUUAUUUUUCUUAGCUUGUAACGAAUAAAAAAGACAAAACAGAUGGAAGCAAAACAUAUUAAAAACACAACAGGAAAACAUAAUACACAUAAAGAGCAGCAGAUAAGAGAAAUCUACUUGCCAAUUCUACUGUGACUGGACGUGUGUACAGCAACAAAAGCAGAUUGAUAUUUGGCAGUGCAAGAGUUAAUGCAGAGGAGAUAAUAUGGAAGCCAAUUAAGUGAAAAUUUGUUCUUAGCUUCAUCACUCGCAAUAUACUAGAUAUACAACAAAGCAGGAACAUGGUAGCUGGAUCUGGGGAACAAGAAGUCCAUAAUGGAUGUGAAAUCAAACUAAAACAACAGAGGAACCAAACAAUAAGAAACAUAGGAAACAAAACAUAUGCAAAAUAUUCCAAAUUCCACUAAAGCGAACACUAAUUUGAAUCAUUUUUUUGUCAGAAUAACCAAAUAAUGUAAAGGAUAUUGGAUGACAUCAAAGACCAACUUAGCAGUACCACCUAAGGUACGCAACCUUUCAAUGAUUGGCUUUACACGAACUGAUUGAAGAGGUAUGAAAGUUUGAGGAGGAAGCCUUUUCUCUUUCAGAUACUGCAGAAAACAAAAUUGGAAUAAUACCUUCAGCGGAACUGUAUUUUAACAUAAACUGAUUAACUAUGUUAGUAAUCAAGAAAUUAAAGUUAGAUAUUAACUAAUGAUACAAUAGUAAGGCUAUAAUCGACAAUACAUAGAUUUACAUAACUUAAGUUAGACAACAAUGUUAAAACAUGAGCAGUUACUUAACAGGUCAAAACAAAUACUACCUUAAUGCACUCUUUUCCUGUAUAUUCAUCUUCAACCACUACUGCAUCCAUAAAUCUACCCAUAGCUACAGUAACAGCAAGAUUGUACUUCUUCUGAGUUGGCCUACAAAGAUCAGUCAUUCGUCCAUGAACUCCUUGGAAUAGGCGCUUGAGAUCCUCAACAGCUUGAGACAACCUAGCAUCCCUCUCAUUCUCAUAUUUAUCAGCUUUCACUUCUCGCAACUGGAUUUCCACUUCACCAAUUCUAGACUUCAAAUUUUCACAUUUAAUCCUGACAAUGGUCAAUAGAAUGUCAUUUUUUACUUUUAUAUAUUACAGGAUUUCAUAAAAUACACCUAACUAAACUAAUGCUAACCAAAUGUUACAAAAACACAAGUUUAUAAACCUGAGAUAGAACAUAAAUGAAGAUUAGAUGAACUUUUCGAAAAUUAACAAAUAACUUAAAUACCUGGAAUCACGGUGUUUAUCAUGCAUCUCUCUUGAAUCCUUUUUCAAAUCAGCCAAUUCCUUCUUAUUCUUUGUGGAAGUUUCCUGAAUCUUUUCUUGUCUUGCUCGCAUUUGUGCCUCCUGUGCGUUUAGUUCAGACUCCCUAUUUUUCAACUGUUGAAGGUUUUCUUCUAAAUUCUUUUGAGCUUCCAUAUCAGCAUGUUGUUGCCUGUCCAGAACCUCCUUUUCUUCCCUUAGCUUGAUAGUUUUCAUCCCAGCAUCCUCCUUACUGUAGUGUUAGCAUUCUAAUAAUCAAGAAGGCUAUAGGAAAACAAUGUUUGGAAUACCAAAGUUGAGAGGACAGGAAGAAGCCUUAAAUAUUGGAUGUCCUUCUAUUUAGUCUGGAUUUUAAUGCUCUAUUAAGUUAUAUAAUGCAGCAUAGCUUACUGAUGAGAUACAAAUACCAGAACCAUCAUAUUAUUUUGCUAAAUGACGACAGUAUGGACGCAGAUAGUGAGAUUAACUGCGCAUAGAAUAAAAGUACAAGAGUAUGAUUCAUUAGAGUUAAUAUGUGGUCCUCCGAAGCUCAAUAAAUAUAUUACAUAGCCUAAAUCUUUCAACUGGAUCUAAAUACCGACAAAAUUCACUCUAGUUAAAGAAUAACUACCUCCUAUUUAGUUACUGAUUUACCCAAGUUAAUAACUAGUUAUAUACAUAGUUAAACUUUAUACACAAGGGAUUAACUACAGUGAUCUUUUCCAAAUCCUUCUACUCAGAUUUAAGAAAGAACAAUUGAAGCUUUAAAAUUUUAUGACAGUACACAUGCAAGUGAAGAGUUAAACACAUUAGAAACUUACAUUCGAAAAUAUUCAGUUAAUUGACCAUCAGCCAAGGGGAGUUUGUCACUAGUAUCUCGACUUUUUUCAUGCAGAUCUUCUAGCUUUGCAGUCAGAUCUAGUAUCCCCUUCUGCAGCUCAUCUAUCUCAUCAGCAUGUUUCCUCCGUUCUUCUCUUUUUUUAUCAAGCUCCUUACGGCUACUCUUGAUUUUUGAAUUUAUACGAGUCAUUGCCUCAUUUAAUUUCAGAAGCUCUGGUUGCUAGAACAGCAGGACAACAAAAUAAAUAGAACAUAAACUAUUGAAACCAAAAAUUAUCAAUUAAUGAAAAUAGAUAAUCACGAUCCACAAUUUUCCAAGAACCUAUGAUACCCACAUGAAAACCCAAAAAAAAAUUCACAAAUACAUUGAAAUUCAUUAACAUACAGAUUCAGACACAUGUGUUCAACAUAUCUAUACAUAUUGCAUAACCUGCAAUGAUUAAACCAUUUACCAUGCAAUACCAUAUGCAACUUUUUAAAUGAAAUAUCCAUGCAUGAAGAAACAAUAGUAGAAGUGCCAGGAGCUUCCUUCAAAAGUCGUAAACAAACAUUCCUAUUAACAGCAGAAAGCGCCCAAGAAAAAUUUGCCAAGUAACAGUUACAUAAAUGAUGCUCCUAAUUUCUUACUAUUCAAAGUCUCUCCAAAUAGAAGAUACCAUUUCAUCAAAACAUCCUAACACUCUUUCUUAUGGAGUAGCAGUCAUUACUACAUCAGUUCAGAAUCCGAAAAUAAAUGAACCUACACAUUUUUCAUUUAUUAAAAAAAAAGAUGGUUUGCUUCAUUGUUAAUAAAAAUUCAGCUCAGUGAUGCUAUGACCCAUUCCCAUUUCGAUCAAGCUACAUAAAUCUCCACCAUUCUACCCUACUAAAGAUCAUAUUCUCUAUUAGAACUUGGACCGACCACAUUUUUACAUGUGCAUGCACAUGCCCAAAGCCUACCUAAGAUCGUUUCUAUGUCAUACCAGGAAAAACCAUUUAAAACAAUAACUGUUAAAACAACAAAAUGCCAGAAGAACUCACAUUCUUGUCAAGUUUUGAACUUCUCUCUGCAAUCUUCCUUUCACAUUGAGCAAUCUCUUUCAGGUACUUGGCUAGUUCUUUUUUCUUCUUAUUUUCUUCUAUGUUAAACUUCUCUAAUUCUUGCAUGACACCUUCACGAUUUCUCUUUUCAGUUUCAAGGUCAUCAUUGAUCUUGUUUAUGUCUUUGUCUAUGAUAAACAAUUGCCAUAAGAAGUGUUCUUUUUUCAGAGCUUUCUGCAGAACAAAAAUGAAAACAAAGAUAAGAAAGCAAUUACUUCCAUGAAAAAACAUAUAAGCUAUUAAGGAAAUACUUGGUCACAUCUCAGCAUCUGAGCAGAAAAGACAUGAAAUGAUAAUCUGCACAGUAAUGUACAGUCAAUACCAGUUGAUCUUGCAAGCGAAGAUGUUUUUCUGCUUCUUCCUUUUGCUCUUUCUUUUGUUUCCUCUCCAUAACUACUGUUCUUUUUUUCUGAUAAACAAGAGCAGAGUUUUCUUCAGCACGGGCCUUCCUUUCUUCCAGAUCCUCGUAUUCUCUCUUGAGAUCCUCAGACCCAGAAAUCUGCUCAAGCAAUGCAGUCAAUUCUUUUGGGUUUUUAGAGGCAAUAGAUUCCACAUCACCCUACAUAAGAAACCAAAUGUUGUCAUUCAUAAGCUCCAACUCUAGAAUACUUAACUAUAGUAGCCACAAUACUUGAUAAGUAAACAAUCUCCGGUGUUUCUUUCAAUCAAGUCAAUAACUUACCAUAUAAAGUUUCUAUGGACAGGUUCCUUCAAUCCAAAUUAUAACACCAAGCUAACCAACUCUUCCAUUAGAUGAUAUAGAAAAAAGGGCAGCGAUAUAGAACCCAACCACAAGAUGAUGAACAUAGGCAACAGUAACAUAUAUGCUAAAAGGCAACCAAAAGCUCAAUGUGCAAAACUCCAAAAAGAAUUUGCUCAUCAAACUCUCCAAAUAAACAACAAAAAAAGCUUGUUUGAAUAAAUCAGAUGCAAUAAUUUGAAUAGCAUUCUAACCAAAUAUUGUUGGCGUGAUGUCAAUUCUUUCAAAAUCCCUCAUUUGUUUAACUUUGAUUGCAUUUUAGAGUUUCCAAACACUAAAUAACAAUAAAAACAAACACCUAUAAAAUUGCUUAAACUAAAUGGAAUUAAAUCCACAUAGAGUGAACAUUUAAAUCAUAUAAUAUGAAUUAAUUAACACAAAAAUACUCCAAAAAUAUAUAACAGCACAACUAAAAGUAUUUUAGAUUAAAUUAAAAAAAAAAAAAAAGAACAAUAAAAAAGUUAAAAGUUCACCUGAAAGACCAAAAAAUUCCUAGCCUUAACAAGAAUACCCAAAGACCUUAGUCUUCCAUUAUACUCAUCCCAAUUAACAACCUUGCCAUCAAUCCGAUACUCACUGCUUCCUGAACUCGUAAUAGUCCGGGUAAAAUGAAGCUCCGACCCGCUUGCUAGCAAAUAAACCAACCGUACAUAAGCUCUACGACCUUUCUGCUCCUUUUCACGAUCAUCAUAUGCGUAAAUUAGAUCCUUAAGCUGGGCCCCACGCAAUUGACCUGUACGGACACCAAGUACGAAGCUAAUUGCGUCCAUUAAGUUUGAUUUCCCAGCUCCAUUUGGUCCAAUUAUUGCCGUGAAGUCUUUAAACGGGCCGAUUGUUUGUUGUCCUUUAUACGAUUUGAAGUUCUCUAUUUCUAAUUUGAGAAUUUUACCUGUUGAUAUCAUUGACGGCAUCGUUUUUUUUGGUUCUUUUGAAGUGACGGGAACUUAGAAUUAGGGUUUUUAUCGAGUGAAAAUUCAAAGAAGAAGAAGAAGAAGAAGAUGGAGUUAGGGUUUCAUGGAUUUUUUUUUCGUUUUAGGGGGUUAGGGUUUUGAUUUGUUGAAGAAUUGGCGGGAGAGAUUUUUCUUAUUUUCUUUUUUUUUUUAUCUUUAGGAAUUUUUUGAGAGUUCAAGGGAAGUGUUGCAUAGUAAGAGCAUCACCAGUAGACACUCGUAGCACACGAAAUGAAAUGGAGAUUCUUUUUGUUCUUUUACGAUUAUGCCCCUUUUUUUCAAAUUGUUGCUGCUGGUCAGCCUGUUUUGGAGAAGGGUAAAACGGAAAUAAGUUUUUAAUUGGGUUGGUUAGAAGAAAAAACCCUCCAAUUUUGUGUGACCCCACGUAGAGUAAUAAAUCCAGAUUAACUUUUUCCAUUGUAGCUUUUAUGAUCCGACCUUUUUCUUUAACAGAUAAAAUUGAUCCUGUAACAAUUUGGAGCAGAGCAAGAACCAAGAACUAACCACUAUUGCAGAAGGAAACUGAUGCGUGUGCCACCAUCAGGGUCUAAACCAAACAAAUAACUCAUUUGCUAAAAAGGAAAACCUCAGUUACAGAAGGCUCAAUCUAAUUACAAUAGCCUAAUUAUUAAGUUAACAAAUACACUGCAAGAAGGGAAACACAGAUCGGUGUGAGAAAUCAGGGACUAAGAGAUGUAUUAAUUUUGCAUAUAGCAUAAACCUGCAUUCAGACCCUCCAGAUCCCGAUUUUUCAAACACUAACUGCUGCUGCUGCUAGGUUCAUUGCUGCUCUCUUUUUGGGGAUCUGCUGUCUUGGUUUCAUUUUUAUUAUGUCCAGCCUGCACAGGCAAAUUAUCCUCCUCGGUGUCUUCAGAACUCUCAGGGAGUUGCUCUUCACAUUUUAGACCAGCUUCCAGUUCCUUGGUGUUAUCAGAACUCUCAGGGAGCUUCUCUCCAGAUUUUAGACCAGCUUCUAGCUUCUCAUAUUGGGAGAUGACUUGUUGAAGCUCAUCGUUGAUAGCAAGUGCCUCAAAUAGCACUGCCUCGUCAUCUGUGGUGCUCUGUAUGAUCCUCUGUAUGACAGGCUGUGAUUGCUUGCAAUUCUCCAAUAAGCUCACUGUCAGAUCCUCCUGCAACCACACAAAAUAUUCAUAGUUUCAGUCACUUAUCCUUGUGCAUUUCUGUUCAUCUCUCUUUAUCUAGCCUAAAUGAAGGCUCUACCUAUGAUGCAGAUGAAAAAUCAUAAACAGUGAGAUCCCAAGGAACAGAACUCCUCCUCAGUUAUAAAUGACCAUUUAUUCCGAUUCAAAUACAGAAAGGCAACUCUUAAAUUUCUUUUACUAUCUAAAAUUUUGAUGUGAAAUCUGAUCCCUAUUCCCUCACUCACAGCAGUACAUGUUAAAAUAGAGCCUGCUUAGCCUAAGAAUGACAGGUACAGAACUAAAAAUACAAAUGUUUUAUCAUAAAACAUCAGUUACCGAUAGACAAAAGGAGCUGCAUAUCUUGGUUUCUCAUAGCAAAAUCACUUACCUGCACAUUUGCUGGAACUUACUAACAAUUUUUGAAUAAAAAGGUUCUGAAUUUAGGCAUAUCAAAGUAAUUGAACCAUAAACUCGUGUAAAUUGUAAAGAAAAUUUUUUAAAAAAAAAAAACUUCACAGAAUGCUAUAAACUAUUCAAAGUAGUGAUUAAAAAAGAUGAUCUAUAAACUAAAGGCAAUGUUUCAUUGUAGAAUACCAAGAAAAUAAGUUACCUUUAUGGGUUUUGGUUCAGUAUCAGAAUUUAGAAUACUAGAGAGAAGUUCAAGGCUGUUCCGGAUUGUCGCGAGAUAUUCAUUCUUUCCUUCAACUGAUAAGCUCCCACUAUUAAAUCUCGAAGUAGUAUGGUUUUGAACAUCAAAUUCUGUUUGAGGAAUAGGAUAUCUUUCUGGGUGAGACAGUGGUUGCUGAUGAAUAUAUGACUCCAGAGUAUAUUGCAUGGGAGGUGAAUCCCCAGCUUCUCCUGGUGGAGGCAAAUUUCUUCCUUGCAAACUCUGCCAAGACGAAGAUACAAGAUUGAUUUAAAAGGAGGCAACUAAUUAAGGAAUCAAUACCUCCAAAAACUUAUAAAACAGACUUGCUGUCAGUGCCUUAUUAACAAAUAUGUUGUAGUGAACAGAUCUAAAGGGAUAAAAGAGUAUAUGUUAGCCAAUGGAAAUCCAAGCAUUAAAAAAGACCAGAGCAGACACAAUACUAUUUUUAACACGAUUCCAUCCUCUAACAUUAUUCCCCAAGGGGUAAGCAUCCAAGUUUGCUAUUUAUAGUGGCUUGAGAAUGGACUGAUGUAUCACGUACUGAGAAAGGAUCCAAUUAGGUGCUUGUUUGAGACCCUUUUUUCUGUUAAAAAGCAUGCUUAGUUGAGUGAUGCAGUUUGGAAACCAAGCUGGAAGUUUUAUGCCUAUAACCUGUACAUAUAAGAAAGAAAUAGUUUUUCAAGAAGUUUGAGCAAAGAUCACAUUCCUACAGUUGGAGAUUCUUAAAUCGAUACCAUUCUGAUUGUGCAGCAUGAAAUGAAUCUGCAGUUCCAUCCAAUAUGCAAACAGCUCAUGUUUUUCAUGCAUAGGUCCAAGUUAAAAUGCAGGCUUAUAAACUAUUCAAGUUAAGAAUCAAAUGUGUAUGCAAAAUUAAUCACAACAAAAAAAAUCCAUGAUCAAUUAAUAAAUCAUUUAAAUUACAUAAUUUAUGGCAUACAAAAAGCACAUUUCAGUGCAAUGUCAACAGCAAUAUAAAAAGAGGACUCACCAUAUAAGUUUGUCGAAACACUGGCAGAUACUCAAGAUCCUCAGACUGUCCCCAAGCCCUAAUCAACUGCAAAGCUCUAUCUCUAUUCCCCUGAUCCGCUUGUGGAUUUGCAAUCAUCUUAACCAUCUCAUCCAAAACCUUCUCAACUGCAACUUCAGAAAACACCUUCUCACAAUUCAUACUACAAGUCUCCAACAAAUCAAGACUCAACCUUUGACUGACUGAAUUUUUGCCAGAAAUCUUUCUUUUUAUAGCUCUAACAAUCUCGGUCCCGCUAAACUCUUCACUAUUAAUCAUUGCACAUAUCCUCAAAUUCAUACCCCAAUUUGGUUCCUCCAGCAUCUCUGAUGUUGCCUCAUCAACUAUCCUUGAUUCAGGUGUUGGAGUUUGCAGCAUUUCCUUCACCUUAUCGCUUACCAUUCGACUCAUCUGUGCCCCGCCUGUCUUCAACCGUUCGCCCCAUUGAGAUAUUUUCAAUUUGUCCAUACUUCUUUAUUAUGUCAAACACACAACCUUCAAGGAGUAUUGAUAGACACUAAUUCAAAUACAGCUUUCAACAAUUGGAAUUACUGAAAUUACAUAACAAAUAUUACUACAGCAUCAACAAAUGAAAGAAUUUGAUUCUGUUCUAUUCUAUUUAAUCAAUUAUUGUGUUUGGGAAGCUCAUACUUGCUGAUAUUCAAUCCCCUCAACAUAAGAAAUACACACACACACACACACAUAAACCCUUGGAAAGAAAUGAAAUCAUGUAAAAACUGACAUGGUUUUGCAAGAUUCAUUUAAAUUUUUGCACAUGCUUUCUGCCAAACAGUAACGUAACUGAAUACUAAUUUUCAGCUUACAUUUCACCAUAAAAAGACAAAGCGAAAACUAAUGAACAGGAUCUAACCUAAAGAAGCGAUACUAUUAUACAAUCUGAAUCACGAUUUUGAUAAACAAAAGGAAAUCAAACAAACCUGAGCUUAGCUAAUUGUCAGUAGCAGAACUGUAUUGCAGUUUAGAAAUUUCUGGAGCGUAAUAAGGAGGGUUCUUUGUAAAAAAAGAAAAAUAAAUAAAUAACGGAGGUUUCAGUUGUCAGAUUUAGCCGGAGGGAGGGAAGAGAGAGAGAGAGUGGGAAUAGUCAAAGUCUGAAGUACGCGUGGCUGGAUUACCGGCCACGUAGCAUAAAGCGGAUCCCACUUCUACUCCACUGUCAAGUGUCAAUUCUUCCUUACCCAAAGAUAAUAAUAUUAUAAUACUAUUAGAGAGGUGCACUUCUCUAAGAGAUCAAUGCCUUUGGCAUAAGAUAAUUUAAAAUAAAAAAUAGCUUUAUUUAAAUAUAUUUAGAAAAAUCAAAAUAAACUAAAUGGAUCUGUAGAUAAUUUAUUUUUAAGAAAUUAUAUUCAAUUUUUCUAAUUAUAGAUUGUCAUGGUGUAAAAAUACUUUAAAACAAGCAAAUAUAAUUAUCAAAUAAUUAUAAAAUUAAUUAAAAUAAGUAAUUUAAUUUAUUUAAUUAUUUUAUAUUUUAAAUAUAAACAACUCACUUAAAGUAAAUUAACUUAUUUUUAAACACCAAAAUCCGACCAAAUCAAAUUAACUCGAUCUUAGUAUAAAGUUAAUUAUUUAAGCUGAAAAAUAUUUGACCUAGUUUAACAGCAAUUAUAAAAUAAUUUAUGAUUUAAGUAUAAUAUAAUUAUUAAGUAUUUAAUUUGGACCAAACAUAAUAGUUAUGUGUUUCAAAAAAUUCACUGUGGAUUAAUCUUUUUUCAAUGAAUGUACUUUUGAAAGAGAUAGUGUUAAAUGAUUAAAAUAAUAAAAUUCUAUAAUUGAAACACAGAGUAAAAAUUUUAGUAAAUUUUGAACUAAAAAUAUGAUCAAUUAAAUUAAAAAUGGCAAUGAAGCAGGUUUGGCCUUUUCCAUCUCUAUCCCAUUAAGAAUCGGAACCGCUACAUGUACAUUUUUUUUAAGUGGAAUCAUAUCGGAUUCGAUUAAUAUUUGCUAUAUCUUUUAUAUAUUUUUAUGCUAAAAAUAUAUUUUUAUUAAUUUUUAAAAUUUAUUUAUUUAAUAUUUUAACUAUUAUUAAAUAUAAUUUAAAAAAUAAAGUCUAAAUAUAAAUAAUAUUUAAUAUGUUCUUAUAAAAUUAUAUUUAUUUAUUUAUAUUUUAUAAAUAAAAUAUAUAUUUAGUAUAGUUUGAAGCGGAAAUGGGACAGAGUAGUUUAAACUAGUUCCCGUUCCGUUAAAUAAGUAUUUCUAAUCCUGUUUAAAUUGGAUUGGAUUAUGAAUUUAUCAACGAAUACAAGACAGAUUGUCAUUUCUAGCCAAAUCAUUUUUAUUGAUUAAAAGUAUGAACAAUUUUGAAGAUAAUUAACCUAAAAUGUGUUGGCACCAUAACUAUUUUUAAGUCCAAGUCUAAUAUAAAUGGCAACAAAACUUCAGUCCAUUAAAGAGCUUAUUAUUUUAAUUAAUUAAUUAAUUAUAAGAGUACAAAAAUGAACGCAGUGACAAUAAAAGAGAAGCAUGGAUAUCAAGUGCUAAAAAGAAGGGCAUGUCCCUAAAAAAAUUGAAAACUCUGAGAGCUCUAUAAAUACAAAAGAAAAUCGAAAGGGAAAAGAGAUCAAGAAACAAGCAACAUCAAUAUUUAUCAACAACAACCGACAAUAAUCAAAGACUACUCAACACAUUUUUUCAAUAAAUAUAUUUUUUAAAGUUUUAGUUUAUAAUAAACUGCUAUCAAUUUUUAUUUCUUUGUAUUUAUUUAUUCAUGAUUUAUUCAAAAAUUAGCAGUUCAAUACAUUUUUUAGUAAAUUAAUUAUAAUUUUCUCGGCUUUUAUAUUUGUGGAGUGUUUUGAGAAUCUAAGUAAAUUGUCAAGCCUUAAGAGAGCUUAGAAAUUUACAAGAUUUGAUUAGAACGUUAUUGAUUUAAAAUAGUUAGAGCUUUGUCAUUUAUUUCGAAAUAACGUAUAUACAAUAUGUAUAAAUUAGUUUGAAAAAUAAAAUAUACUCAAAGAAAACAAUAAAACAUAUUAUUACUAUAGUGAUAAUUCAUUAGGAAAAAGGAAGUGUUUUGUCUUUAGAUUUUUGGUUGAUAACAAUUUAAUUAUUUUUUUUCAUAUCAGUCAUCAUUAUUAUAUUAUUUAUAUUUAAUUAUGUGGGUUUAGAGUUAAAUAAUUUAUAAUAUUAUUAUUUGAACGUCAAAUCACGAUAAAAGUUGCUAAUUCGAUAAGGUUUAACAUCUAAACAACGAUGUUAAAAGUUAUUUUCGGAUAAUGAUCAAAAUAAUAUUACGACUGAUUAGACAAAUAAUGAUAUGGGAUUUUGCAAGCUAAAGACUUUAAAUGAAAAAAAUACUUUGUUUUACGAAUUAAUUAUCACUAUAUAUAUUUUUGAGUUUAAAUAGAAAACAUAUGUAUCAAAAUUAUUCAAAAUGAAAUACUUUUCAUAUUUUUCCUCAUUUAGAAACGCUACAAGAGUUAUCUAUUAGUAAGGAAUUUAAACUAAUUUUCUUAUUAUGGAGUAAUUAUUAUUUGUCCCUUGUGUUAUUCUAUAUUAUAUUAGUUACUUCAUAACAUUUAAAAAACAUAUUUUUUUCAUUAUUUUAUUUUAUAAUUUAAAAUUAAAAAUCAUUUCUAUCAUAAUUUCUGUUAGAAAAUCAUUAAUUAGGUUUGAUUUUAUACUAUUUGCCUCAUAAGUUUUUGUGUGAUAUACAAUUUUUCCUCUAUAUAUUUUAUUUAUUGCAUAAAAUUUCAUUGCAUUUUGAAAGUCAAUACAAUUAAAGAACUAAAUUGAUAAAAAAAAAGUGAGGAGACCAGUAUGGAAAAAUUUGCAUAAUAUGUAUGAUUGAUAUGUCUUUUUUAGUACUUGCAAGUGUAUGAACCAUUCUUAUAGUAAGUGUAAGUUCACCAUGAGGUCGAUCUCUCAAGGAACUAUAAGGCUACUUAUUAUAAAGACUAAUUAUCAACACAAAAUAAUAAAAGUAAAUCUAAACACUCUAAAUCAAUGUGUUUGAGAGAAUAAUAUUCAUAAAGUAACGUAACUAAAUAAUAAAUAAAUAUGCAAAUAUUUAUGAUAUAAAAUUAUAUGCUAAAGAUAGUAUUUAGUCUAGCUAACUAUUUAGUAAUCUACUUGUUUUACUUUAAGCCUAGAUCUAAUGAAUGAGAUAAUGAUGUGCCUUUUCCCUAAAUCACUUGAGCUAAUGAUACAAUCUAGGUUUCUUAUACCAACAUAAAUUAAAGUAAAGAUGAUGCUUCUAAUACUUUUAACUUAAAGAUUUUUAUAACAAAUAUUACUACUAAAUUGAUAUACGAUGGUCAACCAAUAAUAAUAUAUGAAACUAAUACAUAUAUGAAGGUAAAGAAAUCAUUUAUUAAAUAAAUAAAUAACAAGAUUCAUACAAAAGUAAAAAAGGUUAAACUAAACACUUAUGAAAACUAGCCUAACAUAUUUAACCCAAUGAUCAUGGUAUUAAAUAGAAAUACAUAAAAUAAUAAAAUAAGAACUCUCUCUAGAUCCAUAAUUUUUUCAAGUAGGAAGAAGAUUGGUUCUCAUUCUCCACUUUUUAGAAAGUACGUUAGAUCUUCAAAAGAGUAAUGAAAACUAAACUAAAAUGUUUAUGAAAAAACUAUAGAGAAUUAUGGAAAGAAUAAUGGUGGGCAGGUGUAGAGAGCAGAUGGGAGAAAAUUCUCAUUUUCAGUAUUAGAUUUUGUAUAUAGAGAAUAGUCUUUCUCUAUAUAAAUCUCCUUAAAGAUAAACAUACUAAUAUAAGUAUAUUUAUCUCCACCUAAUACUAUCUCACAAAUAACUCUUAAUAUAAAUCAUAAUAAUUAUACAAAAUGACUAAAAUGUCCAUUUGGCCUUGUAAUUAGCAGCCUAUAUGUCUUAAAUUUGGGUAUUGACACGAACAUGUCAAAUUAAGCUUAUUUUUGAGUAUUUAGCUCCAUAUUUUCCUCAUUUGACUAAUAUUACCUGAAAAUAGACAAUUAAAUUUAAGUGGGGUAACAACACAUGUUUUCAUUAUAUUAUAUAUAGAAAUAUAUAAUUAAAGCUCUAAAUACUCUUAAAUAUCUAUAUAUAAUUUGGACUGAUCAAUGAUACUUAAAAUUUUAAAAAAACUAUAGUCAAAAGUUUAAAAUUAAAUGAGAGAAUUGAUUCUGAUAGUAUUAGAGCAAAUUAUAACUUAGAUAAAAAAAUGAUGGUUAAGAGAAUAUUCAAAAUAAAAAAAAUACUUUAAAGAACAUUUAAAAUUCCUUCAUGAAAAAUUAUAAUUUCAAGAAAUAGGAAGAAAUUAAAUUUUAUUUCUCUUAUUUUCUUUUUAAUUUUUCAUUUAAUUUCUUUUUUUUUCCUUAUAAGCUUACAUGAAUCUCAUUAUUUUAAGUCAAAAUAAAUACCUCCUAGAAAGACCUUUUCUUUAAAUGAAAGAUGUAAAUGUUAAUAAAAAUAAAAUUCAAGAAUGUAAAUAGUCGACCUUUAGAAAAGGUGCAUGUAAUUGUAAUUAGGAUCAGACCUGAGGGGGGUAAAUGUCAUUUGUUCAAAAUAUUUAGACUUUUUCGAGUUUAGAUUAGACCGGGCGAAAGUGAACGAAUUUUACCCGAAAGUGGGAAAUAGUCGGGUGGAUACCCGAAUGCGAUUUCUCAUGGAGCUGGAAAUGCCACGGAACAAGAAACUUUUUGUUAGAAAUAAAUAACUAAAAGAAAAAAAAAAGCGCUUAGUCUAGUCUGGGGGGUUUAACGAAGGGGAUAUUGGGCGUGGGCAAACUGGAAAACCAAAGACAUUGAUACAGGGCAAAUGAUUUCUACAUCGACUUGGUGCCGUUACCUGGCCAGAAAAUUGGAGUACUCCGUCUCCGUUUGUUGGAAGGUCCGACUCUCUCUCUCUCUCUCUCUCUCUCUCUCUCUCUCUCUCUCUUUCUUUUCCUUUUCUCAUUUACCACCUCGUUAUUUAUAUAUUUCUGUUUCAAUCAAUACAGGUAAGAAAUUUAUAAUCUUUUGGCUUCUCUAUUGAGGGUUUCUUGUUCCCAGAUAGGAAUAAUGCAUUGGGUUUAUUAUAUUUGGUUGUUUUAGUGAUUCUAAGUGGAAUUUGCCAAUUGGGCUUCUCUUAUUCAGUAUAGUUUUGGCUUAUUCAAGUAUAAAUGCCUCACCUUUCUUUGAAUACUUUCUCAUUUUUCUAUUCUAAUGGGUUCUUUUUCCUUAUAUUUAGUUACUUUUAAUGAUUGCAUUUAAUUUAGCUGUUCUUAGUGGGAUUUGUUCAGUGCCAUUUCAUGUCUAGUUAAGUAAUUGGUGGGUUUUAGAACAACACUUUGCUACUGGUGUUCCCUCAAGAUAUUAUUUUUAGAGACAUAUGCUAUGUGCCUCUCGGAUCAGUGUGAGUGAGAUGAUAUCUAUCUGAUUAUCAAUUAGAGAAGGAGAAUGGUUUGACUCAUUUUGUUUCUAAUGGAAGUAUUACUACUUAAACUUAACUCAGACUGUUGCUUGCUACAGCAAGAGCUUACUUUUACUGGAAAGUGGAAACUUUUAAAGAUCAUAGUUAUAGUUCUUUUCUCAUUCUUGUGUUAGGAUGGACUUUUAGUCCCUGCCUACUGAUUGAAACAGAAUAUAGAAAGUACUACAAUAAUCAAGCAACUUUAGAUCUUAUAAAUUUCUGAGCAACUUACAAUUGACGCCCUUGUCAUGUCUUUAAAUUACAUAGAGCAAUCCCCGAGUAUAGAGAAGGCCCUCGCUUAGGAAUGGGCAGCUAGCCAUUUUGCAUUCUUGCAUGUGGCAUUUGACUCUCGUAUCAUGCUGUUCUUCUGGUCCUUUAUAGGGUAGAAGGAAGGGAAAUCCUUUGUUUGAGUAUCACCAACUGGGGACAAAGAAAGUCCCCUCCUAUUAAAUUGAAAUUCAAGCGGAGAGAGGGAAGAAUCACAUGUGUUAACAGACUUGAUUCUUAGCUCAAAAUCACUUAGUUAUUACUGCAUUUUGAUGUGCUGCUGUUUCCAUCAACUCAGGAGCAGAACNNNNNNNNNNNNNNNNNNNNNNNNNNNNNNNNNNNNNNNNNNNNNNNNNNNNNNNNNNNNNNNNNNNNNNNNNNNNNNNNNNNNNNNNNNNNNNNNNNNNNNNNNNNNNNNNNNNNNNNNNNNNNNNNNNNNNNNNNNNNNNNNNNNNNNNNNNNNNNNNNNNNNNNNNNNNNNNNNNNNNNNNNNNNNNNNNNNNNNNNNNNNNNNNNNNNNNNNNNNNNNNNNNNNNNNNNNNNNNNNNNNNNNNNNNNNNNNNNNNNNNNNNNNNNNNNNNNNNNNNNNNNNNNNNNNNNNNNNNNNNNNNNNNNNNNNNNNNNNNNNNNNNNNNNNNNNNNNNNNNNNNNNNNNNNNNNNNNNNNNNNNNNNNNNNNNNNNNNNNNNNNNNNNNNNNNNNNNNNNNNNNNNNNNNNNNNNNNNNNNNNNNNNNNNNNNNNNNNNNNNNNNNNNNNNNNNNNNNNNNNNNNNNNNNNNNNNNNNNNNNNNNNNNNNNNNNNNNNNNNNNNNNNNNNNNNNNNNNNNNNNNNNNNNNNNNNNNNNNNNNNNNNNNNNNNNNNNNNNNNNNNNNNNNNNNNNNNNNNNNNNNNNNNNNNNNNNNNNNNNNNNNNNNNNNNNNNNNNNNNNNNNNNNNNNNNNNNNNNNNNNNNNNNNNNNNNNNNNNNNNNNNNNNNNNNNNNNNNNNNNNNNNNNNNNNNNNNNNNNNNNNNNNNNNNNNNNNNNNNNNNNNNNNNNNNNNNNNNNNNNNNNNNNNNNNNNNNNNNNNNNNNNNNNNNNNNNNNNNNNNNNNNNNNNNNNNNNNNNNNNNNNNNNNNNNNNNNNNNNNNNNUACCUAAGUUUCUAAUAUUUUAUUUUGUAGGAGUUAGAUUUCAGUUUUAACUUGCAAAAUCAUGUUGAUUUGCUAUUUGGAAUUUUGGGAUUCAAUUCCUCUCUUAGGUAUGAUGCCGAAGGAUCCUUUGGGUGUGAUACUUCUAAGUGUGACUCUUAGAACAUUUAUCUUAUCUUUUUAAAACAAAAAAAAAAAUUAUUGUCUAUAUUCAGAUUAAGACCCUUAACAAUUUUGGAUUUUACCCUAUCAUAACCAUUAGCUUUUGCAAAUUAAAUUAACUGUAGGAUAGCAUUACUUAAAUUUUGUCCUGCAUCAGUUUUGUAAUAGAGCUUCAAGAUCCUUACAAUCUGAUGUUUUAAUCUUUAUAAACAAUAUGCAUAUGCAAGUUAGAAGUUUCAUGUUUUAAAGGAGGCAAUCCUACAAAAUUCUGUCAUUGGAUUGAUUCUCUUGGCUUUUACUUUGAUAGCUACAAACUUCAAGAAAGUGAGCAGGAUAAGAUUUGCAGAUUGGAAUUUGAUUAGAGCUAUAAAAUUAUGGUGAUAUUGCGUCGAGUAUGAUAGGCAAAUAGGAAGCGAACCCAACUUAAUAAGUGGCAAGAUAUGAAACAAAGCUUCAAGAGAAAUUUUUGCUAUUGUAUUAUCACCUAAGGAUGAGUAAAAAUGUAUGUAAUCCAACAUAUAGGUACAUGACAAUGGCUAAUUACUUUAACCAAUUUGAAAAGCAGAAUUCUGUUCAUCAAGAGCGUGGAUUGAAUUUUGAUAGAUUGAAUGAUGAGAUGAGUUCAAGGUUUGAUGGUUUGGAUAUUAUGGUGGAUGAGUUUCUUAGAAGAUUACCUUCAAUUUCUUGCAAUCAAACUUCAAAAACUACUAAUAGUCAAGGCCUUCCUCAAAAACCAACCCCAGCCCUUGUAGUUUACCCAACUUUACCAGUGCAUCCAAUAUAGUAAAUAAUAUAGUCUAAAAAUUGAUAAAAACCUAAUCCAAAAUUUGCAUGCACUAGAUAUUGAACACAAACCAAUUGAAGCAAUGAGGAUUUAAAGAAAAACAAGAAGUCAAACAUGAAAAGACUGAAGCGAUAGAAUUCCCACAAAUACUUUUGGAUGCAAAUGUGGAUAUGGUUCAGCUUGCAAAGAAACUGUAAAGGACAAAAGAGGAUGGACUUUGUUGUUCAAGGUUCCAAAGAUGCUCAAGAUGUUGAAUUUUGUAGCAUACUGCUAGUGUUCAAAAAGUGGAGUUUAUUAUUUCUAACGAGUUUGUAGAUGAGUUUAAUAGGAGGUUUCAAUAUUUCAGUGGCUACCAACAGUUAAGAAGGUUGAAAAUUGAAGUCCAAUAUAUCAAUGCUUUUUCUUCUUAGGCAUUUCCAACUAGGGGAGAAUGCUGCUGAUAAGGAAAAGCUUAAGGAAAACAAAAUUCAAAAAAGUUCAGAAAUUUAUAGUUAGGAUAUGGUAUUUUACAAUUCAAUAUUAAGGGAUUCUUGUAAUUCUCAUUUUUGCUGGAAUAAUAGUUUAGGUUUCUGUAGGAGUCUUUAAUUUUACUGUUGAACCUUAUUCUUAAUUCUUGUUGGUUUAUUAUAAGCUCUGUCACUCAGACUCUUUAUUUUUGAAGCAAUGGGCACGGCUACAGAAUCCUUCUUAGAUCCUUCAUCUGAAAAGUGGAUAGGACAUUUGUCUAAGCUCCAGGUGAAGCAAGAGAAGAGGAAUAGAGCAAUAGCAGGAGCUGAGGGAAAAAGGGAGGUGGGGGGAAGAUAGAAUAAACAAAAGAUAAGCAACAAUUUGCCAUUUAAUUGGGUUUUGGGUUUUAUUUUAUCUUUUGUGGGUUGAUGAGCUUUACUUUGCAAUUGUUUUUUAGGGAAAUAUGUAAUUGGGUUUUUAGUUUUAUUUUUUUCAGUUUUAAUAAUAAUUCUUAUUAAAAUUAAAAUAGUAAGUUAUAUAAUAACAAUUAUUAAAUUAAAAUAAUAAGUUAUAUAUUUUCUAAUUUAUUAAUUAAAAUAAUUGUUUUUUAAAGUUAGCUUAAAGUUACAUUAUAUAUAUAUAUAUAUAGAUGCAUGUAACAUUCAUAUUUUUUUAAAUAUAAAACGUAUCCCCCUACCUGUAUCCAAAUUUUAGAUCCCCAUAUCCUUGACUCCUGGAUAUGCACCCACUAUCAGAUAUCCGUACUCAAGUUCGAGCAACAAAGAGAAUAACUAUUAUUUCUUAUUUUAUUUAGAGUUCAAAUCCUUUAAAGAUUAGAUUAGUACUAUGGGUCUAAAGUCUUGAGGUUUAAAGAUACUCCUAUAAUUACCUAAGCUUGUAACAGUUUAUUUUUCUAGGAUUCAGAUUUCAUUUUAAUAAAAUUAUGGCAGAUUUGCUAUUUAGAAUUGUGUGAUUCAAAUUUCUCCCUAAGUGUGACGCCGAAGGAACCCUUGGGUGUGAUGUCCAAAUACUUGUAAAUGUGAUUUUCCGAAAGAUUUAACUUUUCUUUUCUUUUCUUUUUCCUUUUAAAUCUGUAUUUAGACCUGAAAUCCUUAACAGUUUUUGAUUUUAAGCCUAUCAGAACCUUUAGUUUCACAAACCACGCCAUAGGAUGGCGCUACUUAAAAUCUGUCCUGCAUCAAAAUGUUUAUGGCUGAGAGAGAAUGAGAUGUUUCGCUCAUUUCUCGAUUUGUAUACAUCAUUUUUGGUUCAUGAAGCUUUGCAGGAGUGGGCUGCAAUAGUUAACCCCCUCCAGAGCUAGAAAGAUUUUGAGGUUGAUUGUUGGAUAUAUGAGAUAUGUGCCUUGUAUUGUGACGGAGGACUGGCAAGUUAUUAAACACCAAAGAUUUGGACAUAAUAUUAGGCACCUCUUUAGUGAAUGGACACUGAUGAUGCUCUUUGGGAUUAUAAUGUGGGACAUAUGAAAUCAUAUCUAGGGAUAAGUCGUCCAUAGAUUAUGGGUGAGCAUAAUUUAGUUAUAACUGAAAGACAAAACAAUCUGAUGUACUUCGGUUAUCGUGGUGUAGAUUUCUUUUAGUUCUUUUGUUUCGUGAAUUUGUAAAACUUUUGGUUUUUGAAAAUCUCUCUGGUUACUCGAAAAAAAUUUGUAGCUGAAAGAACCUGUUUCCUAUUAAUAACAUAUAGAUGGUGUUCUAAAUCCUCUUUGUAUAGGUUUAAGGUUUUAGGACUCUAUAAUCUGCAUUUUUGGCUGACCUGAGAUUUUUGUUUGGGUUCCUUUGUUUUCUAAAUUUUGCGGAUAGUCGUUUUUGGAGGUUUUUAGUUUCUUGUGUGUGGGUUCAGGACAUGUGAGCUGACUUUAUGCUGAUACUCUGAACGUUAAUGUUUAGGGAAAUAGAUGUGUCCAUCACUGUAUAAUCAUUUGAUACAAGUUUGGAGGCCCAAUUUAAGAAGUAGCCAAGUGAGGAGGAGUAUAGCAAUGGAAAGACUUGUGAUCUAUCAGAUUAAGUUUUCAGUUCAAGUUGGUACUGCAUAUGGCUUAAUUCAUUCCUGAGUUCUUUUCUUAACAUAACAAGUAGAAUGAGAACCAUGGUUUGGGUGAGACAAGUUUGGAUGCAGGUCUGCUGGCUGAUGCAUUUCUCCUUCAUAUCAAACUACAGCUGCUGUUUAGGUCAUUUCUAUCAAUGGACAUUAAAAAAAGUAGAUAUUUUUAAGCUUGGAAGUAUGCUAUUUCAAUAAUUAUGGUUUUGUUGAUUCUUAUAGUAUAUUCGGCCCUAUGUGAAUAUUAGCUUCAACUUAGAUCCUUCUUUUGGAUGUUUUGAGUAUUUUACAUCCUGGUAAAUAUCCGACCUGUGUCAGGUGAUUCAGUUCUCAAUGGAGAUCCCAGUUUAUUUUUGUUGUGCAUAUAAAUUACAUAAUAUCUUUUGGACAGCGGUUGUUAUCUCCACUUUGAAUCUAAUAAUAUGUAAUUAAUUUCUUUUUCAGUAAGAAAAACUAAAAUUAAUCAAACUUGAAUCUCAAGCUAGUUCAGAUGGGCAAGAUGCAUCCUUGUUGUUUUAUUUUGCUCUCUUUUUGGGAUUAGCUUUCUAUUAUUUGCUGUUGUAGUAAAUUCUUUUACAUGGUUAAGUUCGCCACUCUUAAUAAAAUGUUUUGUUUAGUGCGGUUGAUUGCUUCUAACAAUUAUUCUGGCACUCUGUUGUAAGAUCCAAUCCAAAACUAAAUUAUUAGAUGCCAUACUGAACUUUGUAUGUAACCAAUGCGGAUCUGUUGAGGAUGGAUAUUCAUGUGCCCAUGGAUAUUGGUCGCUAUCUUUUAAUGAUUCCUUCUUGCCAAUCAAUUCAUUCAUUAGAACAUGUUAUAGUCAAUUGUGGACAUAUACUAGAAUAACAAUUUUAUACCUAAGACAGGCAAAGAAAAGAAAAAAGGAACAAAAAUGGCAAGUACUUAUUUCGUCACGCUCUUGCUUAGAUCUACUGGUGCAAUGUGCUUAUUUACUGCUAGUUAGAAGAAGGUUACAUAUUUUAUUAAUUGAAAACAAAUUUAAAUUCGUUCAAGUCUGCAAACGUGGUUCUUGUUUGUUGCAAUUAUCCAUUUAUAUGAUUUAAUUGUUUCUAACAAUCUUGAUAUACCAAUUUCAGUUCUUUCUGGUGUAGAGCAUGGUGAUACUUAACUACUUCAUAAUUUCUUUCAACAGACAUGUUUUUGUUGGAGAUGUAGUGGUCGUAAAGGAUCCUGAUAAUACCGACAACUUUCUAGUCAGAAGAUUAGCUGCUGUCGAAGGGUAUGAAAUGGUGUCUAGUGAUGAAAAAGAUGAACCUUUUGUUCUUGAGAAUGAUCAGUGUUGGGUUUUGGCCGACAACGAGAAGUUGAAGCCCAAGGUAUGAGCCAUUUUGCAAAUAUAAGACUUGGUUGGUAUAUAGCGACACAUGUUAAAUCCAUUGCAUUUCUUGUGUCCUUGCAUUUCUGUGCUUUCUUUUCUUUCUUUUGUUUUUCUUUGGCAAAAGGUGUGAAUGAGCCCCUAAACUUUUAGCCAAAGUGCAAUUAAACUCUUAAACUUUAAAGUAGCUCAAUUAUACCCCUAUAGUUUGGAAAACAGAACAAUUAUAUCCUUAUAGCUAAUUCCUUUUUUAAGUAAUGAUAAUUGUGUUGAUUUCUUUAUCAAAUUUAAUGAGAAAUUAUCAUUUUAUGGUUUUUACACACUCAAGGCAGAGCUAAUAAUUCCUCACAUGCGAAAAAGUGAGUUGAAAAGAGUUAAAACAGUUUUCUUCAGUGCCUAAAACUAAUUAGGUCUCAUGCCAUUACACGGUUAAAGAGACAGAAUUAACUUCCAGGAUGUAAUUCUUCUGUUUUUAAACUUUAGGAGUGCAAUUGAGCUACUUUAAAGUUUAUGGACCUAAUGGCGCUUUGACCAAAAGUUCAAGAGCUAUUGUACAACUUUCUUUUGAUGAAAUUUCACUAAUUUAUGAAGGUAGAAAAGUUUGACCUUUUAUUUCCUUAAAGUCGCUAUGUUUGCCAUACAAGCAUGGCAUUACUGAAUUUGUUGCUGGUCUCGCUGUAGCAUGGGGAAAUGUACCAAACUUACAGCUUUGCUUGGUAAUAUAACUUGAAUUAGUCUACUAGAAAUGGAGCAUCCAUUUGAUCUAUCAAGGCGUCUAUUCUGUUUGUGUUAAGAAUGCAGUUGUAUUAUCUCCUGUCUCUCUUUCUAAUAGAAAGAAAGGUAGGAUAAGGAAAUAGCUAGUAGUUUGUUUAAUACACGUGUCAAUUCUGGAUUCCUUAUAACAAUUUUUUGGCACUUUAUGACUUUUAUUGACUUCUGUAACCUGCAACAUGUCCAAAUUGAGAAGAUCAAACAAGUAGACAUUAUCUUUUAUUUUUCUUGUGGCUGUCUUUUGUGUUCCUGUUGUGCUGCAAAAUUGCAAUAAUUUUUGGUGCACCUUAACUUCUUCGGUUUUGCCUUCCAUACUUCUUACUCAUGAUUUGUCUAUUAUGCCAGUGCUAAAGAUUUGUCUUCCCCCUGUUGGUCCUGCAUUUUUCCUUUCUAAGCUUCUCGAAUGUGUGGUUGCGUAUAUCUAUUUGAAUGCAUAUGGUUCUGAGUAACUGUUCUUAAUGCGUGUCCUUGUAGAAUGAUAUGCAUGCUAACCAAUAAUCGUGAUUGGGCUGCUUUAAAAUGUGGGCAAUCUCAAACUUGCAAUUGCCUUUCGUUAAUAUUACUUAAAACUCUUAUUAUGAAAAGCACUUUAUUAUAAGUUGUAAAUGCUCUUUUCUUUCAGUACAGACAAAUUUAAGGAUUAAUAUGUUCCAAAUUUUUCAUCAUCAUCAUCAUCAAUCAUUGUUAUCACUAGGCCUUUGGCCUAGUGGGAGAGCUCUAUGAAGCUCGGGUGGAGGUCUCAGGUUCAAACCUCCACUUUCCCUCCCAUGAAAAAGAAAAAAAAUCUGUCUUUUUUUGUUAAUAGAAAUUAAGGUCAGCUGUGAAUAUUGGCAAUAGGGUGUGCUUUAGUUAUUCACCGCCUGGGAAAAACUGAUCCAUUUCUCUUUUAUUCUUCUUUUUGGUGUCACAGGAAGCAAAUGACAGCCGAAAAUUUGGCCCGGUUCCCAUGUCGGGCAUAGUUGGCCGAGUCAUAUACUGUCUACGUACAGCUGUGGAUCAUGGUCCUGUUCAGAAUAGGUGAGCUGCUGGACUCCAGUUGGUUGAAACCGUUAUUACUGUACAAUAGAUGAUAUUUGAAGUCGAAUUGAUAUCCUCAUGCUCCUUGACCAGUCAUUUCAGCAUGCGUAAGGAUUCACCAGUGUUGGAGGUGGAACUAGAUGUAGACGAGAUGGUUAAAAAUCACAAACUCUUUUAACUGAUUUGGUUUGCAUUUGUACUAACUUGUUUUCUCUUUACCAUUCCACUGCAUUGGAUGCUGUUUUUGUGAAGUUCUGUGAUUGGAGGGCUGCGUGAUUGUUGUUUAUUUAUGUUCAGGUUCGGCGACUUGAGUAACUGGGUCUUCCUUUGCAACUGAAAAGUAUGAAGGCAGCCUAGUUGAGUUCUGCGGUUUCAACUUUAUUUAACAUUGCCUUGGACCAGGAUUGUAACCUCAAAAUCUACACCAGGAAAAGAAGAUACUAGAAUUCUUAUGCUGCCUCUUUCUGGAGGCUUGUGUUUACUUGUCUUCAUUGCCAUAUAUGAUCUUUGCUCAUAUCAAAUUUUAUUUUAACACUUGGGAAACAUUUUUGUUUUCAAAAUAAAUUUGGGCUGCUGCUGUCUUUCUCCUACUAUUGUUAUAUUAUAUGUGAACUUGCUGAGAUCAGAGAUGAGAGAUUGUUUUGUUGAAUCUUUUUCUUCACUCAGCCUAGUGUCUUAUGGGGUCUGCAAAUAAGGCAAGGCACAUGCAGCCUUGUUUUGUAUAGUUCUCCUGGUUCUGCUAAUUAAUACUGCAAAUCAAGAUCCAAGUUACCAUCACCGUCACCAUUCCACAUUACCAUAAUCCUUUAUGCAAAGGCAAGUGUUCUCUUCUCAUUCACCAAAAGGCCAUAGAAACUCCUGCAUUCAUCCUCAGGGAAAAUAAAAUAAUCAAAACGAUAUGUUACUUGGACUGCAAAUGGAAAAGUAGAGAUUUUGAUAGAAUUGCAAUGAGAUUUUUGAAAGCAGUUAUUUUCUCUAUGAUUUUUUUCCUUUAUAUAGAAAAAGAAAAUACUGAAAGCAACAUGUUUUUCUCUUGAGAUUGUUCUUUCCUCUGUAUAUUUUUUUUGUCUAAAACAAUCACGACUCCUAAUGCAAAGCAGAUGAUAUAUUUACCAUUCCUGCAAAAAAGCAACAGUUUUGUGCUUCUGAACAGUCUUUCUGGUACAAUAUUUUGUAAAAUCCCAUCCUCCAAAACUAAUCUUAACGAUCUUUUAGUUAUUUAUAUUAUGCGUGCACAUCAUUGAAAAAAUAGGCUCUAUUACAUAGAUUCACUUGUUAAUUAAUUGGUUGUGUUUUUACAGGAAACAAGAUGAGGGGAUAAAAUUAUUGAUAUCUGAAUUUCCCCAACACAAAAACAAAUAUAUGAUAAGAAAGUAGUAUAAUGUGUAGAUUUUGAAAUUGAAGUGUGAAGAUAAAAGGGACAAGAGCAAGGAUAAUAGAAUUUGUUGUCCAUUGGCAGCCUCCUCUUCUUCUCUAAACUUGAACAUUCUCAUUACCCACCUGCAUGAUAACACAUUAAAAAAUUAAAUCAUAUAUACAAUUACAUAUUUUGAGCUUAAUAUGUAUAACCAAUAAAAACAUAAUGAUGUCACAUUCAUCCUUUCUAGUAUUAUUAUUAUUGUUUACAAAAACAAGUGCACUUGCAUGAUUAGCCUGAUAGUAAGUGUAUAUAUGAACUCGAGCAAGAUCUCAAUCUCACCUCAUCUGUAAUUAAGAAAAAAAAUUAUCACAUAUACUUAUAUUUUCAAAUUUCGCAUGCUUAAUUAGUUUCUUAAGUACAUCUGCAUACUAAUUUUGUAAUUAAUUUAAAAAGCAUAAUUAAAAAAAAAAAAACAGAAUCAUUAAAAUCAACUACCUAAGUGAGAAUCAUAGAUUCUAGGAUUAAAAUUUUCCUGGAAUAAAAAAAUUGGGGAAGUAAGUUCAGGCCAGAGAACUAAUUUUAAAUUCUCCUGAGGGGGAAAAUUAAAAACGACAUAGAAAAGAUUCACAAGAGGCGGAACAAUGAAAACGACAUCGUCUUAAACGGCCCCUAAUUGGAAAAUUGUAAUACCCAAAAAGUCCCUUAUCAGUGUCUAUAUAAUUUCGCAAAUAAAAAAACACACGAGAAGGAGAAGUCUCUAAUAAAAUGCAAAAGCGCCAUUAAUCCAAAGCUCAAAACUCCCUCCAAUGUCGCAAUCAGUCCAUCUCAUCUCUAACAAUAUUCCAGGUAUAUCCCCUUCUAAUCUAAUCUUUUCAUCUCAGGUUCUUUUCACGCUCUGUUUAGUUCCUGAGAACCAAAUGUUUAAAAUAAAAGAAAAAGAAGCAAAUUUGGGACUAAUUUGAGGUUAUUUGCCCAAAUAGGUGCUGAGAAAUUUUUUUUUUAUCACUCAUCUUUUGGGUUUUGUGUAGUUCUUUAGGUACCAAAUGAAGCAAUUAGGUUUUUGUUUGGACUAACUUAAACAGAGCCUGCCUAGUUGUGAUUAGCACUUGUAUUCUUAGCUUAUAUUUAGUUUCUAUAAUUAGAGUUAUUUCACUGUUGAGAGUUAUGACCUUCUUUUGGUGAGUUAUUUUCAACUGGGUAGUAAAGAUGAGCUCUUUACGUAGUUACACUCUUGCCAUUACUAUCGCCCACCACCUAUAUGACGAAAUGAUUUUAGGUGUUGAAUGGUAAAAGAGUUUGCUCUGUUGUAUAUACUAUCUUGUGUUGUUUACUUGGUUCUUUAGUUUUGAGGGUUCGAUUUUUGGCUUCUCUUUGGUCUCUUUACAUUUGCAAGCUGCAAAUUAUUGCUUCUGAUUUUAAUGUUAUAGUUCGUGUUGACUCCAGAUCAUUUUUUGUUGCUUCUCUUUGCUUUUACUUCACAAUAAAAUGAUGGUGGUGUGUGGUUUGUGUUUAUGGUAAGAUGUGGAGUAGUUGUGNNNNNNNNNNNNNNNNNNNNNNNNNNNNNNNNNNNNNNNNNNNNNNNNNNNNNNNNNNNNNNNNNNNNNAAGAUGUGGAGUAGUUGUGGUUUCAUUUCUGUUGCAUCAGAUAAGAAGGUGUUGUUCUUCUUGGUACUUAAUUUAUUAUUGGAUUGCUGACAGUGAGAGUAGAUGUAUACAUUUGUAAGUGUGUAAGAAAGACAAAAAAAUCUCUGUUGCAUGGAAGCAAAUCAUUCAGUAAGAUCGAGAGUGUUUUUUUUUUUCUCUAUUUGCGUGCAAUAUAAAUUGUUAGACGGUGUCGAAGCAUUUUGUUAUCAAUUGAUCCUCUCAUCAUGCGAGUCGUGUGCUUAAAGUCCAGAUUUUUGUUCUCAUAAAAAAUAACAAGAAAAGAAUAAAGAAAGUCCUAGGAUGCUCUUCUGUUUUAAUCUACGGAUAUGUGCUUGUUGUAGGUUAUGGAUCUUCAGAAAGCAGGUGUCUCCCUUCCUCAGGAAUUUCUGGGAAAGCAGUUGCUAUACCUCUUUGUCCUUCGCAUGGUAACCAUAUAACUUAUUCACAAAUCAAGGUUGGAUCAAUAAAGUGCGCUUCUGGCGCAGCAUCUUUUUUGUGCAGAGCAAGUUCCGGUGGUCCUAGGAGAAACUCAGAUUUCUCAAAGCAAAGCAGACAGGGGUUCUCCCGAAAUAGGAAUAGACAAAAUGAAGAGAGAGACAGCUUUGAGAAUCUUGAUGAUUCUGAUUUGUUAACGUCAAGAAGUGGGCCAUUACUCUCUCUUUCAAAUACCUCAAAAUUCCAAGCCACUGCAGGCCCAGGGCCAAGAGAGAAGGAGAUUGUUGAGCUAUUCAGGAAGGUACAGGCUCAGCUGCGUGAAAGAGCUGCAGUCAAAGAAGACAAGAAGGUUGAAGCCUCCAAAGGAAAAGUUAAAGAGAGUGAAACUGUGGAUUCCCUCCUUAAGCUGCUAAGGAAACACUCAAUUGAGCAAGGUAAGAAAAAGGUUAGCAGUGUUGGCACUGGAGACUUUGCUGUGGACUCACCAGAACAUAAUGGAUCGCUUAGUGGAGACAGGAGCACAGGUUUCUUUAAUCCAAAUAAUAAAGCAAGGAGUGAAGUCCCAGAACAUAAUUCCACUUCUUUCAGCAGACCACCAUCAAAUUUUCGACGCAAGUCCCCAGUUCCUCAAGUGAAAUACCAGCCUAUUUAUUCAAAUGAGGACCCUAGUAAUUCUACAUCUUAUUUUGAUUUGACUGGUGAUAAGAAGAAGCGAUUUGAAGCACUUCCUGACACAGCUCAGCAGCCUAAAUUGGAAACACAGGAGCCCGAGUUGGAAGUGGCACUGGAGCCAGAGUCCUCUUUCCUUGAUGGUAACGCAGUAGAUGAGUUAUCAGAAGAAGAGUCUUCAGACAUUGAUGAUAUUAACGAGUUUAGCAAUCAACAGAAGGAGAACGAACACGAGGACCUAAGCUCAUUGAAGCUGCCAGAGCUGAGGGCACUUGCAAAAUCACGUGGGUUAAAGGGGUUCUCAAAGAUGAAGAAAGGAGAUCUAGUGGAGUUGCUAAGUGGUGAUUCAGUUUGAUUACUAAUGCAGGGAAGGAAGUGAGGAGAAUAGACCUGAUCCUAGAUAAAUUUUGUUUGUUUUUAGAUAUGCUCCCUUUUGUUUUCUAAAAAUUGAGAUGUUUUGUUUUCUGUUUAUGAUUAGAACCCUUUUAAAUUCUGUCAUAUGUAUUGGCUAGUGAACAUUUCACUGGAAUUGGAACCGAAAAAAGAAAAAGAAGAAACAAGAAGUUAAAAACUAACCAUGGAAAUUGGUAAUUUGGUUUAUUUUGUCAGAACCAAGAGAGAACAGCAGAAGGAAGAGAACCAAUUCUGAAGUUUUAAUAACUUAAUCACAUUCGAGAGGCGUACUAGAUUACCGACACCAAGUAAUUGGUUGCCAAAAUUAAACCAACUCAUAAUAAAUACAGUUUGUUCUUUUGACAUAAUUUUACAUGAGCUAAUCCUUUUAUAGUAUUAACUACCACCUCAUAUUAUCGAAAUCUUAUCUGUUCAUUGAAACAUAAUCAAUUGGAGUUUGUUUUUUCUAUCAACCAUGAAAAUUGGGCAACUUUCGGUGUCUUCCUCCACUUUUCACUAGCAUUGAAUUUCUCCGCUCAUUAGUAGAAUUUUAUUAGAAUAUAAAUGGUUAUCUCUCUUAUGUAUUACAGUUUCUUUUAUAAAGUGAGAAAUAAACUAUGUUAUGAAUUUGAGAUUUCAAGUGUUUUGUCAUCAGACUAAAGCUUGGUGAUUUACUACAUUUUUUACUUCUAAAAGUGUCCAAAUAAAGAGAUAUGCAAGAUACUUUCUAUUUUUUUAAAUGAUUUCAAAAUCACAUUUUUUUCUUAUUAAAUUUAAAGGAAGAGAAAUGAAUAUUGUUGGAAUGCUCUAAUAAAUUUAAUUUCUAUUUUUAAAUAUUCAAAAUUUUAUUUUUAAAAAUUAAAUAAAAGAAUAAAAAGUUUAUUUUAAUUGCAAAACCUUAUCUUUCUACCAUAAGAAACAAGUAAAAAAAAUAAAACACAUUGAAGCGAGCGAACAAUUGAUUCAGUUCAAAACUAAAUUAAAAACUUAAAAUUGUGAGUUAAUUAGAAUUCCAGUUCCAGACAUCUUCUACAACUUUUUUCUAAUACCUUUUCCAAACUUAUCUAAGAGAUAUUUGUAUUUAUGAAAUCAAUAAAAACAAUUUAUUUUCUUACUAAAAACUUAUCAAAUAUCAUUUCAAAUUAUUAAACGUUAUGAUAUAUCAAAAAAUAAAAGUUAGUUGCUUUGAUUUUAGUAAAAAAUAAAUUAAAGAAAAAAGGAAAAAAGCUAAACCAAACUAAUCGAUUCAAUUUUUCUAAUUUCGGUUCGAUUUUGGUUUCUCUAAAACAGAGUGAUGGGGCCAUUGGGCUGUUGUUUUUCCAUUCUUGAAAGUGGUUCAUUCGUUUUACGCGCCAUAUGAUAAAACCCCAACUCCCACAUCCGAGCUACUGGGAAAAUAAAAUUAAUUAAGAAAAAAAGCCAGCGGUCAAAUUCAAUUCAAUUAUAAUAAUAAUUUGGAAGUUUCCACCGCGAAAAUCGUAUGAAAUUACAGCCCUCUGUUCUUCGUUGCUAAGUUUUCUUCUCUCCAAAUUCCAAGCAUUGCUCUUCCUUUUUUUUUUUUUUUUUAAUUAUACAUCUGUGAUCAUUCAUAUACAUCAUUCACUAUCUCUGAUAUUUCCAAACUCACGAAAAUAAGAAGCGGAAGAGAAAAAGAAGCAGCCUUUUCUUUAAUUAUGGGACAAAAUCUCGAUUCAAUGACCCAAAACCAAUCCAAAGAAGACAUCCUUUAUCACCUUGUUAUUACUGGCAACGUUAACGCCAUUAAAGCUCUUUGCAGAGAAGGUGUUAAUCUUGAGGUAUUACUAUCACCAGCGCUUUUUUUUUUUCCGAUAGUUAUAUAUAUAUAUAUUGGGUAAUGGAUAAUUUGAUUGUAAUUAGUAAAUCUUGAGUUCUAUAUGUGUUUUGUUUGGAGAAUUGAGGUUGUAGUAGUCUUAAAGUUGCUUUCUUUUUUAUGUAGUGCAUUGAUAAAGAAGGAAAAACUCCUCUAAUUGUAGCUUGUAUGGAUUCCGGGUUGUUCAAUGUUGCCACUACUUUGAUUCAAUUGGGUGCUAAUGUGAAUGCUUAUCGUCCUGGUUUGUUCUAUGGUUUUAUUUGCUUCACUUAUUGUUUUUACACUAAUUUGUUUUACUAACUGGAUGGAAAUAGUGGUGCUUUUCCAUUACUAUGUAAUAAAAAUUAAAUUUUGUAAUCUCCGCAGGGCGUCAUGCGGGUACUCCUCUACAUCAUGCUGCAAAAAGAGGCCUUGAGCAGACUGUUCUAUUGCUUCUCUCUAGUGGAGGUAUGCCUUUUGUGUCUUAUCAGUUUAAGAUUCUUAUGCUGCUUUAAGUCUUGAAUGAUGAAUUAUGUGAGGGAUCAAUAGGGAUGUGAAUGAGUCAAGCUGCUCAAACUCAGCUUGCAAAAAUACUUGAAUUUGAUUGAUUUUUAUAGGCUGAGCUUGAGUUCGAGUAGUUCAAGUAAUGAACCAAGUCCAGUUCAAGUAUCAAAAUAUUUAACUUGACCAGCUCAAAAGGUUUUCAAGUUAAUGGCUUUUAAUUUUUCUGUUUAUAUUUCAGCAAAUGCUUUAGUGAGGAAUGAUGAUUGUCACACUGCAUUGAAUGUUGCUAGAAUAAAGGGGCAUACUAAUGUUGUUCGUGCUAUUGAGGUAAGAUAUUAAUCAGCUUAAAAUUUGUGAUUUACUAACUUUCUUUGUGUAUACUGGAAAAUGAGUUGAUCAUAUAGCCAAGUCUUACUUUUACUAAUUAUUGAUUGUAGAAUCAUAUUUGCUUCUUCUCUGGAUGGCUGCGGGAAUUUCAUGGUCCAGGCUUUCUUGAGGCACUAGCUCCUCAACUAUUAUCAAGAAAAAUGUUCGUAUAGUUUCUAACUUACUAUAUUUUCAAUGCAUUACUGUGAAUGCUUGUCUUAAUUUCUUUUGCACAAUCCCGUUUAUUUUUCAGUAAGCUGCAAUUUAAAAGUUAUGCUGAUUGGAUAUUUGAUAUAACGCCUUCUAUCUUUUGAAGGAUGGAAUUAGGUUACUAUUAUUUCUUACCAUUUCCAAAAAUUACAGCUGACCAGGGCUCAUUGUUUGCAGCUGGGUUGUUAUUAUACCUUGUGGUGCCAGUAAUCCCAUGAAGCCGCUCAGGCUGGAGCUUGCCAUUUAUACUACCUUGCAGGUCUAGUAAUUCUAAUUGUUUAAUUUGCUUAAUAUGAUCCAGAUAUAUGAGCUUUGUUCUGUAAAAUGUAUUUUAAGCCUCUAAGCUUGUUAGAUGGUCAUGUCAAGUCUGUACUUUCAAGCUUCACUAAGGCUAGUUAUUCUGUAGAAAGUGGAACCAUAAAAAUUCAAGCUGUGGUCAGUUCUAAUAGGAGACAAAAGAUUAAGUUGAUACUUUGUAGCAAUUUUUUUUUUCUUUAUAUUAUUUAUCAAUAAACUUCUUUCAUCAAAGGAUGAUGAUUUCUUUGAACAACUGCCUUCUUGUGCUACAAAUAAUCAUAGGUGAUGUCUGGACCAAUCUGUUUCUUUUUUUGACGUCUAUAGCAAUGUUAUCUGCAAAAUGGACAAAGUCCUCUUACAGGCUAGUGAAUGAGUUGCCAGCUAUUAUGCCGCAACAUGCUCAUAAGAUUUUCCUGUGGUCUUUCCUUCUAUUCUUUGGAAGUGUUUAUUUCUUUAUGUUGUUUUGCACUUCUUUUGUUAAUUUGACAUAGCCUCUACUUUGUUGUAUUUCAUUUAUGAUAUGAUAAACAAUUGGAUUUAAUAUCUGAUGUUACUUUUUGAAUUCUUAAAGUUUGGUGUUGAAAUAUAAACAGGAUGCCCAACCUCGUACAAUCAUUGCUCUUUGGAAGGCAAAGAUUGAGGGACCCAAGUUCAAUCAGUCAGAUCCAGGAAUCACUAUAUUUGACAAUUCUACCAGUAAGUCGUAGACUGAUAAUGGAAGUUAUUUUCUGAAAUUCUUGUUACCCUAUUGUUUCUAAAUGUAAGAUAAAAACCAUGUCUAGGUCUGGGAUUAGUAAAAAAGAUACUAAGAGUAUGAUCCAUAAAUUCACAGAGGUACUGAGUAUCUUCUUAACUGAAUUUUUCAUCUUGCAAUAGCAAAGGAAGGAGGAGAACUAGGGUGUAGAGUAUAAGUGGCAUAUGGAACUUCCUGUUCCUUUCAGAUAAUACUGUCAUUGGUAACCUUAGGCAAAUGUGCAACAAUUCUUUGGUUGAUAUGAGUCUUGGUGAAACUUUCUUGUGUAUAGAAUCUCUGAAUACAUGACCUUAUAUAGUUGCUAAUUAUCAAGCAUUAGAGGAUUGCUGAUGGGGCUAUUUAUUGGAAAGCUGGAAGAUUUGCAGUCUGGCCUGCUUUUAGUUGCAGCCAGUUGCCAUGUAAUAAUGAUUUUAUUGAUGAUAGUUAACUCUUUGUUAUUAAUCCCCAAGUUUAGGUAGCUAAUUAGAAGGUAUUACCGUUUUCCCAAUGUUUUAAUGCAUUUGGAUGGUUCUUAAGGACCUGAAUUGGCUGUUAUUUGCCUACUAGUAGCAAUGUUUGUUUUCAAACCCUAGGGUCUGAGUCCAGAAAACAAGACACUACAACAUGCUUUCUGUUGCAUGUUAAAUGCAUUAGUAUUUCACUUUUAAUGUCUGACCAAGGGUAAUUACACACAGGACUUGAGACUUUAUGUGCUAUUUAUUGGUAAAGCAAUUUUAGAAGUCCCAACUUGUUUUUGAGUCAAUAUGAGAUAUACUACUGCAUCACUCUGUUAUUCUCCUUUCGUUUUAGGACGGUGAUUAUAUCAAAUUCCAGUUUUCAUUAUCCCUUCUCAGCUGACAAUUUUGUAACUCUGUAUUUCCGUACCAGAAACACGAUACAAACUUGCAUCUUCCAGUGAGGGCGACAAACAGCAGCUCCACAGGUUGUAUGAUGCGUGCCGAGGAAUAUCUCAGGUAUACUGCUGUCAUUUUGUGCUGUCUAUGACUACUUGGUUUUUAACUUGCUUGGGAAUCACUGUCCUUGGCACUGGUUUUACUAUCAUGGAUUUGGACACGAUAGAAGUUAUACCUAAAGACUUUAUUCACACAUUAGGACUUAAAUGAAGAGUUGACCAUAGGAUGAAGCGUGCUGGUAUUGCAAUUAGAGAUUAUUAAUUCAAAAUUGAUCAUGCUUUCAAAUACUUUUGUCUAUUUUAUUUUGAUUAAAUCUACUUGCACCAAGUUACCUACUUGACCUGAGGAGGAUGCUGAGUUGACUAUUCUCAUGUCUAUGUUGCUGUCAUAGUUAUUAGUAAUUGUAGGACUAUUUUGAGGUACAGACUUGAUUAUUCAGGUGUUAAGGGAAGAGGGUAAAACUGUUCAUUGAGGAAUUGAGUGUCCUUGUGAAUCUGUUGAAUCUUCAAUCUAGUCAAGUUGGUGUUGUUUCAAUACACUAAAUGUUUCUUGACAGCCAAGCAGAAGAAAGAAAAGAAUGGCUAUUAUGACAGAUUAAGCUUAGCUUGGUUAGUGCAUAGUACACCUAAUAAAAUCUUAGGUGGGAUAUAGGUUCAAUACCCGGACCUUGCAUCAUAUCCCAACAAAUAGGAACAACUAAUAGAAGAAGAAGGCUAGUAUUGAGGACUGGUUUAGAAAAGUUGGUUUCUUUUUGUCUCUCUUCAAUUAAUGCACCUCUCUUAACAAAUGGAUUUGCCCCGUUCUUGUUCCACGAAGUGUCCUGCAACCACCACCCAAUGUCUCAUUGUCAUCUAUUUCAGGUAAUGCCGCCAGCAACUCAUAAUGCUUUUGAAACUGCAAUGCCUGAUAUUAUGCGACAAACGUCUGAAGAAGCUUUGGACUUGGCAAUGGCCAUAAGUGCUUCCAUUCAGUCUGCCUCAGAGGAAAGGCCACCACUUUCUAAUACUGACCAGAGCUCGGAAACAAAUAAUGCAAAUGGCUGGGGAGUUUCUGUGCAGGGUGAGAGUCACAAUGGAUGGGGCCCAGCUGUUGCAUCCUCACAUUUAGAGGCAAGCAGCAGUGGAUGGAUGGAUAAUUCAAAGAAAGAGGACUACAACUACAACGGGUGGGAUGUGCCUAAUUCUAGGCCAAUUGGCGAUCAAGGUCGUGUAGAAACCCGCACUGAUACUCCUGUUGCUCAAACAAGUGGUGCAAUUGUUGCAACAGCUCCAUCUGCUCCCCCAAUUCCUGAUGAGGCUCUAGGUGAAGGGCCAAUUCGCUAUCCAUCAAUUGAUUUUGGUCCACUGGAUUCCCUUGUUCCACCUGUGGAGCAUGGAGGUUCUGCGGCAAGUGAUGUAAAGAAUGGAGGUGGUUCUUCCUCGUGUAUAAUAUGUUGGGAAGCGCCCAUAGAAGGUGCAUGCAUUCCCUGUGGUCACAUGGCUGGUUGCAUGGCUUGUUUGAGUGAGAUCAAUGCCAAGAAAGGUGUCUGCCCGGUUUGCCGAGCCAAAAUAAAGCAGGUUAUACGGCUCUAUGCUGUCUGAAAAACUGACCUGAAUGUUCCCAGAUCCAUGGUUGGUUUGUGAAGAUCUUGUUUUUACAUUACAUUUUUUUUCUUUUUUCAUAAACGACCGAACUCUAAGUUAAAAUGGGAACAUUAUAAAAGCACGAAGAUGCAAGUAGGUUGUCAUCGCUAGCGGACAGAGAAGCAUGGACUAUAGUGAACUGGCGAUUGAACUUUGAUUGUUAGGCGUUUCCCCAAAAUGACACAUCACGACAAAAUUAAUGCACAAGAAAGAAUCCUGCAAGCAAUAUUAAAGUCCUGAGAGCAUUCAGGAAACCAUGCCGUAUGUCAUUGUCUUCCCACACUUGGAGCUGAAGUAAAUGUACCCUUCGCAGGUCGGACCGUGUCUUAUGUUACAGUUUCUUUACUGAAAAUUUAUGGACAAAGGGUCAAUUUUUCUUUAAAUUAAUGUGAAGUAUCAUCAUAUUUAAUUAAUUUUUUUUUUCAGCAAAUAGCUUCUAAAUUUAUGUUUAAAAGUUAAAUACAUUUAAUUUAAACUUUUUAGUAAAUAGUUUUCUAAAUUUGUAUUUAAAAAUUAAAUACAUAUUAUUUAAUUUUUUUUAAAAAUAAAAUAAUAUUAAAUUUUUAGAUUUUUAUUAAUUUAUUGAUACAAUAUGUAAUGAUGCGUUAUAGAAGAGCAUAUUUGGUAAACUGUAAAAUUUGAAUUAAAUAAGGUAAAUUUUAACUUUUUAGGAAUUAAAUAAAUUAAAUUUCAAAUUCUUAAUAAAUAGGUAUAAUUUGUUGUUUUGGGGCGACUUAAAUUUGAAUUUGAAAUUUUAUCAAAUACGUUUUUGUAUAGCGUUUUACUAGAUAUUAUAUCAGUAAAUUAAUAAAAUAAAUAUUAUUUUAAUUUUUAUAAUUUAAUUAAGAUUUAAAAAUAUUAAUAUUUAUUUAAUUUCUAAAAAAGUUAAAUUAAAUAUAUUUAAUUUUUGAAUAAAAUUUCAUAAUAUUACUUAUUAAAAAAUUUAAAUUAACUAUAUUUAAUUCAUAGACAUAGAUUCAAGAGAUUAUUUAUUAAAAGAUUUAAAUUGUUUAUAUUUAACAUUGAAUAUAAUUUCAGUUGGCCAAUUGACGGUCCGAAAAUUUAUUACUAAGAAAGGAACCCAAAAUAUUAUAAUGUGUUAAAUCAAACGAAUUGGAGUGAUCUACGUUUUUUUCUUAAAAAAAAAAAAAAGAAAAGAAAUAUUGCCCAUUAUACCAUAUUGGAUUAGCUUAUGAUUCAUGACUGAUUUGGCCUCUGCGACCCCAGGAAAGUAAUCACAUCAUGUAUUAGCGCAGGAAAAAGACAGGGAUUGAUUGUGGCUGGAAGUUGUGAUUUAGGACAUGGGUACCCUACAAGUAAGGACAUGGUGGGCAGUGGACCGCCCUAACAAGCAAACCAGGCCACAUGUAUGCCCAGCUUUUUAAUGAUGCUGUGCAGACUGCAUGGGAAAAACCAAAAUCACUCCUCUUCUUUCUACUCUUUACAAGUGGAAAAAUACCUGAUCACUGUCUCACUUACUCCUGGCUCCCAUUCCAACACCUCAAAGCCCUACCUUUUGAUAACACAUGAUGAGCACAUGGGUAUGCUUAAUAGGCAGAAUGAAUCCCCUGUGCUGCUGGGUGAUCAUCUAUUUUCUUCACAAUCAUUUCUCUUUGCUCUUUCACAUGGUCACUAGCCCACCACAGAAACUGAACACCAGGCUAAUCUUUUCAAAUUUACCCUUCUGUAACUCUCGUAUUAUUAUUUUUAUUUAUGUAUGAACUAUUAAUACUUCAGUAAGUAUAGCAAAAAGGGUGGAAGAAUCAAUUUAUCUUUGGGUCUUGAAGAUCUUCACAUUUCCCUAUUUGGGGAACCGAUCGUUAAUGAAGUUGUCGUUUGGUAUAAAGCAGCAUGGCGUAUACGCCAAAUAACAUGGUUAGUCAAGUAUAUAAAUAUAAAAGGGGCAAGAGGGUUGUAAAGUAUUUGUUCAUAUGGUGAAUAUGACAUUGUUUGACCAUUGUGUUGCAACUUGCAACAAGAGAACUUGGAGUUUUAGUUAGCCAGAGUUAGCUUAUCAAGAUUCGGAUCAUAACAUAACUUUGGUCCCUUUUUGAAACAUGUUUCCUAGAGCACCACUAAUUAUUUUAAUUCUAAACUAUCAACUAUUAAAUUAAUUUAAUAUCUCUUGUGAUCUUUUUUAUACUAUGGAAUCAAACUUUCCUAUUGUUUUAAAUAAAAACCACAGCAACAAUAAUUAAUCACCAAAUUUUGGUUCAUGGCGAGAACUUGCUAAUUUCAUAUGGGUAAUGGAGUAAAUUAAAAAAUUUUCCUCCUCUUAAUAUUAAACAAGUUUUUUUUUUUUCACGUCCAUUGGAUAUGUAUAUUAACUAUUUAGCUCGUUAUUAUUUAAAAAUAAAAUAAAUAUAUAUUUAUAGAUUUAACAUCAUAAUAAAUUUUAUUGUUAGCAAUAAAUAAACUCAAUAUAUUAUUAAAACAUCAAAAUUCAUAUAUACUGUAAAAAUAUAUUAAUUUAAUAGAGAGAAUUUUAUAUUAAUAAUUUUUGUUUUAUUUAAAUUAGGUAAAAAAAUAAAUACUUUCUAAUAUGGAUUAUUAUAUUAUUUUUCUAUUUUAAAAAUUAUAAAAUUAAACUAUGUCAAUUAUUUUAAAAUCUUUGUUAAUGACUUAAUGAUAAGAUUAUUAAAUUAAAAAUUAUGUAUGUUGUGUAUAACUUAUGAUAUCAUUAAUACAAAAAGCUCUUAUAAGACAUAUAUUUAUUUUAAAAGGAAAUAAAUCUUUUUGUAUGAUAUUAAAUAAUAAUUUUAUAAUUCAUUUAAAUAUAUUUAUCACUAUUAUCUUUUUUUAUAUUUUUAUUUAAAAUAAUAUUAUUUUAUAUUAUUAUUGACAUGAUAAAGCUUUAAUGGCAUGUUAAUAUUUUACUUCAAUUGGUAAUAAUUUUAGCUUCUUUUACUCAUAUGCAUCACAUUUGAAUAAGGUUGAGCACAGAUCUCGGUGAUUCCGGCUUGAAUCGAAUAAUCGUACUGAAAAAUAUCAGACCCGAAAUAAUCGAAUUGAACUGAUCCAAAAAUAUUUUACUACUACGGUAUGUUACUGGUUCUUUAGUAAUAACCGUACUAAAACCGAAUAUUUUUGUAUUGAUCCGGAUCAAAGUGUAGAAUUGAAUUUUUUACAUAUAUUUAUUAAUAAUUAUAUAAAUAAUACUUAUAAAAUAUUAAUUAUAUUACAAUAACCUUUGUAUUCUAUAAAAAGAAUACGUUAUAUAAAGUAUUUAUUGUAUAAUAUAUACUAUAUUACUAAUUUAUUAUAUACUUAAGCUUUAAUUUCCUUUUUAUUAAUACCAUCUAUUACCACAGUCAACUGCAUAUCUCAAAUCUCAAUUCAUAGGCUUAUUCUCUUACACUUAAGCUCUCAAUUCACAAACCAUAAACUAGCCGCAUCUCUCACACUUAAAAUUAGACUUAUAUUUUAAUGCUAUAUAAUUGUAAUUUCUUUAUUUUAAUGCUAGCCAUCUACAAAAUAUUAUUAUGCUAGCAAUAGUAAAUAUUUUAAUAGUUUAUAUUUGCACAUUAAAUUAUUAUAUUUGUAAGUAGAUUAAAUUACAAAGCAAGUUGUUCAAGAAUGUGAUUGCAAUUUUAUCUAAUUCAAAUUCUUAUACUAAUUUUAUUUGAAUGUCAAUCGUAUUUUUUUAAUAUAUUUAAUUAAAUGUAAGAUUUAAAAUUGUGUUUUCUCUAAAUGCUAUAACCGAAAAUAGCAUCGAAUUGAAAAAAUUUAUUCAAUACAGUACAAUGUCAUUUAUGUUUGGUACAGUUCAGAUACUUUAAAUUUUAAAAGAAUCGAGAUUUUGUACGAUAUUAGUGAUUUAUAAAUAACCGAAUUGGACCAAUCCGUACUCAGCCCUACACGUGAAUAUUAAUUAUUUAACUCGUUAUCACUUAAAAUUAAAAUGAUAUAUAUAUUUUUAAAUUUAAUAUUAUAGCUUUGAAUUUAUUUAUUUAUUUAUUAUUGUUGUCACUUUAGUAUGUUAUUUUAAUUCUUUGCUUAUUACAUUAAUAAUACAUUAAAUAUAUAACUAAUAUUAAAAUAUAAUUUAUAUACUAUUUUUAGGAUGAUAAAGGAUUAUAUAAUUAAAAAAUUAAUUCAUUAGUUAAAUUUAUAUAAAAAAUAUAAUUAAGAUGUUAUUUUUUAGAAUUAGAAUCAUUAUUAAUUAAUUCAAUUAAUUUAAAAUUUAGUUGGUAAAUUUAUUUUUCUCUUUCCUUUUCCAUUAUUAUAUAUUAUGAUUCUAAUUGUUAUUAAGUUUGUUUUGCUUAAUGUUAUUUAAAAAUUUUAUUUUAUAAUUAACGUUGAAACCCUAACAGAGUUAAACUUCUAAAUUUAAACUUAUAUUUAAUAAAUUAUUGAUAUUUUUAUUAUUAAUAAAUUAAUUAAUAAAUGAUCUAAUUAUUUCAAUUAGCUAAACAAUCAAUUAGAUUAUUUUAGUAAAUUUAUUUGUCCUUUCUCAUUUCACACUUUUAUAUAUAUAUGUUAUAAUAUUAAUAUUUAAUGAUUAUGGCUUCUAUAAAAAUAAACUAACUACGCGACAUUAAUAAAAAUAAUUAACAUUUAAUAACUCACAUAUUAAAUUUCUCAAUCUCAAGAUUAUUGAUAUUAUCUAUAAAUCAAGUCCCACUUACAUAUGUAGUUAUUUGUGAUUCUUUUUUUUUUUUUUUUGUAAAUUGGACUUAUCUUUAUAAAUUCACUAUUCUGUAAAGGACUCCAAUAUUACUGAACCAAAUUUGUUUUUUAUUUUUUAUUUUUUUAAUAUAGUCUCAAUUCUAUCAUGUUAAUCUUGGGAUGUCAAAUUCAAACAAUCCAAUAAAAUGGUGGAAAGAAAAGUAUUAUGUAGACCCUGUCUGAUUUAAUGCUCAAAACACUUUUUAUUUUCUGAAAGGCUUUAUCUAUCACAAAAUAGUCACCAUUACAAAUUGAUUUUUGUAGGAGCUUUAUUGCAUCACCCUUCAUGAAAAGGAAUGGUAUUAGCCCAUGAAUGAUGUGAAGAGUCAUGAUGCAACUUCUUACUCAAUUUCUUGAAAGGAAUUAUACCCUUUUUUGCCUUAUCCCCUUAAAUCAUAUAUAUUAUUAGCUGGCAUUUGAUAACCACAUAAUAGAGCAAGAGUAGUAGUGGGUUUUGUAAUUAAGACCCAAAAGUUUUCUUUCUUUUCCUCUCUCUCUCUCUCUCUCUCUCUCUCUCUCUCUAGAGGUGUAAUCAAUGUGAGAAACAAAAUUUCUUAGAGCUUCUACCCCAUUUAAUUAGGUGAAAGACUAGUCUCUUGUAAUUAUUUUGGGGGUUAUUGUUACAAACAUUAAUUUUACAAAUAAUUGGUGAAAUCAUUUCCUAAUUUAAGAUCACCUUAGAUAAAAAAAUACAUUAGAAUAUCUUUUUUCGGUCGAAAAUAUAUGAUUAGUAUAUGGUAAUUAUCAGUGUAUAUUAUUAGGUAGAGUCAGAUUCUUAUAUUGUUUGUUAGGUACUUGUUAGACACAUAUUGGGUAUUAAGAAUCUUUGGUUUUAUACCAUAUGUUGAUUGAGCAUAAAUAAUAAAUAGGGCUACCAAAGGUAUCUUUAGCAUAUUUAUAUGCUAAGUAACCACCAUACCAGAAGUGUCUGCCUGCAUAUCUACUGAUAAAAACAUAUACAUACAUACAUACAUAUAUAUAUAUAUAUAUAUAUAUAUAUAUAUAUAUAUAUAUAUAUAUAUAUAUAUAUAUUGUUAGGGCAGAUGAUCUAGAAAUUGGAUUCUUCAAAAGUUCAGAAGUUUGUCCUGUUGGGGCCUGCCUUAAGUGGUUGUCCUGCCAUUGCUAGCUAAGAGCAGUCCUUGGAUAACAUUAUUACUUUUUUUCAGUGUCUUUGGACCUUAUCUAACAGGGUUAGGGCCAUUAGGGGAAAAAGUAAAGGUUAAAAUGGAUGGAUGGAGUAAUCACUUACUAUUGAUGAUAUUAAAAAUAAUUACUACCUCACUCUCAAUUUAAAUGCGAAUUAAAAAUAUUGAUAUUUUUAACUAAUUUAACUUCUAUUAUAAUUCCUUUAAAAUACUUUUAUUAAAUUUUUAAGUAUAAAAUAUAAUAAUUAAUUACAUGUGACAAUAUUUAUGUUAAUUUAUAAAAAAUAUUUUAUUAAAUUAAUAAUUAAAAGAAACUAGGAUUUAACCAGAUUAAGAAAGAAAAAGAACUAUCAUUUUGAGAUAGGAAAUAUAAUUAAAUUACUUUUUAUAUAUAUAUAGUUUUAGCUAUAACUAGAUAAAAAUAGUUUUGCCCACUAGGAAGUGGCUUAAUUUGUAUUCUCAGUUUAAAAAAACCUUGAGUUUGAGUCUUAUUGCUAUUUCUACCAUUGUUAAAAGUCCAUCAUCUUCAUAGUGGAUAUACCCAUUUGACUCUAAUGAACAAAAAGAAGAAGCAGUAAUAGUAUAUUGAUUUUUAUUUAUUUAUUAAAACUAACAAAAACAUAUUUCUUUUAUAGAAACAUCUCAAAUUCUUCUUCUAAAUAAAUAAUUUUUAAUCCCAAAGAUGAACCCAGAAUUAAUGUUGAAUUAAAUUUUGUUAUAAUAGUGCACUUAUCUAAAAUGUAUAUGCAUAGCAAUAGUUUAUGAUAAACAUUGGUCUAAAUUAAUAAAUAAUGUGAUUAGUAGCACUUUUCAGUCCCUUUUAACAUUUUUCUUUUCUUUUCUUUUUUAAAAAAAGAAUUAAUAAUUAAAGGCAGUCUAAAGUUUCUACACCAAUUAGUUUGUAAAACUUUUCUCUAAGAGCUGAGGUUAUCAAAUAGUAAUCCAUUUUUUAAAGGAAAGAAACUUUGCUUUUGUCAUGGAAUUAGAAAGGCCAAAUUAUGGUUUAAACAUUUUUUGAUGUUUUCUUUUUGUCAUUGCUUUCUUACUUUAUUUGUCUAUUUCUUUUAUCUUACGCUUAAUAAUGUCCCUUAAUAAUGUUUUUAAUAUUUGUAUUUUUGUUGAGAACCAAUGAUUAAUUAUUAAGUUUGGUUACUGGAUUAUUUUAGGGGAAUAAUUGAGUUUCCAUUCCCUCUAAUCCAAGGAGUGAUGAAUUCAAGCUAUCACAAUAUAAUUUUCCUUAAAAUUUUCAUAAAUAAAUGAUGGGAAUAUUAAGUUUUAUUGGAAAUAUUAAACAAAUAAAAGAAAUAUUAGUUUGGAAAAUAAUUGAGUUCAGUUUGAUCAACUGAUACAUAAUUGAAAGAAAAUAUUAAUUUAGAAUAAUGUGGAAUAUUAAUAUUGUGGUGUCUGGAAUUUGAGCUUAAUUGAUAAAAUCAAAGGAAAAGAACAAAAAAGGAAUAAAAAAAAGCAGCUGAAGGGUAUGUUAGUGAUUUUGGUAAGAGUAAAUAGACAUCUGCAGAAGAAUCAUGGUCCUGGCUUUGCAAUCUGCUAAUCUAUUUUGGAUAUCCUGUUAAUUACUAUCAUCUAUCGGCUAUUAAUAAUUAACAAAUGGAAAACAAGUUGUGUCCUUGGCUUCCCUUUUUCUUUUUUCUCUCUAAUUUAAUCAUUUGAUUGCGUUUCUUAUCCCAUUUUCAUUUCCAACUCUUUGUCACCAUUCUUAAUUCAACUAAUUAAUUUAUUUCCUUUCCACAAACCCCAACAAAUCUGCAACCAAACCUUAAAGAGGGUCCUACCAUUUUCACUUUUAUUUUUAGUUUUAGUUUUCUUAAAGGAAAUUGUUUUGGCCUUUUUAGUUUUGCUCAUAAUACUUCUCUUGUUUUAGCUCUUUUACAGUCUCUCUCUCAUGCAGCUAUAUAAUGAAAGCUCUUUUGUUGUUAAAGGACAAAUCGUUAAUCAGUUGUUGACAGAGUUCCAUGCUAAUGUUCAUCAAGAUCUGUUAUUUCUUUUAUUAACUCACCUGCUUGAGCCACCCAUUUAGAAAGGUAUGGUUUUGAUUCUAAAAAGUAUCUAGCUAUUUUCAUGGAAUGAUGAAUGCUUUCUUUUUUUCCCUGGUUCAGUUUGAGUUUGUUUUUUGUUAUAUGUUAAUGGGUAGGGAGAUGGUUUUUGAUGGAUUAGCGUGUUUAUUCUUUGUUUUAGGAUUCAAAACUUUAUUGCUCUUCUGGGUUUUGUGUGAAAACUUUUGAUGGUGUGAUUUUAACAAAAAAGUCGGUGAUGUUUCUAGAAUGGUGGUUCAUCUAAUCAGUUAUCAUAAGGGUUUACGAUCCUGUUAUUAUGUUAGGUAUUCAGUUCAAAGAAUGUCUUCAUUGAGUGAAUUUACGUACUCUUGGUUAUUUUAGGAACUAGAAGAGAAAGUCUUUAGUUUUGGCUUCCAAAACAUACAUGUGAAUUCUGUUGUACUUGGACAUAUGGUGGUAUUAGAUUGUAAGAAAUGCAGGUUCUGUGUUUAAUUCUCUCAAAUAUUAAGGUGCCCAAGAUUUCACUUUCUUUCUCCCUUUUAUUACCAAGUGCAUGGUGAAAAGAAAAAUAAUUAUACUUAAACACUGAGCAUGGAAUUCUCAAAUUCCGGAAUAUCUAUCUUUGUAUUGUUUUAUUUCUGAUUAAACUGGAUUAAUCAAGAGAUAAGAUGAUCUUGAUUGUGGCAAGUUGUCAACCCAUUAUUUUUUUUCUUUGGAUAUGGUACUUUGUCAUUAGGCAUGCCAAAUUUCCUAUAAGGUUUAAUUCAUAAUGAAGUCUUUGAAUCUCUUGCAAAAGUAAACUGAGCAACAUAAUUUUUCAUUCGCUACUGAUAUCUUCUUAGAAAGGUUCUAUGUUUCGUUGCACCUUUCCUUGGAGUAGAAUUAGAUGCCCAAUAAUGCUGUGGAUGAUGUGUCUACCUGUUGUGGAAACUGGUAGCAUCGCUGAGAGACAAAAAUGGCAUCCUCACUCUGGAUUCCCUUUGAUAUUGGAAGACUUACGCGUGUGUUUAGUGAUUGUCCUUCCUGAAUCAUGGAAUGAUUUCAGUGUCUCCCUGUGGUGUAUGGAUAAUAGAACAGUGGAGAUAGAGCCAACUGAGGGAUUUAUUUCAAUCUUAUUAGCAAUGAAGAGAGCUCAAUUUUUUAAGACAAGCAUCGCUUAAUAUGUGCUGCUAGUACAUAGGUCUAUUGACUUGCUGAUAAUGUGCAGGUUGGGUACUUUUUGCUGGAAUUGGUUAGUUUAUUCUCAUUGAAGUGAAUCUAGGAGCCAGUAGUUCUCAUCGUUUUCAUAUCCUAUUGAGGUUCUUCAGGGAUAGAGAUCAACAUGGAUGGGGUACUACUGUGGAUCCCAGUUGAAGGAGCAGUUGGAAUCAGAAAAGAUUGACCCCAUUAAACUGUCCAUGCCGCUGUUAUACAUUGUUCUAUUAUUUCCUUCAGCUUCUUUCUAUCAUGUCACAGUGACUGCCUUUUGCCUAGUCAUUGGCAUAUCUAGCAUGCCUUUGCCUAUUGAUUUUUGACAGGCCUGGGCUGAUUCAUGCAAGUUGUAUUUUCAUAUCUACAAAUAAAAUUAAUUAUCUAUUUGAAGAAGGCUUCAUGCACAUGACGAGUCGUUUAGAUAACUUUUGUAAUGUAAUAAGCUAUUACUUGUCCUCUAGAACCACAAACCUGCCAGUUUUGAAAAUAUUGUAUUUGACAAGCAUAAUCUUGUAAUUUAAAAUUGCUCUCGAGUAUAUACCAAGUAUUUUCUUUGUAAAUUUUUAUUCUUUUUACAUGCCUAACAGGUCUAAUGGACAUGACACCUGUAAGAUGUCUUGUCAACAGUAUCUCUCGAUUCAUUCUUCUAGUUUCAUGCCAGACCAGGAAACCUGCACCAAUUCAGAAGGAUUAUGGGAACAUGGUUACAGUUUUAAAGCAUUUGAAACCUGUGCUUGAUGAAAUCAUUGAUUGUAAAUUAUCUUCAGAUCAAAUCUUAUAUAAAGAAUGUGAAGAACUUGAUUUGGCCGUUAAUGGGGCUCGGGAUUUUAUGGAGAACUGGUGUCCGAAGAUGAGCAAGCUUUGUAGUGUAAGUAAUGCUUUCCCUGGUUAAAAUGCUGUGCAUUAUUAGAAUAUUUUCGUUAAUUUUUUUGAAGAGGAAAUAAAAAAGCUUCAUUAUCAAUAAAAAAAGAUGUUUGCUUAGUACACUAUUUAGUGCCAGUAGAAGAAGUGUUCCAUUAGCACAUGCAUUUUUGGUAAACAUGCUAAAAAGGAAAACUCUCCUUCAAUUCCAUAAUAUUCUUUGGAGGCUUGCAACACUAACACAACCUAAAGCUGUAAUAGGGUUCCUGUUACCUUUCCCUUUUCUUCUUGGCAAUCAAAUGGAGCUCCAUAAAAUUUUUGAAAACAUGACUCUAGUUUCAGGCUGAUGGGGUUCAAAAUUCUCCAUUCACAUGUACCUUUUCCCAUGAAUAGGUUCAACAAAGUGAAGCCUUGUACAUGAAAAUCAGAAUCUCAUCGGUAAAGAUUUGUCACUUACUAUCAAGGUUGUUGCGAUCAUCGCCAUCCACUUCAAGUUUAACUAGUAUUCAGGUGUGUGCACUGAAACAGUUUCUGGUUUAUCUUUAACAGAACUGUUAUUAAUAGCAGUUCCUAUUCAUUAUUUCAUUUAUUUUCAGCUACUUUCCUGUUUCCUUGCUACUGCAGUCCAAUAUUCUAUAUUAGAAUCAAUAUCACUUUCUUAUUAGUUUUCUUGAUCAUGCCUGUUGUGUGACUAAAUUCUGGUGGAAUAUUUCCAGCACUGUAUGCAGGAGCUUCAAUCUUUGAAACAGGAAAUGAUGACAGAACAUAUAGAGGAGGCUGUAAGAAAUAAAAGAGAUGAAGUGGUUCCUUGUAGUGAUCCCCUUGUCAAAAUUAUUCAGUCACUAAGCUUGACAUCAGGCCAGGAAAUCUUGAAAGAAAGUGUGGCUGUGGAGAAGGAGAGAAUGAAUAUACAAGUAAACAAAGCAAAAGGGGACUUGGAUCAAAUCAAUCAAAUUGUGGAUCUCAUCUCUGAUAUACGUAAUUGCUUGCUUAAAAUUGAACGAGUCGACCCAAAAAGUGGAGUCCUGAUCCCCUCAUACUUUCGUUGCCCUUUAUCAUUGGAACUCAUGUUGGAUCCUGUGAUCGUGGCUUCAGGUCAAACUUAUGAGAGGGCUUCCAUUCAGAAAUGGCUUGAGCACGGGUUGACCAUUUGCCCAAAGACACGUAAAACACUGGCUCACUCAAAUCUCAUUCCCAAUUACACUGUAAAAGCUAUGAUAUCAAAUUGGUGUGAAGAAAACCAUAUAAGACCUUCCAGUAACUCUAAGCAAGAUGAUCUUAUAUCAGCCUCAGUCCCAGCAGAUGCUUUGCAGUGCUCAGAUAGUUUACAUUACUCUCUGCACAAUAGCAAUUCUAUAUCAAAAUCAUCUCUUGAAGGUGGAAAUGGAUUCGAGAAGCAAAGGGUUGUUUUCUUGUCUAAAUUAAGCAGAGAAGAACCCAAUGGAUAUCAAGUCCAGAAGAUUGAAAGCUUUGAGCGCCCAUCUCAUGAACUGUCAUAUAAUCACAGCAGGAGUGAAUCAACCUCCAGCGCCAUAUCCAGUAUAGAGUAUGUGCCUCCAAUAGCAAAUGAGGUAUCAAUGGUAUCUAGAAAACAUGAAAAGGUUAGUGAUUCGUCAGGCGAGAUCACAUCCGAGGGCCAUGCUGUUUUGCCAAACAAAGAAUCAGAGUUUUCUCCUUGGUUUCCUACAGACCAUUUUAGUAUUCCUAAAACGAAGGCAGAUGGCGAAGGCAAUGCAAACCAUAAACUCAACAGAACCCGUGCUGUUCCUUUUCUUGACUCAGGUUUUGAUGAUCUAACUACAACUUCUCAUGUUGAAUGUCUGAUUGAAGGUCUUAAAAGCCAAUCAAAUGAACUGCAAGCAACUGCUGCAGAAGAAUUACGCCUUCUUGCAAAGAACAAGAUGGAGAAUCGCAUCAUUAUAGGUCGCUCUGGAGCUAUUACACCUUUGCUUUCACUACUGUACUCAGGUGUAAAGCAAACUCAGGAGCAUGCUGUUACAGCUCUGUUGAACCUCUCAAUCAAUGAAGAAGUUAAAUCCAUGAUUGCAGAGGCAGGAGCACUGGAACCACUUAUUCAUGUCUUAAAAUCAGGAAAUGAUGGAGCCAAGGAGAAUUCUGCAGCAGCCCUGUUUAGUCUCUCUGUUUUAGAAGAAUACAAGGCAAAAAUUGGCUGUUCUGGUGCAGUCAAAGCCUUGGUGGAUCUUCUAGCCUCUGGGACUCUAAGAGGGAAAAAGGAUGCCGCCACUGCAUUGUUUAACCUUUCAAUCCUUCAUGAGAACAAGGCUCGUAUAGUUCAAGCUGGAGCUGUGAAGUAUCUUGUUGAGUUGAUGGAUCCUGCCACUGGAAUGGUUGAUAAGUCAGUUGCUCUUCUUGCAAACCUGUCAACUAUUGGAGAAGGGCGCUUGGCAAUUGCGCGUGCUGGAGGCAUCCCUUCACUGGUUGAGAUUGUUGAAUCAGGAUCUCAGAGAGGGAAGGAAAAUGCUGCCUCUGUAUUGCUGCAACUGUGCCUUAAUAGUCCCAAGUUUUGUACUUUUGUUUUGCAAGAAGGAGCAGUUCCUCCCCUUGUUGCCUUAUCCCAGUCUGGCACACUGAGAGCAAAGGAAAAGGUAUGCUUUAACUCUCACUUGCUGGCUUAACCAAAUACCUCAAUGUUCUGGUGUUAUUUUUAUGCCUUCUACUAGGAAGUAGAGGAAGCGUGAUAACUAAAUGGCAAUAGCAUCUCUUCUUAUCUUUUCUUUUUUUAAACCACAGCAAUUUCUCCCUUCUGCUUGUUCCAAUGAGCUGCUUUUGGGAGAAAGAAUGGGAGAAAAAACUUCCAAGUAUUGCCAUAUUUAUGUUGCUUGGGAGAAUGGGUUGUAACUAUCAUAUUUUUAAUUUCUAGCAGAGGUAUCAAACCAAGUUUUUGGAUGUAUUAUAGUGUGUGAGAUCAUAUAUGAUUUACAUGUAUUAUGCAUUGCAGGCACAGCAGCUUCUCAGUCAUUUCCGUAAUCAGAGAGAAGGAUCCAUGGGAAAGGGUAAAUCAUGAAAAGAAUACAAAUUUUGUUUGAUUUUUUAAUACGUUUGUUGCCCAUCAGGGUUUUCAACAUAUUUUAGGUUGUAACUAUAUCUGUUUGUGUUUUAGUCUUCAUUUUUUUCCCAAGUAGGAGUUAGCGUGCUCAUUAGAUUUUAGUUUCCCAAAUAUUUGAGUGCAGUCAUUGAGGAUUUGUUCUUUUCUUUUUUGUGUUUUAGAAUACAAAAAUCAUAACUGCUUGGGUCCUAAGUAAUGUAUAUAUCCUGUAUAUACUAUCAAUAUGCUAUAAAAUAAGACAAUGCAUAAAUGUUCACAUUUUGAGGGUUCGUGCUUUUGCACAUGUAUCAAUAUGGACACUUUCCUUGGUAUGCAUCAUUCCUCUUUGGUUCAUGUUGAAGUUCAGUUAAUAGUAAAUACUGGAAUGGUAAAAAGUGAUCCAAGCAUUUCAGAAAUGUCGGUGGAAAUUAAAAUGGAAGUAUAAAACACAGGUUAUGGAUAUUCUACAGCUCUGAAAUGAAAGGCAUCAUAAAAUGAUCAUCUUGGUGGUUCCGAUUCUGAUAGUUGUUUGUUUACAAUUUUGUUAGUUGUAGUUCUCCAAUUUGUUGUCAUUGUUCAAUUUUUUGUAGAGACACUUGGAUUGUACUUUUCCUGUAUAAGAAAGUCCUUUCAGCUGUUUCCAUUUAGGAAUGAAGUCCCUAUGCUAGUAUUCUUUUCCAAUUGAGCUAUAACAGAACUUACAGAUUACAUCACGCCCAGCGGAAGUUGGCUCUCAGUUCCUUGCCGUAUAAAAACAAGAAGAUAUUUCGAUCUUAUGUGGCUAUAAUUGGCAAGUGAAAGGUAGUUGUGUAUAUAUAGCACAGAUGUGGAUUCCAGUUAGGUUCCACGAUGGAUGCUGCACCUGUACACUCUAUCAUGAACAAAGAUGAAGAGAUUGCCUGGUACUAACGGGCUGCGAUGAUUUCUGUUAGUUCAGUUAGCUCGAUUGUAUACAGAGGAAUAUGUUGAGUGAGAUGUCCAGAUACAUAUAAUGAAUGCUCUUUUGAUUCUGUUGAAUAGUAACUUUAGCAUUAGUUACAGAGGCUGCUUGUUGCAGUCUCUGUAACUGGAGGCUGUAAGGCACAUGCACAAAGCUGCUAUAUUAUGUAAAUUGCAGGCAUGCAACUAUGCCUAGCAUUUCUUGGAGAAGCUACUUUUUGUAAGAGAAAAGGGCAAUUGCCCGUUGCCUAUUGCUAUUAGUGAAACAUAAAUAAAUAAAUGAAAAGCUCAGAAAUUUUUAGUAUUUUAAGAAUCUAAGGACUCUCACUUUGACCUCUAGUCAAAUAUCUAUUAUAAUUAUUUGGGAAUAAAUGCAUAAAAAUAUCUUGACAAUCUCAGCAUAUAGUAAUUUUUUUUAGAUAAAAAAAAAUAUGGUUAAAAAUUGUGAUAAAAGAAAUAUUUUAUCAGUAAAAAGUAUUAAUCGGCAAGAAUUUAAUUAUUUUACUAUUAUUAUUAACUGUGAGAUAUUCUUUUUAUUACGAUUGUAACAUCGUUUUUCUUUUUAUCUAAAAUAUAAUAUAUAUUAAAAAAUUGAGAUACCUUUUUAUGUAUAUUCCAAUUAUUUAAUAAACUAUGAUGCUAAACAAAAUAGAGAUUUAAGAAUGGAUUAAAGCACUGCAAUUUUUAUUUUUUUAUUUUUUUCUUUUGGUUUUUGGAUUAUGUAUGGGUAUUAUAGUAAUAUUGAGGGGAUUGAAAUAUAUAAAAUAACAGCAUGUAAUUAUUAAAAAGAGGGGGCAUGGGAAUAAAUAAUUGAUGGGUCUAAUAAUAUAAACUCUCACUUUCUAUGACGACUGUUUCCUAUUUUAAUUACAAUUUUUGUACCAUAAUAUCUCUCAACAACAGACACUCUUAUCAUUAUUUCUCAUCCUUUUCGAUUUCCUUUCUGCUUUUACAAACCAUUAAUAAUAAUAAUAAUAAUAAUAAUAAUAAUAUAUUGUGAGUUAACUCCAUCCAUUUAUUUAAUGAUAUUAAUAUCACGUGGUUGUACAAAUGUAUAAAUAUUUUAAUAUAUAAUUUGAAAAUUUUUUAACCUAUUAAUUUAAAUAUUCGAAUUUGAUUAAAAUCUAAAUAUUAUGUAUACGUCUCAUUUUCCUUUUCAUUAUAGCCAUCAAGUCGGUUCAAUAUCUCAUUUUUACAUGAUUCUAAUCGAUUUAAAAGUCUCUUACUGUUUUUAGAUCUUAUAUACCAUUUUAGCUACUUAUUUGAAUCAAGUUGACUCACAAUUAGAACUUGUAAGAGGUAAACUCAAUGAAAUUAUAAAUUAAAAAUGCCAAUUCGAAAUCCCAUAUUAAAUUAUGAAAACUAUACGUGAAUAAAUCAUAUAGAUUAACAUCCCAUUACAAAAUUAUCAUUAUAAUAGAAAAGUAUGUCCUUUCUCUAAUCAACAAUGAAAAUGUUACAUAAGAAAAGAGAAGAAGAAGAAGAAGAAGUGGGCCUAGUGGGGAUCCAACUAAACUGUAGUAGUGGAGCCCUAGCAUAUGGGUGAAGAGCUUAUCUGGCCCCUCUAAUUCACCAACUCCAAUUGCCUUAAAUUCUCAGAUACAAAUUCUCAUGUCAAAUGGGCCCUCACGAAAUCUCAUCACAAUUUGUUCUCAUAAUAUUUUUCUUUUUAAAAUAAAAAUUCAAGUUUUUUGUUGUUUACCAAGUUUAUUUGUACCAGAAAAUCAAACACACACACACACACACAAGAAGAGGGAUGUUGGAUUAUUUCAUUAAUUAAGGGACAGAUAUUUCCCUUAAAUUAUUAUUCUUUUGACACUUCAGUGACUAAUCAUUAUAUAUUAUUACAUUUUUCGAUUGAGAUACUGAUAUAUAAUAAUAUUCUUGUAAAAUAAGUAUUUUUAUUAAAUAAAUUACUAUUCCUAAUUUAUUAAAUACUUUAUUCUAUUAAAUUUUUGUGCUUUAAUUUAUCGUACUUAAAAUAUUCUAUUAAAUAGUUGUAUUUUUAUUUUUUAGUUAAAAAUUAUAUCAGAGAAAAUCUUAUUAGGAUUUAAUAAAAUAAAUUAAAAAUUAAACAAAUUAAAAACUUAAUAAUUAUUUUACUCUAUUUUGGAAUUCGUUUUCUUUCUCCAAUGUCAGAAUGAUAAUAUUAUUAUUCUAAUACUAAUAUAUAUGCCAGCUUUGCCACCUGCCCCGCACGUUGCCGAAUUUUUUUCUUUUUCCCUGAUUCAUUAUUGGAGAGCUUCAUAACCGAGGUAACUAAUUUCUUUUUAUAUAUUACUUAUAAAUUCUGCUCAUUCCGUUGCAUAAUAACUCUCUCUUUUUCACGUAAAUUAGAUUUUUUAAUUAUUAAUUAUUUUUAUAUAUUUAAUAUAUAAUAUUAAAUUCUUUUUUAUUUUAUUCUUAUAUUAAAAUAGGUGUAAUAAAAUUUUAUAAUAUUUAAAAUCAGUUUUAAUUUAAUUAAAUCUGAAAUCAAAUGAAAUAUUAUCCACUUUGAUCCCACUAAUAAAAUUUUAAUUAUUUAUCUUUUUUAUAUAUUUAGUAGAAUAUUAAUUUUUUUAUUUUAUUCUUAUGGUGAAAUAAGUAUAAUAAAAUUUUAUAAUAUCUAUAAGAAAAUAAAUAAAUUUAAUUUAAUUAAAUUUGAAACACAUGAAAUUAUUGUUCGCUUUGACCCUAAUAGUCUCACGGUAUCCUGAAAUUUUCAUUUUGGAAUUUCUACAACUCCACAACCAAACAAUCAAAAAGUACAUUAUGUGAUUAAUUCUAACUCUUUAUAUAUAUGCUAUCAACCAUUUUCUGCCCAACUUAUCACGAUCCGAUCUGUCGGCUGUGACCGACACUAGAGAAUGAGUAAGCUUAGGGUCACUAAAAUCCAUAAGAAGCCUAAUUAAUUGACAAUUCAAAUAUACAUACAUAUAAAUAUACUAUUAAACCAGCUUAACAUUUCAUUCACAAAUCUCCAGCUAGAUGCUAACAGAUAUUUCAUAACUUGUUACGCACUAAAUUCAAACAUAAUAUGCCAGGUACACUACCGCAGAUAGUCUUAAAUUUUAAAAUUUUCAGGUAGCAGCUAGAUUCUCCGUCGUCUUUCGCUUGACAAUCUGACUUCCUUCUCCUUCGAAAUUAUUGUAAUUAAUUUCUACUUUUGCAUUUUAAAUUAUUUAAAAUUCUAGACUAUUCGGAGUAGUAUACUCCAAUUUUGAUAUGCAAUUCAAUUCAUUUAUGUACCCCCAUAUCUUAGAGUGUUGUCAUCCUGGAAGCCUUCCAAAAGCCACUCCUUGUUUAGAUAUCCUAUCUUUGUCCCGGCGUCCACUUUCCCGCUCAUUCGAUCUCUUUUCUAGGCCAGGCUGUCACAUGUCUAUCAUCUUCUGACUGAUUCGCCUCGAACCACAUAUCUACUAGAGUUGUUCUGCUAUGAUAUCAUUUGUAAUAACUCGGAACCAGAUUAUAUAAGAUAUUGUUCGCAUUGGCCCCACUGGUCUUAUGGUUUUGUCCCAUUGGCGAACUCGAGAAUAUUCUAAGAAUUCACUCAUCCUAAAAUUUUUUUCGUAUAAAGCACGUUUAACUUUAGAGUUCCUACAACUCCACAACCAAACAACCAAAAAAUAUCUCAUAUGAUUAAUUUCAACUCAUUACAUAUAUGCAACUAUUUCUUGCCCUGUUUUGAAAAGCAAUUCAAUUCAUUUAUUUACCUCUGUAUUUUAGAAUGCUGUUAUCCUUAAAGCUUUCCAGAAGCUGCUCCUUGUCCAGGCAUCCUAGCCUUAUCUCGGUGUCCACUUUUCACCUUCAUCGAAUCAUUUUUCUAAACUAGGCUAUUACACUUUAAAUGUUUCUUUUUUAAUCUGAGUAAACUAUUAAUAAAAAAAAUAAUUAGUAUGGAAUAGAAAAAUUACUAAUGACAAUUUUUUUUUUUAGUUUUCGAUAAAUUCUUCUCAUUUUUCUAAAAAAAAAAAAUAUAAAUGGAAAUAAAAUAAAUUGAUAAUCGUCGACUAAAAGACAUAACAUAAUUUUGAGAGCCAAAUGUAUAUAACAAAUAUCAAUGUAUUAGGUGGACAAAUUCGGAAUGCAAAGAGAUAUAUGAGACCCAGAUAUAUAUAUACCACACAGUCAUAAUGAAGAGAGCCAUACAUUUUAAAUAUUUCAAUAAAAAAUAUAAUAGAUAAUAUAUCACAUAAAUUUAUUAGUUUAUUAAUUAUAUUUAUAUAAAUUAUUAUUAGAAAUAUAAAUAUAAUUAAUUGAUCUUUUUUAAAAUUUAAAGUCAUUGUUUAAUUAAGAAAUAACUCAUUUAUUUAAUAUGUUAAUUAAUCUUACUAAUUUAUAAUUAGAAUUAUUAUUUAAUUAAAAAUAAUAUAUUAAUUAUAUCAAUUAAUGUAAUACUAUUUAAAUAAAAUAUAUAUAUAUAUAUAUAUAUAUAUAUAUAUAUAUAUAUAUAUAUAUAUAUAUAUAUAUAUAUAUAUAAGAAUAAUGAUAAAAAUAAUCAGUGAAUUUCAUAUUUGAACUUUCAGUCAAGAUUUAUAUAAUUAAAAUAUUAAAAAUAUUUUGUUUCAGUUUAUAUAUAUAUAUAUAUAUAUAUAUAUAUAUAUAUGGUUGAUUUUUUUUUCUUAUUUUAUGCUAGUUAAUUCUUACAAAUAAGUGUUAGUUAACUUGAUUAGAGAGUUGAAUUAUUGAUCUAUUAUAGAGAUUUUGAGUUAUUUUUUAUCGACCAUAUAAGUAUUGAGAUUUCUUUUUUGGAAGUGAUGAAGAAAAUAAAAAAGAUAUAUUAUUUAUGGGUGCUUAAUAUUACCAUGAAAAAUACACUUACAUUUAAAAUUUAUUAUUCUAUCAACAUGAUUAAUAAUCAAUAAAAAUAAACUUAUAUAUUUAUGUUUUGAUAUUUAGUAUUUAGUUUUAUUUUUUAUAUUAGAAUGCGUCUAUUUUUAAAAGGAAAAUGUACCUUAUGCAUUAUAAUAAGUAUAUUAUUUGAAAAAUUUUCUUUUAUUUUGCUAAAACCCUCACCCAAUUCUGGAGGAGUAAAUGCAAAUCUCUUAUAAAACUACUAACUUUCUUGACGAAUCGCUUAUAAGAUUAUUGAAUCUGAUCUAGAUAUUGUAAACUUAUUCAUAUAAAAUUAAGCUUAAUUCAUAUUUUUGGCAAAAUAAUAGAAAAAUCAAAAUUCAUUAUUUUUCAAACUAUUUUAUUCCUUAGUUUUUUUGUUCCAAAACAUUAAUAUUAAAGUUUUAAUAUCUCAAGACUGUCAUCAACUCUGGUACGAUAUUAAUGCUUUAUGACACUAAUAUAUCAUAUAUUUUUUGACAUUAUUUUGUCCAUGUUUCUGCUUAUUUGUUCUAUAAUUAUAUUAUAAGCUUAUUUUAUUUAUAUUUGCAGAUGGCUUUUCGUGCAUAUUUUUUUUUAACUUAAUAUUUCUGAGCAUUAAGGAUAAUUCAUAGAAUGUGGUUAUUAAAUCAAACCCAAGUGCAAAAAAAUAAAAAUAAAUCUACCCAUUAAAAUUAUGUUUAACACUUCAAAUUUAUAAAUUUCACACAUCAAACCCUUAAUAAAACUGAAGUUAUCAUUGUCCGAAACAUUAAUAAAUAUGUUUAAUUUAAUACUUAUGGAAGUUUUCAAAAUUGUUUUAGUAGAAGGAAAACAAAGACAGAAAAUGUUAUAUAUAAAUAAAUUUGCUUGCAGGCCUGCAACAGAGUUUUAGUUAACUUGCGCUUUCAAGUAGUUAUGUAAAAAUACAUAUAUCUUCCAACUCCUAACUGCCUGAACUUGUUGUUUUGAACUGUUCUCAAUUUUGUAAGGACAUGGCAGCAGUCUCUCAGCCUGAUGCUCUUCAGUUAUGGCAAUUUAUUUUGGCCCCAUUAACAUUUUUUCCUCUAAAUUUGAUUUCACAUUUACAGCAGCCUACCAUUGAUACAUACCUUUUGAUAUACGGAAAUCUAGUUGGACCAUAAAUAUAUCAAUACAACUGAGUUCAGAAAUUCCUUUUAUCUACUAUUUAGAGUUAGUCUCACUAAUUUUAAACAUGUCGGAUACAACUCCUGUAAGAGUGGUAAAGUGAUAUAUGAACAGCUUUAUGCAGUUGUAUAUUCAAAGUUCGAAUUUGAAACUCAAAUUAAAUCAGAGAGAUUUUUACUGUCUCAUCCACGUAAUGCUAGAUAGAUCGGUAAAUUUUAAUUGCUAACAUUCAAUUUCUUUUCUAAAAAAAUCUCGAAUGUUUAUUUUUAAAAUAGUUUUAUUUAAUACUAAAUUUAGUUAGUGCAAAGAAUUAUUUCUGGUUAAAUAAAUGAUUGUACUUUAAUGCACAAUCUGAUUUGAUUCACUUAGUGAUGGAAAUAAACAAGCAUAGUUGUUUAGUGAAACACUGUAUACAUAAUGGCAUGUUUUGUUUCGUCGGUCUCAUCAUUCAUCAUGUACUUAUUAACUAUUAUUUGACUUCUUUGGAAAUUUCUAUAUACAGAAACCCAAUUAUGAAUGAGACUUUUGAUGUAUGAAAUCAAAAAAGAAAGGCCCUUAGUUAACCAUAAACUUGUCAAAUGUAAAUGAGUGUCAUCUCUAACAAAUUGAAAAGGAAUUAUCAAAUUGUUAAAGGGAGAAUAAUGAGUGGGUAAUAAAUGACAAUAAUCAUUCCACCCACAAACUUAAAUAGUUGAAUGAAGCUCUAACAAUAAAUUAUUAAUUAACAUAUUUUUAUUCAUAAUUAUUUAUUUGGAUCUUUUCUUUUUAUCGAAAAACUGGAUUCAUUAAUCUAGAAUGAAUACAAAAAGAUACAUAAGAGCUAAUUAGGAUCGAAAGGAAACUAGAAAUAUUAGCUGAUAAUCAAAUCCUAAACUUUUUUAUUAAAGAAAUUCUGAUUCAAUGCGAAAAAAUUAUUUUACUCAAAAUUCUAAAAUAUCGAAUGAGAUUUUCAGAAAAUUUAUAUCUUUAAUAACACACAAUUUAAUACAAAAAGUUCUUCCACUCGGAUUUUUCAUUAGCAAAAUCAACUUCUUCUUCUUUACAAAUUAAGUUUUUCUACUUGUAGUUCUACAUCGACAUCCAUGGUUAUGCAUAUGUUAGUGCUCUCUAGGGUUGGCAAUCUUAAACAUGGCAAAGUUGGAAAUGAUAUGAAAAUAAGGGCCGUUAUCGUCACGACUCGAUAAUGGCAUGAAAAAUUAAUCUGUUAAGAAGAGGCUUUAUCUUGUAUAUAGUAUACAUACAAUAAAAUCUAUAUAUUUAAAAUCCACUUUGUAUAUUAAAAUAUUAAUUUAUUGAUGUAUAUAAAAAUCUUUUAUUUCAUAUAAAUAUUUAUUAUUUAUUAAUAAAAUUAUAAUAAUUAUCAUGCUACCUAUUUAAUAAAGGAGUCAUAUAUGAUUUUACUGUAAUUGAAGAUCCAAGAAGUAAAAGAAUGAAGAAAAUAUCACAACUGAAAAAGAAAAAAAGAAAACACAUAAACACAGAAGAAGAAUAAUCUGCCUAAGGAGACAAUCGAGAAUACAACAGCUGAAGAACCAAAGCCAUAAACCAUAAACACAGACCAAUUAGACAACACAGUCCAAGAUGAAGCAAUAAGAAACAAAGAACAAGUUGCUAAAAGGACAUAAACUAGCGUAUAUAUCACCAAACAUCAGUAAAGCAGACCUGAAAAAUAGCUAAAGAAAACCAUCAAAAACCAAGCUACAACAUCAGAAGAUCUGCAGCUUUCUUGCUUUGCCAAAGCAUCAACCGAAUAGUUUUUUUCUCUGAGUGGUCUUUAAUCCAGGAUUCCCAAGAGAAGAGCUUUCAAUAUAUACCAUUUAAGAGCACCAGGGAAGAUAGCUGCUCAACCACUUAUUAAAGGAGGGGAAACCAUCAAGAUAAAGGAACCUAAGAUAAUGGAAUAACCCAACAAACCUGGAGAACAAGACUAAAAGUAUAUGUUUGGUUCAUGAGAAAGUAAAAGAAAAUGAAGCAAGAUAAAGAUGGUCUACUACCCGGAUCUAAAUUAUAUGAGAUAUUGUCUAUUUUAACUCUUUAAGCCUCAUAAUUUCAUCUUCUUGGUGGAUUUGAGAAUUUUCUAAAUGCUAUCUAUCUUAAGAUUUUCUUAAACCCAACAGGUUUCUUCAAUUACUAAAUCAAACAACCAAAACAAGUAUCAUAUGUGGUUCAAUUCUUUACAUAUAUGCCAUCAAUAAUUUUUGAUCCCAUUGAGAGUAGAUUUAUUCAUGUACCCCAUAUACUAAAGUAUAUAACAUCUUAAAGGUCUAUUAGGAGCUAUUCUUUAUUUAUUAGUUUCCUCCCCUCCAAUUAUUGUUUUGGUAAUUUGUGUUUAAUGCCCUCCAUUUCUCNNNAAGUUUGAUAGUAAAAAAAAGAAUUGAAUUAGUAUUAGAAUUGCCAACUUAUCAUAUAAUAAAAAAAGAGUGAUAUUUAAGUAAAUGAACAAAUGAUCUAGAAAUAAAUUGUCUUUUUUUACCAUCUUAUUCAUAUUUAUUAGGGUUUAGAGGACAAUUUAAUAAUCUAAACUUUCGUGCAUUUUCAACUCAUUUUCUUUUGCUUUGUAGUAUGUUGAACAAUCUAAAUCUUACAAAAUUUCUCUAAAAUGUCCAUAAAUGAGUUAGUAUGACUCAGUUUUUUGUUAAAUUAUUAGAAUUAAUUUUAAUAUUAAAAUACAUUAUUAAAACUUAAAAAAUAAAUUUUAGAUAUUAAACAUAAAAAUAAAUAUAGAAAACAGAAUUUAUUUAGCCUUUAAACUUAGAAAAAAUGACAUUUAUUUUAUACUAUCACUCAUACAUUCCACUUUCGAAUUAUUUGCUAAAUGUGAACGUGAGAUUUUUGCUUUUUAUUCAAUUAUAUGUAUACUAUACGGUGUGAGCGGCUAUUUCUUCAUAAAUCUCUAAUUAUAAAGAUUGUUGAGCAGCUUUCUUCUUCUUUUUUCUUUAUCUUUUGGAACUGUGGUGUUGUGAAGAAACUUGCUCCUAUGGUGUCUCUUUGCCGGACAAAACAAUUUGCAUUUAAUUCAAGAAUCAAUUUAAACAUUUUUAGUAAAUAAUUCUUGAAUUUAUAUUUAAGAAUUAAAUAUAUUUAAUUUAAAUCUUUUCAGUGAAUAGUUCUUUUAAUAUUUACGUAUUAAAUACAUUCGAUUUAAACUUUUUAAAAAGCGAAAUAAUAUUAGAUUUUUAAGUUCUAAUUAAAUUAUAAAAACUAAAAAAUUUAUAUUUAUUUCAUUAAUUUACUGAUACAACAAGAGUGUAUUUAGUAAAAUAUAAUAUUUAGAUUUAAUUGAGUAAAAAUUAUAAAUAUUAAAUAAGUCAAACUUCAAUUUUUUUAAUAAAUAGGCUCAUAACUUGUCAUUUUUUAGUCAUUUAAAUUUUAUAAACACUUUUAUAUAGCACAUCACUAAAUACUGUAAGUAAAUUAAAAAAAAUAAAUAUUAUUUUUAAAUAGGCGUAUUUAACUCUUGAACACGAANNNNNNNNNNNNNNNNNNNNNNNNNNNNNNNNNNNNNNNNNNNNNNNNNNNNNNNNNNNNNNNNNNNNNNNNNNNNNNNNNNNNNNNNNNNNNNNNNNNNNNNNNNNNNNNNNNNNNNNNNNNNNNNNNNNNNNNNNNNNNNNNNNNNNNNNNNNNNNNNNNNNNNNNNNNNNNNNNNNNNNNNNAUCUUAUGAUAUUUUAAGAAUAAAUUAAAAUCUCCUUUUCUUUUAUUAUAUUAUACAAAAACUUCUUCUAAUAAAUUGUAUUCUAAUAAUUUAUUAAAUUUAUUUAAAAUUUUAAGGAUAUGUUUGUUUCACGGAAAAUAUUUUUUAAAAUUUUAUGUAUUUGAAAUUUUAGAAAAAUAAUUCAAAUAAAAUUGUUAUCUAGUCAAUAAGAAAAUUUUAUAUUUAGAAAUAAAAAACAUAUUUCUUCAUUCGUAAAACAAAUGAAACAAAGGUAGCCUAAAUGUACCCUCACCAUCACCAUCUGCAUCUCCAUCACUAAUCUCUCUUCUUCUUUUUCUUUUUAAUAAAACAGCUUCUUUAAAUUAAAACCAUCACCACCCAACACUGCUACCAUCAUUGUCUGUGAAAUUAUAAAACAUUCUCCCAUUAAAGUAGGAUAUUUACGCUUCAUCUUCUUAAACAAACCACCCAACUCCACACCUCUUCAUUUUCUAUUUAUUAGAAUGAAAACAGCCCAACAAAAACAAUCUCUCCCUUUCCUUUUUCUUUGUUUUCCAACUAUGAACAUUACUACCCCCGCCUUUUCCACCACCAUCUCUAUCAAAAAUCUGCCAUUGUCUGUUUCUGUUGUUGACAAAGACCAACCAAUUAUCGCAGCAGCUGCUUCCACCAUUGAAGCGAUCAUCACAGUGUUAAUAAAGAACAAGCCCAUUCACGACCUCAACGUCAUUUAAGAGAUUAGGGCAAUCUUAGCACCUUUUCUUAGAUAGCAAAUGGUGAAAAUUCCCACUCUUCGUGUACAAGGAAAGUGAAAAAGAAAAAGGCUUUGGCAGUGGGUGGUGACAUUGGUUAUGAUAGCAGCAGCGGAUGGUCGAAUUGGUGACGGAGAUGGCAGUGUUGAUGCGUGGGAUUUUGUUAGUCUUUUUUCUAUUAAAAAAAAAAAAAACUGAAAGAAAGUGUCGUUUAUAUAUAAAAGUUCUGUUAAAUUUUGAAAGAAAAUGUUGCUGGAUGAGCUUGUUAUUCUUUUUUUUUUUUUUAAGAAAAUAUUUCUCUAUGGAGAAAGUGAAAAUAAAGGAAAAAAUAAAAAAUUGAAUUAAUAAUUGAACGGCGGAAAAUAUAAUAAAAAAGUUUUUAAUAUAUAUAUAUAUAGUAAAAUGAAAAAAUUAAUUUUAUAAGUUUUUUGAAAUGUCAGAGAAAUAAUAUUGCAACAGGAUAAAUAUCUUGAGAUAAAAUAAUAUUUAUCAAAAAAAAUUUACCUUUAAAGUUUACAUAUAAAUAUGAUGAUAAAUUUAUAAAAUUACAGUUCUAACUUUCUUUAGGUUUGUUAUAAAAAUAAUUGUCAUUUUGCCCUUUAAAUUCUGACUUUACUCAUGUUGUUUGGUUUUGUGUGUUUUUCAUUUAUUUAUUUUUGUUUUGAUAGAAUACAAUAUUAUGUUAAUGAAUAAUAAUAUAAGAUAGUAAAGUUUGCAUUAGGAUGUCAAUUAAUAUGGACAGACAAUUAGAAGAAGGACAGCAUCGAAUUGUCAAAUCCCACCAACAAAGGGACAGGACACGCUGUUUGUUUGCUGCACCCAAUUCCCAUUAAAUGGCUUACGUAGUUUUUCAAAACUAUAAUGUCUAAAAUGCUUUCUCUCUACAUUAUUAGCAAAUUUACUGUAUUUAUUUAUUAUAUUUUAACACAAAAAUAUAUUCAAAAAUAAAGAAAUUCGAUGUCGAGUUAGGACAGCUCCCAGAUUGUGUUCAUAUUCAUUAGUUGGAUCAUAAAUAACAUGAAGCCACAACCUUGAGCAAGGUCUGGAAAGACAUUUAACAGUUUUUUUGACAUUCUUUUCUUAAAAAAUACCUAAUAUCUUAAAAAUAUGCAACGAAAUCCUACAAGACAUCAUUAUUUCUGAUAUGAAAUUGUUUUAUCUAAUUUAAAUUAAUAUAUUUUAUAUAUUUUAUUAUUUAUAAAUGAUUAAAUUUAUAUAUUAAUAAUCUAAUAUAAAAAAGAGAGAUGGAAAGAGAAGUUUUUAGGUCAGUAUUAGAUUAUCAUGAGUUUCUUCUAUGUAUGAAUCAAAUUUGCCACAAAGAGUUUUAGGAUGUUCACAUAACAAUGUUUCUUUAUAUCAGCCCAAAAGAUUUUAUAAAAAGAACAAAGAAAUAGGACCUCAUGAGUUAGCAAUGUAUAUAAACAAGGUAAAACUUUCAAACCUCCUUCACGCUCUAAUAUUUAUUAUAAUGUUCGGUUUUCAUAUGGUCUUUAAAUAUAAACCAUAUGUCACUAAAAACACUACUUCUAAAUCGCUCAAUUACAAAAAAAAAAAAAAAAAAAAAAAAUCAUCAUCAUUAGCGACAGAUUAGAUAGUAUAUCAUUUGCUAAAUUUAGUGAUUACGGAUUUCUUUAAGAAAAAUGAAAAGUUCAACUGUUAAUUCACUGCUAAUUUUUUUUAAUUUUAUAAGAUAGUAUAUUUUUGUUAGAAUUAAUUGUUUUAUUUUUAAUUUUACAUUUAUUUUAAUUCUUAUUUAUAUGUUGAUGUAAGAUUAGUUUGAUAAAUUACAAUAUUAAAAUAUUUGAUAAAUUAGUAUAAUAUAAUAUUUCUAUUGAACACCUUUGACUAUUUCAAGUGUAUGCUUUUUUAAUCGUACAGUAAAAAUCCAUGUCAUUUUCAAGGUUAAUAGAUAAUUUGACCUCAAAUAAAUGUAAAAGUUAUUUUUUAUAAAAAUUGUUAAAUAUUUAGAUUUUUUUUUGCUUUGUUUUCAUUGCAUGAUUAAAACUUAUAUGUUAUAGUUUUUAUUAUAAUUUUAUCUUAUUUAUAAAAAAAUUCUAUUUUUAAUUAUACAAUUGUUUUUCUCUUUUUUUUCAGAUUUACUAAUUAUCCUAUUAAAGUUCAAUAAUUAUUUAACAAGAAAUAUUAAUAUAAAAUAUGUACGUUGAUAAAUAAAUAAAAAAAUUGAAUGUCUUAGUUUCAAUAUUUUCUCAAAACAUUAUAGCCUUACAAUAUAACAUUUUUUAANNNGAAGAAUGUAUGAAGAUAAAGAUUUUAAAUUUUUAUAGUAAAAGAAAUAAAAAAUUUAACAUAAAAUGUAAUAAGAUUUAAAUUAUGUUUUCUUUCAUAUUACUUGACAUGUUAGUUUGGAUUUACUGGUAAUAAAAUAAGAAUGAUUCCUUAAAUUUAAAAUAUUUUGAAAUUUUUUCUACAUAAUAUACAAAUUAUAUUUACAAUAUAUGAUAUAACGAUACAACUUAAUUCGUUUAUAUGCUAAUAAAUAAAAUAGUGAAUCCAAUAUUUGUGUAUAAUUUAAUAUAAUAGUUAAUUUAGUAUUAUAAAAAAUUGACUGUUUAAAAUAAUUAACUUUCUAUAAUUUUAUUAAUGAAGUAUUAAAAUAAAAUAUGUAUUAUGAACACUUGAAUUAAUAUAUUGUUAGUAUAAAGUUAAAAGUAUUUUUUAUCUUUUUUCUUUAAUCACUUAUCUUUGACUUUUACAAAAAUUUAUAUUAAGCUAUUUGGACCCCUCAUAGGUGUAUAUAUAUAUAUAUAUAGUUAUAAGAAAGUACAUGCUAUUUUCAUAUAAUAUAAGUUACUAAGGUCGCAAUUUUCUCUUUAUGUAAAUAAUAUAUUAAGUUAAAUUGAUUUAUGUAGAAUUAUAUUUUUAUUAAGUUAAUAAUAUAUUUUUAUUUCUGUGCUUAUAUAUAUACUAAUUUUAUUUGUCACGUAUUUAUGUGCAUAAAUUAUUUUUUUUAAAAGAGAGCAUAAAUUAUUACUAUAAAAUUAUAAUAUAAAAAUAUUUAAUAAGUUAAUAUAUAACAUAACAUUUAUUAAACACAAUUAGCUAUUUUAUAAGCAUUUCUUCUAUCGCACAGUAAAAAUUCAUUUGUUGUCACGUACUUUACAAAUUUAUGGAAAGUUUGACUUCAAACAAACCUAAAAGAAAUUAUUAUAUAUUUAGUUUCUUUAAUAUUUAUUAAUGACCUAUGGAUAAUUAUAUUUUUGUAAGAGAUUUUAUAUUAUCUAUGAAAGAUAUUUUAUUUGAGUUGAAUAAUUAGUUUUAUUUGUAUUUUCAGAGGUAUUUAAUUACACUAUUUUAGAAUUUAUGAAAUAAAAUUUUUAUUUUACUAUUUUUUUAACUUUUAAUACUAUGACAUAAUACUUUUAAUAGUAUACAUAUAUAUAUGAAAAAUUAUAUAUUUUACUUUUAUUAUGAAAUCUAGUAUAUAGUUUUAAAGUUUCCAAAUUUAAUACCAUAUUUUAAUUUUAAUUUUCGGUAAAAAUUAUCGAUCAAAUUUAUUGAUAUAAUAUGAACUCUGUCAAGAAUAAAAAAAAAAAGCUAAAUCGAUGUUAGAGUUGUUGACUUAUUUUAUUAUUAAAAAUAUUAACAUUUAAAUACAGAAAAAUAUAAAAGUAAUUUGGUUCUUAACAUUGAGAUUUCAUCGGUUUUAUAUGUUUAAAUGAUAAUAUUCUAUUAGUAAAUAGUAAUAAAAUAUUUGAUUCAAUUUUUAAUUUUUUUUAUUUUCAGAAUUGACGCUAUAUCAAUAAAUAUGAUGAUAAUUUUAUCAAAAUUAAAAUCGAAAUCUAUAUUAAAGAAUAAUGUUGCAACUGAAAAUUUAAAAACAAUAUGAUAGAUUUGAUAGUAAGCUAUAUAUAUAUAUUUUUUUUGAAUAAGUCAGUAACAAUUAAAAAUUAUACGUAAAGAAACAACCUAAAAGAAAGAAAUAAUUAAGACAUUUUUUUAAAGGGAUUUCUACAAGAAAACCCAUUAUUAAAUCAGAGUCAUGUAAGAGGAAAUUAAUUCCGAAGCUAGGUAGCAAUCGUUAUCAUUGAAAUUUCUAUUUCAUGUACAAUAAUUGUAGCUUUGACAAGAUAACAAGCACAAAAUACAGCUAGCAAAGCAAACCCAUCAAUCGAUUGGAUAAUUCUACAUUCUUUUCUAUUAUGUGCCCAUUGAAAAUAGUAAAUUAAACAAGUAAUGAAUACUGACUUUAUUUUUCUUUUGAAUUUGGAUUUUGGGUUAUUAUUAAAGAACAAAUUCAUUUAUGUUUAAAUAGUAUUUGGUCUAUGCUGGAAGAAACACCAAUCUUUAAAGAAGAAUCCAGUGGAAAAUUAUUAACAAUAGAUCAAAAGUUUGGAUGCAUUUUCUUUAAGUCCUGUUUGUCCCAUGAAAUAUAUGACAAGAGGCCUACAUAUAUCUUCUCAUCUAUAUACUUUGCCAUCCCCAAAAAUCCUCUCAAUUUUCAAUAUGGAUUAAGAGGGAUGUUUUGUUGUAUAUGUGUGCUUAAAUUUAUAAGGAUUAAGAGGGAUGUUUUGUUCAAUGAAAAAUUAUGAUUUUUCAUAUAAGAUUUGAGAAAUUAAAAUGCAUAUUAUUUUAACACAGAAAUGGAUGAGGAAUGCAAGUAAAUUUAGAAGUCACCAAUCUAAAACAAAAAUUAUCCAAAUAAAUCACUACAGAAAAAGGAUUUUGGUUUAUUUAUCUUUUAAAUAAAAAGAAGAACUUUAAAUGGGCCAAUAUUUCAAGUCUUCCAAAGAUGAGAUGGGGCCAAAAUCAAAAUGUCAGAAACUAAAGUUUAAUAUUUAGGAAAAAGGGAAAAUAAAUAGAAAUUAAAAAAAAAAAAUAAAAAGGAAAGUUUUCAGGAGGGCAUUCUGGGCACACAGAGAAAGGAACUGUCAUUCAAGACUACAGAUUCAAGAAACAAAAUCAUGUUAUUCCCUUAAGUUUUACCCCUCCCUCAUCAAAACUCCAACCCAACCUACUUGCCUAACAUUUCCUAAUUUCAACAAGCCCUGCUUACAACUUAAACAUCAUCCUCCUCUCUCCCUCUAUUUUCUCUCUCACUUCACACAAAUAAAAUAAUAAUAAUACAUACUCCAUUAAACCAGUAAGAGCUGAGUUGUUCCACCCUUUUUAGGAAAUUAAAACCCAAUCACUAAGCAUUUUCAGAAAUCAAAAAAUCCCACUAUUGAAAGACAGAGAAGAGAAGUGUCAACACACACAGUUUUUUCUCUAACUUUUUCUUUCUUUUUUUUUUUUUUUCCUUUUUCCCUUCUUAGUAUUUUGCUCAAACAAAGAAAGAAACUAUCCAAGAUUUCAAGAAAGAGUAAAAAGGUCCCUUCAUCCUCUCCCAUCAAUCUCUUCCUUCUUUAAUGUAUAUAAUAUAUAUAUAUAUAUAUAUUGAAUAUUAGCAACAUAACUCUUUCCUUUGUUUCCCUUUUUCCUGCCUCAUCCCCUUCUCUCUCUCUCUCUCUCUCUCUCUCUCUCUCUCUUCAAGAUAUGGAAAUUCUUUAAUAUCAAUCACUAAUCACUACCUUUGUUUUCUUUAUUUGGGUAUCUGUUACAGCUUAUUCUCUUCCUUAAAAUUACUGUAUUCUUGCCUGGUUUAUCUUCAAGAAACCUUUAUCUUGGUCUCCUCUAAUUCUUAUUUAGGUUUUCUGUUGCACUGUCUCUGUUAUCAUUAGUUCAGAGAGAGAGAGCGGAGAAGUAACCCUAAAAACAAGGACCAUUUUGCAAGAGUAAUUAAAAAAGAAAAAGGAAGAAAAAAGAACUUUCACAUCCCGUUCAACAAGAUCCAUUCCAAGAAUAGAAAAAAGAAAAGGCUUUUAUGGAUUCAAUGCCUGAAAUGGACAGUUCCAACUCUGAAAAUACAAACAGAUUCAGCAACACCAUCAGCAACACCACCACCACUACUACUAUGUCAAUAGGAACUUCAUCAUCAUCGCCAUCGUCAUCCUCAACACCUAGCCGCUAUGAGAAUCAAAAGCGCCGUGACUGGAACACUUUUGGUCAAUAUCUCAAGAAUCAUAGGCCUCCUCUUUCUCUGUCUAGGUGCAGUGGUGCUCAUGUUCUUGAAUUUCUUCGCUACCUCGAUCAAUUUGGCAAGACUAAGGUGCAUACACCAAUCUGCCCCUUUUAUGGCCAUCCAAAUCCACCAGCACCUUGCCCUUGUCCUCUCCGGCAAGCAUGGGGCAGUCUUGACGCACUCAUCGGUCGCCUUCGGGCAGCUUUUGAGGAAAAUGGAGGCAAACCUGAANNNNNNNNNNNNNNNNNNNNNNNNNNNNNNNNNNNNNNNNNNNNNNNNNNNNNNNNNNNNNNNNNNNNNNNNNNNNNNNNNNNNNNNNNNNNNNNNNNNNNNNNNNNNNNNNNNNNNNNNNNNNNNNNNNNNNNNNNNNNNNNNNNNAGCGAAAGCGUCCACCACAGCAACAAAUCCAAGCUCUUCCUCCGCAGCCAGGUGCAACUUAAUAUGAAAGAAAGAUAAAAUCAGACAGAAAGAAAGAAAGAUGAAUCUUUUUAUCAAGCAGUGUACUGGAGACAUUUCUCUUCUUGAUUGACAUUACCUUCUUCUAUAAUAUGGGUACUUUUCUUUACCUUUUUCUCUUAGUAUGAGUUAUGGUACUUUAUUAGGGUUAUUUCAUGGUUUCUUUUUCUUUUCCCCCCUCUUCCUGGGUAUUUCUGUUUGUUUUUAUGGAAGCAAAUUGCUAGAUCUGGGGAUACCUUUGAAUCUGCUUUUGAUGCAAACAGUGAUAGUAGCAGUAGUAGUUGUAGUAGCAGUAGCAGUAGCAGUGUUACUUGUAGUGGGAGUAGUGGUACUACAAAAAAGUGGUGGAAGAAGUGAUUGUACUUGCAGUUAUAUGGUCUAUGUUGGAACUGAAAGAGCAUCUAAUUUGCUCAUAGACUUGUAUAUGAAUUGUACUUGAAUAUUCAUGUCAUUUAUGCCAAGCCAUAGAUUUGCAAACCCUUAUGUUGUGUUGUCUUCAUUUCCUUUCUCUGAUCUUUUUUUUUUUUUUUUCUGUUUUUCAUUUUUAUGUAUUCUCUUUUUUCUUUUAUCUCUUCCUUUGGACAUUAGCUAUGUAUCUUCUCAAUUCUUUAAAGCUAGAAAGACUUCACAUAAUAUGUCAGAUUACCCUCACUAUAACUUACUAUACACUUGUUUAAUGGUGUUGCUGUUGCACAGAUGAUGGUCAGUUAUCAUUCAUUUCUGCUAUAGUCUUUAUAUUUCUGACUUCCCUCUCCCUUCAAUUCCCCACCUAUUGUGUUUCCACUUUUCUGCUUUACUGUCUAAGAGAAUUAUAAUGAAUCAAUGUCUAUGUAAAGUUAAAGAACAUAACCUUUAAAAGUUUAAUAUAUAGUAAUAAUAAUUUUUAGUAGUGUCUUAGAAUAUAUGUUUGAUCUUAGUUACUUUUGUUAAAUUCACUCUUUUCUGCUUCUGUUUUUUAAGGUAAUUAAAUUUGGGCAAUAGCUGUUUUUCAUUAUUAGUGCUGUCAUUUCACUUAAGGGGGGGAAAAGAAAGAGUAUGAAGAUGGCAGACAAUGAAAAGUACUCAAAGCUUAAUAAGAGAUCUUAUAUAAUAUUAAUAUGCUGUGUUUAGCUUAUUAAUUAAAUUCCAUGUGUCCAAUUUUUUGAUUUCUUUACUAGUAAAGUUUCUUCUUUCUCCAUUUCCCUUUUCUUUUUUUUUUUUUCCAAAUUGUUUAGUAUCUAAUGUUGCAUAAAUAAAGAGGAAAAAAAAGAUACUUGAUGAGCAUACAUACUCUCAUUUCUAUUUCAUCCUUUAAUCUAAGAGAGAGAAGGGAUAUUGAGUCAAAUUAGCUAGGACUCAUCACAUAAACCUAGAAACAGUGGAAUCUAGGUUGAUGUCCAAUCAAAGUGGAAAUCGUAUGGUUAGAUAUAAUAAAUUAGAAGAAAAGACAAAAAGUCUACAUUAUAAAAUAUAAUUUUUUUCCAUAAUUGAUGCUAAUUAAAUCAUUAUUCAUGUGUGUUAAUAGAUAAUACAAAGUGAGACUGAAUUAGUGAUUAUAGAAACUAUGCAUGGAUACUCGAGGAAGGUCUUUUGUUACAUCAAUUUGGCCGACAGGAAUCCAUUAAUUGGUUGAUUUUGUUGGGUCAUAUCCUUCUUGCAUUUCUAGAUUAUAAUCUUAGAUUAAAAGUAGAAUUAAUACAAUUUGCUCAAGUGUUCCUUCUUUCUUUCCUGUACUACCAUUUUAGUGGGACACAAAACUUCCACUUCCUACUGCUAUAGGAUCUAAUAUCUAUUCUUUCUACUAAUCAUUUAUGUUUUAUCAUAGAACUAAUCAUGAUAUAUCAUAUGAUAUGGACCCUAUCAUGAAGAAAAUAGUAUAUAAUAAGAAUUUGUUGAUCAAAUCAUCAUUACAUCUUAGGUUAUGCCUGCUAAUAUAGUAUUACUUUUGCUUUUGUGUUGAUUGAUUUUACAUCUAAAAAGCUAUAUAUAUAUAUAUGACUGAGCCACAUGAAAGCUGUAGUUUCUUAAUUCAUUUGUUAAAUACUUCAGCUGUUCGGAUAUAAAUAGAAAUAUAAAUUCAACAUUUCAUGCUCUUUNNNNNNNNNNNNNNNNNNNNNNNNNNNNNNNNNNNNNNNNNNNNNNNNNNNNNNNNNNNNNNNNNNNNNNNNNNNNNNNNNNNNNNNNNNNNNNNNNNNNNNNNNNNNNNNNNNNNNNNNNNNNNNNNNNNNNNNNNNNNNNNNNNNNNNNNNNNNNNNNNNNNNNNNNNNNNNNNNNNNNNNNNNNNNNNNNNNNNNNNNNNNNNNNNNNNNNNNNNNNNNNNNNNNNNNNNNNNNNNNNUUGUUAAACAUGAAAUUACUAACUGAGUUGUAUAAAUGUCCAACUAAUAUUUGGUUUCUUGAGGAAAUUUGCAUAUGUAGAGAAGAAAGGUAGAGCUAUAUAGUGAUAGCAUAAAGCAAAGGUUCUUUCCUUAUGUAUCAUAUAUAUGUAUUGAUUCUUUGCUUUUGUGAUUUGAACUGCUUCCAUCUCUUGUGGUUCAUUCUUCCAUUCUAAAAUUUAGACUGGGAAUGAAAUCACUGACAUUAAUUUGUAUUCAUUUUUAGUUGAACCCAAAACUGCAUUUGAGAUUGAAAGGAUUAGAAAGGAAACUAACAAAUUAAAUGUAUUUCACUUUCCAUUUUCUACAUAGCAUAUAGAAGAACUCAUAGGUUUGCUAUAUUCUAUUUUGAACUAAUGAAAUUCCCUUUUUCUUUUUUAUGUGUACUUGGUUGAUAAGAUCAAACCUGAUUCCAGUUUUUCUUUUAAACAAAAAAGUUCCAUCAUUAGGAAGAACAAUCAAGUUAUGGUAUUGCCUCCACUCCUUUUUUAGCUUAAAUUCCUAAUUCCACCAUUAUCCUGACAAUUAUAUUUUGUUAUAUGUUUUAGCAAUUGUUGAUUAAUUACCUGUAUAAUAUUAAUUUGUAGGAAUUCUUGUUUUUUUUCUUUUCCUCUUCUGUUAGUUUUUCUUGAAGGUUUCUAAUCUAAAUUUGUCAAUGGCAAGCCUGAUUACAGAACCUAAAAUAUUGAAAUUGCAUGUGUUUUUCAUGCACUAAAUUAUUUUCUGUUGUUGUUUCUAGCUCUCAUCCUUCUAUGUAUAUUAUAUUUAUUUAAGCAAAACAUCUGAUGUCAAACAAUCCUGAAGAGAAUUUUAAUAGUAUUUUAUUUAGGUCUGAAUAUAUAUAUAUAUAACGUCCUUUCAUUUUCUUGAUCAUUAAAAUGAAUUUUUCUUUGCAAGGUGGAUUUUCUUAUUUUCCACUACUUUUCUUUAUGUAGACACGUUUUCUUAUAACUGAGGAGAAAACAGAAACUUCAAUUUAUAGCUGUUCUUCACUGAGGCCGAUUUCAGAGACUAACAUGCAUUCUGUUCCUUCUCAUCUAAUUAAAUUGCUCUUGAGCUACAUUGAUCAUGAUGUCUAUUCUUGUUGAUAUAUUUAUAUAAUUUCUUUUCUUUUCUUUACUUUCCCUUUUGUGUGUUAAAAGGCAAAAAGAAAUACUAAUUAAGUAACUUUUACAUCAAGUUAUCUGUUUUCAUUUGCUUCUUUUUCUUUUUUUUAUCGUUGUUGAUACCAGCAAAUUCUGAGAUUCAAUUAGUAAGAAAUGGGUUUUUUCUAUAUCAUGUCCAAGGAUUAAUUAAUCUAAAAAUGAUAGAAAUACAUAUUUAGAUACUUGAGUUUUAAUUAUUUAGACAUUCCAAUAUUUUAACUUUCAAUUUAAUUUAAUAAAUAUUUGAAUUUCAUUUUUAUAAUUUUUUAAAUAUUUUUAAUUUUUAAUUUGGCUUGAUAGAUAUUUAGAUUUUAUUUUUUUAAUUUUAUUUAAAUACUUGUAAGCAGUACAUAUCAAUAUAUAAAAUAAAGCCACGUGUUAAACAAUAUUUAAAUAUUAUAAAAAAAUUAAAAUAUCUAUUUAAUUAUAUAUAAAAGUUUAAGUAUUAAAAGUGACUAACCAGAUAAAAUUCAAGCGCGUAAAUAAUAAGAUAUAAUGAAAAAAAUUAAAGAAUCCAAAGAAUAGUUUUAUCAUCCCAUUUACUAUUUUAUGAAAUAAAAAAGUAAAAGAAGUAGAGAAUUAAGGAUAUUACGCUUGUACUGCUUUUGAAUGUGAAGCUAUUUCUAUGGCAUGAAUGACAUCAUCUUCAAUACAAAGAAAGUCUUAUUCUGUAAAAUUAAAGAAAAAAGGAAAACAGAAAAAGAAAAGAAAAGUCCCAUUAUUAUCUAAACUAAACAUGGAAAUUAUUAUAAGUGGAAAAAAAAAAAAAAGGAAAAUUGGCACCAAAGUUGAUCAAUUUAUCAUCACAAAAAGGUUAGCCAUCCGACAAGAACUUGUAGCUAAAUAGACAUGUAUAAAUAUAUACAGCCUUUUAAGCAGUAGCAAGAGCUUAAAGAAUCUUUGGAAUGACUGGAGAUUGAUAAUCCAGUCAAUGAUCGAAGCGAGCAAGCAAAAUUCUCUUCUUUAUUUGGAUUCUUGGUGGAAAUCAUUGCCCUAAAUUUUAUAGUGAAGCCAAUUACGUGUCCACUAGUAAUGGAUAGCAUGGUCAGAUGCAUUAUGAUGAGUAAAGCUGUGGAAAAGCUCAAGGAGAAGAAGGAGAUAAAAGGGUAAUGAAACGAGGUUGAAAUUCAAGUAUUUGUCAAACUAGUAGUUUCAUUAUAAAGUUGAUCACAUAUCAUCCACACACACACAUAUAAUAUAUAUAUAUAUAUAUAUAUAUAUAUAUAUAUAUAUAUAUAUAGCUAAACUAUUGCUGAUUUAAUUUUAAUUAAGAUUUUUAAAAUUUAUUAUUCCUUUUAAAAAGUUUUAUAUAGACUAAAUCCGUAUAUUUAAACACUUGAAUAGUCAUUUUAAUAUUUUAAUUUUAAAUAUAAAUAUUUUGAAUUAUAUUUGUUGAUAUAUUAAAUAUCGACAUAUAUUUAAUCGGUUUUAUAUAAUAUUUUUUUAAUUUAUAUAAAUAUUUUAUGAAAAAUCUAAAAAUAUAAACAAGUACCCAUUCUCCUAAAAAAUGGCUGAGACUUUUUAAUUUAAGUGGUUGAUAGUUGAUACAUAGUUGAUAAUUUAUAGGUGAUAAAUAUAAAUUGUUUAGUUACUGUAAUUUGUUAGUUUGUGAAAUGACUGGUACGGGUAUUUCCAAUUAUACUAUAUGAAUUACCAAAAGAUAUUUAGACUAUUUUUUUAAAAAAAAUUAUGCUUGUAAGUAUUAAUAUAAAUAUUAAUUAAUUAGACAUCAUAUAUAAUUACAUUGUAAGAAAUAUAUAGUAUGAACUUUAUCAUAAUUUAUAAGGUACUGUAUUAUUAAAAAAUAAAAUAUGUGUACGAUACGUAUAACAUGUGUCUUUAAAAUAAUUUCAUUUGGCUGGUGAUUAAAUUUAUAAUUUGGAAUCUUAAAUUUAAAUAUUUUAACAUAAUAAUUUAUAAAUUAUUUUUCAUUGGCAAACAUAACAUUUUAGCAAGGAAAAGACUUCGUGGCGAAAUUGCUUUAGCGAGGGAAUUUUAUUUAUCAGUGAAUCUAAUAUCACUACUACUCAAUUAGGACCAGUUUCGUUCAUUUUGAUUAGAGUGGCAUUUUGAGAUCAUUUCGACUAAAACGGUGGUAAAUUAGCAGAUAUUAAUUCAAUAAACUUUCUAUUCCAAAUUUGAUACGGCAAAUAUUCCUGCGGUUCAAAAUUACAAUGGAACAAAAAGUAAUAAUUAACAGUUAUUAGUCGUCUAAUCGUGCGUUGCAUGGUGUUAUUAUUAUUUUAAUUAUAAAAUUAAAUUGAUAGAUACAAUUAACGAGUCAAUUCAAUCCUUUUAAUUUUUUGUUAUUUCUUGUUAAACUGAUUGCAAUUGUUUGUAGGCAUGAGUAACAAAAUGUAGGUUUUUAUUAGUUAAUAUCAUUACAUUUUUGUUACGAUUUCUUUAAAAUAUUUUUAUUAAAUAUUUUAUAAAAUUAUCAUUUUAAAGUAUAAAAUAUAAAAAAAAUUAAUUGCAUGUAAUAAUAUUUAUAUUAGUUAAUAAAAUGUCAUUUUUGACAAUUAUUUACUAAAACAUAAUUAAAAAUUGACUAUAAUUUAAGAUAGAUAAAAAAAAGAUUAAAAUUUUUUUCUAAAACGAAAAAGAAAUUAAAUACUCUCAUUUUAGAAGUAAAAUAUUUAUAAUCUUAGGAGUCGAUUUCUUCGAUGAACGCCCAAAAUGUAAUUUUUAAUAUAUAGAAUAAACACAGGGAUGCAUGCAUCAAUAAUAUUAUUAUUAUAUCAGUAAUACAUAUUUAAUAAUUAAUUAAAACUUGGAGGGAUCUUAGUUUUUAAUUGAAUUGUCUGAUUUUGAAAUGAGUGUCGUGUCAUUAUUAUGAAAUAUAUGUCCCAAAAGGCAUUAAUAUAGUAAUUCAUCUUUUACAGGCAAUGUUAUUGGUGCAUCAUCACCAAUGACCAGACAAUUAGCAAAAGAAUGUCGCUGACGUAUACAUGCUUACCAAAUAAAUAAAUUUCAAAUUUCAACUAAAAAAAAUCCCAGAAAAAGUAUUAAUGGGCAGAUAUUACUUAAUUUUUUGUUAUUCUUAAAGUAUGAUAUUAAAUUCAUGAAUUCUUCUUAAAUAUUAUCCAAAAUAAAUAGUGAAACAAAGAAUAUUGUCUAAACAAAGAGUUUAUAUAUAUAAAAGUUAAUACUAUUUUAAUUUUUAUAAUUUAUUGAUUAUAAUAAUAUCAAAUUAAUUAAUUAUAUAUAGUAUAUAAUCAAUUAAAUAUAUUUAUUUAUUUAUUAAAAAUUUAAAAUCUAAUUAGUAGUAUUUAAUAAUUAUACGAUUUAUAUAAAUAAUUAAAAAUUAUAUAUUAAUUUAUUAUUAAUAAAAAAUAUAAAAAAUUUACAAAUUAUUUAAAAUAUUGGCAAAAUCUCAAAGGAGUUAUUUGCAAGUUGGAUUUGGUUAGAAAAAUAUGUGAAAGACUGAAAAAAAAAAAAAAAAAAAAAGGAAAAGGAAAUGAAGAGAAAAGUUUGAAAAAAUUGGAUAAGGAAAAAUAAUGAAUUGGAGAUGAGAGGAGAAAAGGACUGAGACAUCAUAGUCGGUACCCAUCAGAUCAGCCAAAAUUUGCAGCAAUUACCUUCCCAAUAAUAAUAACUGUGUGCUGCUUACUAUUAGUCCCUACCACACACAUCAACGUCCCUUGAUAAUCGGAUACUAAUAUUUUCUUCUGCCUGAUUUGAACAGUGGGAUUUUAAGAUUUUAUUAAUUAUAUACCGUAAUUUGUAUAAAAUAAUAAAAUAAAUAAUUUUUAAAUUUUCAUUAAGUUUUUGCAUAUAUGGACGGGUUGAAAAAUAUAAUGAAUUUUAGACUUUUUUUUUCAAAAUCGUGCUAUAAAAAAUUUCAAUUUUUUUUAAAUUGUACAAACAUGAAUAAUAAAAUAAAAAUUAUAAACAUUUAUUGAUUAUAUAUUCUUAAGAUAAACUUUAUCUUAUAUGUAAUUUUGAAAUCUUUUUUUCUCAUUUUUCUUUCUCUAAAUUUUAUUUUUCUCAUCUCCCAUUUGUUUUUUUUUUUAUUUCUACUGAAAGGGAAAGAGUACAGGAGUGAUAUAUUAUUAAAAGUAUCAUGUAGAAAAAAUAUCAUGUCUAAUAAAAAUUCAGUAAUUUAAUUUUUUAAACUCUAAUUUAAUAAUCCUAAUUCUACUCCCAAUUUGUGGAUUUUUAUAUUUUAUUGCAUUAUACAACUCUAAUGACUAUAUAUAAUUAACAAGUUUGUCACUUUAUUAUUUAUGUAACAUAUUAUGAUCAUAUGUCUUUUAUUUUUAUCUCGUUUAAUAUAAAAAUAGUCCACAUCGUUAUUUGUCACGACCCCACCCGUGGGCCCGUGACCGGCACUAGGGAAUGGGUAGGCGUAAGGCCACCGAAACCCGUAGUAAGCCUGACACUCACUGACUUAAACAAAUCUCAUCUCAAAUUAAUAUUAUUAAAGCCACAAAUUAUCUUAAUAGCUACAUUCUACAUAAAUACUUCGGUCUGCCAGAAAAACUAGGCGAGACCUGAAACUCAGAAAAUUUACAACUGAUACAUCUACUAUUACUACUGCGGAGAAUCUAAGAUUUACCAAUUUACAUACCAAAUCAAAUACAUCACCCGAUGAUAAAGGAGUCAGGUUACUGAAUAAGAGUCGCAGGAGAACUAACAGUCACGAAUCUGAAAAAAAAACAUAAAUGGAGACUGUCAGUCUCGAGAGUGAGUUAAAAUCAAAUAAUCUAGAGACUAUUGUUUCUUAUCAGAAAACAUAGAUUAUUCAAAUCAGUAUAUCAAACCAUACUAUAAUCAUACCCUACUAUUUCCUUCACAUAAAAUAUUAAUCAUUCGAAUCAAAAUAUCAACCAUGCACGUAAAUACAAUCCAUAUUAUAAUCAUACCACAAUAAAUUAAUAAAUGAAUAAAUAAAAAUAUAUUUUUACUUUUACGGGACGAGUGGCUCAGUAGAACCCUAACCCCAAAUUCUAACAGCCAUUUUGGCUCUCUUAAUCCAAUAAGACUGGCGCCCUGAGAGCAAUGCUCGACCAGGGACCUUACCUCCAGUCUGGUCACUUAAGUAUACAAAUAAGAAAUCUAGUAGCCAUUCGGCUCUCUUAAUCCAAUAAGACUGGCGCCCCGAGAGCAAUGCUCGACCAGGGACCUUACCUCCAGUCUGGUCACUUAAGUAUCCAAAUAAGAAAUCUAGUAGCCAUUCGGCUCUCUUAAUCCAAUAAGACUGGCGCCCCGAGAGCAAUGCUAGACCAGGGACCUUACCUCCAGUCUGGUCACUUAAGUAUCCAAAUAAGCCGGCGCCCCGAGAGCAAUGCUCGACCAGGGACCUUACCUCCGGCAAUUUACACAAAUCAGCCCAGAGAGCCAUUCUCGACCAGGGCAAACCCAUAAAAAUCUGAUUACAUGUCCAUGAUCAUUACCGGUGCGCACGCGGUCCUGAUGUAACCCAUCAGGCGGCAUGUUCUACAAGCCACAUUUCCCAAAUCGCAAUCACCACAUUUAAUAAAUAUUAUUGUCUAAAGAAGUCAUUCAACUAUAUCAAAAUAACGAUUAACAAUUUUAAAGUAAGACAUCAUGCAACUCAUGUGGAAAACUGAUAAUAUUUGAUAUUAUUAUAACAUUACUAAUAAUAAUAUUUAUAUUAUCUUCAAUAAUCCAGUGAAAUUAUUUAUGUUGCGAUACUAAUAACCAUAUUAUGUAUAAACUUCAANNNNNNNNNNNNNNNNNNNNNNNNNNNNNNNNNNNNNNNNNNNNNNNNNNNNNNNNNNNNNNNNNNNNNNNNNNNNNNNNNNNNNNNNNNNNNNNNNNNNNNNNNNNNNNNNNNNNNNNNNNNNNNNNNNNNNNNNNNNNNNNNNNNNNNNNNNNNNNNNNNNNNNNNNNNNNNNNNNNNNNNNNNNNNNNNNNNNNNNNNNNNNNNNNNNNNNNNNNNNNNNNNNNNNNNNNNNNNNNNNNNNNNNNNNNNNNNNNNNNNNNNNNNNNNNNNNNNNNNNNNNNNNNNNNNNNNNNNNNNNNNNNNNNNNNNNNNNNNNNNNNNNNNNNNNNNNNNNNNNNNNNNNNNNNNNNNNNACACUCCAAAUAUCAACAAUUUAAACAACGGGAGUCGGGUCCCAAACUUCACUAUUUCCCGACUCCGCCACACAGCACAAAAUACGACUAUGGCAAGCAAACUGACAAUUAUUUUUGACUCACAAAUAUCAUCAAAUACUCAAUAUAAACCAUUAGACAAAAAUUUAAAAUCAAAGGAUUUCUAAAAUUAAUGGGCCAAAGAAAUAUUACCGAGACGCUCGAUCGCUCGGUCGACUCGCCUCGAGCCGCCGGAGUCCGAUCGACGAUCCGAACACACCAUCGAACUCACAACGACGCGCUGAAGACGAUCCCCGAUUCCAAUUUUCCGAUCUGACACCCGAUCAUCCGGAGAGAUUUAUGGACGAUCUCGACCGUCGAUUUGCAAACGAAGCCCGAUCGCCACGAAACCAGUGCUAUCGCGAAGCUUGAGCUGAGGAGAGUCGGGAUACGUCCUCCGAUCGUCCAUCCUCCGCCGAAUCUCGCCGGAAAAACCCAAAAACGCCGGCUGCCACCAUUUUCUCUCUCCACCGGAUCUUCCGUCUCCGGCCACCAUAGGCGUCGCCGCUGCUGCCAAAAGAAAGCUCUCGCCGAGAGGAGCCGAUCGCCACCCGACUCGGCCGCCAACAACGCCGAAAACGGCCGGAAACACGCCUGGAAGCCGCUACCUUCGCGCUCUUCUGCCGCUCCCCGCCGCCGCUAGAGCCGCUGUUGUCGCCGCCGCUGCGCUCGCCAGCGCACACCGCUCCGUCGGCCAGCGCUCCGCGCCCCCGGCGGUCGCCACCGACGCCUGCAGCGUCCCCCUCUUUCUCUUCCCGGCGCCGCACUCUCUCUCUCUCUCUCUCUCUCUCUCCUCCGUUCUUCUUCCCCGAUUUUUGUUCCUUUCAAUAUCGACAUUAGGCCCCCGAACUUUUCCUUAUUACAACUUGGUCCCUCAACUUCCUUAAUUACUUACAAUUUCAUCCUGCAGAACUUCAAUUUAACCCCCAAACUUCUUUUUAGCCUUUCAAUUAAGCCCUUAACUAUUUAAUUUGGGCCAAAUCUGAAUUAUUGAAAAUACAUAAUUACAAAAAUACCCCUGACCGACAUAUUUAUUUACAAAAAUACCAAGCUCACAAAUUUCCAUUAAAACCCCAUAAAAAUAACAUUAUACUUUCAAUCCUUAUUCCAAAAUAAAUUUUCAAUUUAGUCCUAACACACAAUUAAAUUAAAUAAUCAAUUUCCAACUUAAAAUUUAAUACUACUAAUCAAUUAUAAUACCAAUUUUCCCAAAAUUCUUUUAUAAAAAUCCUUUACAAUUCUAGCAUAAUUUUUCAAUAUAUAAUUUUACUUAUAUAAAUAUGCAUUUGGAAAAAAAAAUAAAAAAAAUAAAAAUUGAAUAACCAAAAUAUAAUCAUUUCUCAAAUAGUUUACUUAAUUACUCAUUAAAAAUCAAACUAAUUGGAUAUGGAAAAUAACUCAUUUAUUUAUCUAACAUGAACAUUCAAAAUUUGUAUUUAAAUCAUUCCAAUUAAACCGAAUAAAAAUAAAGCUAAAAUUAACUUAAAUAAAAACUCAUUAUUAAAUAUAUAAAAAAUUCCGGGUGUUACAUUAUUUAUAACAUGUGACUUAUUAAAAUAUUAUUUUUAUUCUUUUACGGUUUGUCAUACUUGAUUAUUAAUUUUAAAAAUUUAACUACUCUAUUAUUAUAUCUUCACAAGUUUAGACACUAAAAGAUAGUUAUCCCUUUAUAAAUAAUUAUUAUUAUGUAGUUAAUUGAUCAAUAAUUAAUCAUUUAGUUUAUUUUCAUUAGUUGACUUGAUUUUAUAAUUUGAUUUUAUUAGUUAUUAUUAUUAUUAUAUAAAUAAAAUAAUAUGUAUCACUAUUAUUAUCGCCUUAUUAUUUUCUUAAAUUAAGUACAUAGUAUGUUAAUUGCUUUAGUCACAAGUUUUAAAAUAAAAUGCAGCUAAAAUUAAGAAAAUUAUAAGUAUUAACUUAUUUGUAAAAUAAUAUAUAAAGUGCAUAAUAUUUUUUUCAAAAACUUACUUAUUUUCCAAAACUAAAUUUAAUUAAUAAUUAUUUUACUUGAUUAAAUUGAUUUCGAUCCGGUUAUUAACUUGAUUGAUUUUUUUACCUAUCUAUAGUUAGUACUAAUAAUAUAAGGCUAUAUUUGGUAUAAAAUAAUAAAACUAUAANNNNNNNNNNNNNNNNNNNNNNNNNNNNNNNNNNNNNNNNNNNNNNNNNNNNNNNNNNNNNNNNNNNNNNNNNNNNNNNNNNNNNNNNNNNNNNNNNNNNNNNNNNNNNNNNNNNNNNNNNNNNNNNNNNNNNNNNNNNNNNNNNNNNNNNNNNNNNNNNNNNNNNNNNNNNNNNNNNNNNNNNNNNNNNNNNNNNNNNNNNNNNNNNNNNNNNNNNNNNNNNNNNNNNNNNNNNNNNNNNNNNNNNNNNNNNNNNNNNNNNNNNNNNNNNNNNNNNNNNNNNNNNNNNNNNNNNNNNNNNNNNNNNNNNNNNNNNNNNNNNNNNNNNNNNNNNNNNNNNNNNNNNNNNNNNNNNNNNNNNNNNNNNNNNNNNNNNNNNNNNNNNNNNNNNNNNNNNNNNNNNNNNNNNNNNNNNNNNNNNNNNNNNNNNNNNNNNNNNNNNNNNNNNNNNNNNNNNNNNNNNNNNNNNNNNNNNNNNNNNNNNNNNNNNNNNNNNNNNNNNNNNNNNNNNNNNNNNNNNNNNNNNNNNNNNNNNNNNNNNNNNNNNNNNNNNNNNNNNNNNNNNNNNNNNNNNNNNNNNNNNNNNNNNNNNNNNNNNNNNNNNNNNNNNNNNNNNNNNNNNNNNNNNNNNNNNNNNNNNNNNNNNNNNNNNNNNNNNNNNNNNNNNNNNNNNNNNNNNNNNNNNNNNNNNNNNNNNNNNNNNNNNNNNNNNNNNNNNNNNNNNNNNNNNNNNNNNNNNNNNNNNNNNNNNNNNNNNNNNNNNNNNNNNNNNNNNNNNNNNNNNNNNNNNNNNNNNNNNNNNNNNNNNNNNNNNNNNNNNNNNNNNNNNNNNNNNNNNNNNNNNNNNNNNNNNNNNNNNNNNNNNNNNNNNNNNNNNNNNNNNNNNNNNNNNNNNNNNNNNNNNNNNNNNNNNNNNNNNNNNNNNNNNNNNNNNNNNNNNNNNNNNNNNNNNNNNNNNNNNNNNNNNNNNNNNNNNNNNNNNNNNNNNNNNNNNNNNNNNNNNNNNNNNNNNNNNNNNNNNNNNNNNNNNNNNNNNNNNNNNNNNNNNNNNNNNNNNNNNNNNNNNNNNNNNNNNNNNNNNNNNNNNNNNNNNNNNNNNNNNNNNNNNNNNNNNNNNNNNNNNNNNNNNNNNNNNNNNNNNNNNNNNNNNNNNNNNNNNNNNNNNNNNNNNNNNNNNNNNNNNNNNNNNNNNNNNNNNNNNNNNNNNNNNNNNNNNNNNNNNNNNNNNNNNNNNNNNNNNNNNNNNNNUUUGACAUAUAAGAUUUUUAUUUUGACAUGUAUGCUUAUUUUUAACACAUAAGAUUUAACCUUACGUAUAAAUUUAUAAUUUUUCUAUUAAUUUACUAAUUAUAAGUUACAUUUUUAGUUAAACACUCGCUUUAAUUCUAAUAAAUAGUAUAUUAAUUAUAUUUUAAUAUUAUAUUAAUUAAUAAAUAAUUUUCUAAUUAAAUAAUGAGAUAUAUUAAUUAUAUUUUAAUAAUAUAUUAACUAAUAAUUCUAAUUCUAAAAUAUAAUAUCUUAAAUAUUUUUAAUAAUAUUUCAAUAAUAAUUUAACCUUUUAAUUAUAUAAUAAAAAUUAUAUUGAUAUUAAUUAUAUAAUAUUAAAAUUAAUUAAUUUUUAAUUUCUAAAAUAAUUUCACAUAAACAUAUUAAUAAGAUUUUAAAAUUUUAAAAAAGUUAAGAGGAUUUAAAAAUAGUUAAUUUACUAUUAUUUUUAAUAAUUUUAUAAAUUAAUUAUUAAAUAUUAAAUUUUUUAUUAAAUUGGAUCUAUCAAUUUAAUUUAAUUUUAUAAGUAAAAUAACAAUAAUGGUCAUGCAUGCAGAGAUGAAGAACUAAUUAUAUUUGUUGAAUUAAAAGAUAUUUAAAAUUAAUACAUUAAAUCAUGAGCCCCUGUAAUUUAUGAUAAGCAUCGAUAUGGGAUAAACUAUCAACAAAUCAUAUCUAUCAAUUCUCAGUGGAUUACCAACGCAAUAAAUUGAUAAAAUAAUUUUUGAACAAUUAACGACGGUGGAUUAUUAUUAUUACUAUACUUCUCUGUCGCUAAAUAUUAGACAAUUAUUAAAAUAUUAUCGUUUAAGUAUAUAAAAUUAAUUUUUAUAAUUAUAAAUUAUAAAUUUUAAUGAUGAGGGUGUUGACCCGGUCUUUCAUUUUUAUUGUCUUCAAAACUCAAGCCACAUCAUAUUAAAAUUGAAAUCAAUAUUAAAAUAUAAUAUUAAAAAAUUAAAAAUUUUAAAAACUACAUACUAAAUUUGAUAACAAAUAUAAGUUACAUAAACUUUUUGACAAUUAUAUAUUUUUAAUUUCUUAUUUAUUCUUUUUUUUCUCAUACCUUAUUCCUUCUUUCUCAUCUUUUUUCUCAUUACAUUUAUCUUUCUUAUGUUUCUUCAUUUUUUUCUCUCAUUACUACCUUUUUUCUCUUUCCUUUUACUACUCUUUUUCUUACUUUUAUGUUUAUCUUUUAUUUUUUUAUAUUGGUAGUAUUAUUUUGGAGAAAUGAAUUUACUAAACCUUUAUCUUGAAUGUUAUUUAGAAUAAAACACUCUAUUUAUCUUUUUUAAAUUUAUAUUUUGAUUUUUAUUCUUCUUAUAUUUUCUUAUGUUCAUUUCUUUUUCUUUCAAUUCUCCAUAAUUUUCUUUAUUGAGAAGAAAAAAUUAAUAAGAGAUUGAGCUAAUAAUUUUAUUUUAAUAUAUCAUUUCUUUUUCCUUUUCAAAAUUUAAAAAUAAUUCUUAAAGGCAAAAAUAUAAUUAUUUUUAAAUAUAAAAUUUUAUGAUGUAUUUCCACAAAAUAUUUAUAUCUUUUAAAAUAUUAAAAUCUUAUCAAUAAAUGUCCAAUAAAAUACUUCGUCACCGAUUAAUUUUGGCGAAAAUAAUUUAAACACCUUGACAAUGAAAUUAUUAAGGCCAAGCUCUGGUUGUAUAUAUAUGAAGCAGCCACGCAAUUUCAUCUAAAUACAAAUCUAAGUGAAACUAUUUUUAAUUGUUAAUUUUUAAUAUGAGUUUGACAUGUAUAUUCUAUUGGAGGACUACUUUGUGGUUAAUUCCUCCUAUUAUAAGAAGCAAAUCAGGGGAUUUUUUUAUAGUUUGGAAUGUGAAAUUUCCUACUACAUACCGACUUGAAGA
rnacentral:lncRNA from 1 species